rnacentral:lncRNA from 1 species
GGCAUUUCAAAAGUUACAUCAACUUUAUCCCCGCUUUGCAAAUUGAGCUUAUCGUUCGAUAUUUGUCCUUGCCAAAGAAAACAUUCUUUAAAUACAAUAUCGCGCAUUUUUAUAACCCAAUCUUCCUUGCUUAUGCAGGUGUGCAACUCGAUACGCUUGGUAUUAUUUAUAUCAAUACUGGCACGAUGAUGACCAUUCCAUCUGAUACAAGUUCUUGGCUGAUAAGGAUUGAAGCAGUAAAGGCAUAACAGAGUCAGCCCUUCAAACUUACGACCAUCACUCAGGGGGAUAUCAAAACUGACUUUAUUACCAUCGUUGACAAACUCGAACCAAUCAGGAACAUAAUUCCCAUUGAGAAAAAUGCCACCAUAUCCGCAAGAAGUCCAUCCCUAUAUACACAGUGCAAGUGUCAUAUAUAUAUACAUGUACAUGUGCGUUGUGUGUGUGCAUGUGCCCAAUAGGAAGACAAUUAAAAAGAGAGAUACCUUUAGGAUGUUCCUCCUUAAAUCAAUCCUGAGUUUGGUGCAGUUACUCAUAUCAAUCCAUGUCAUGGAGUUUAAUGACUUAUCCAAGUCUGGAACCUCAGUGAGUGCGUGUGAAUCACUUACAUCCAGUUCUCUCAUAUUCGACAUUUUCGAAAAAUUGGGCAUUGUUACCAAACAAUAGCAACUAGAUGCACCCAGAAAUUUCAAAUUUGUUGGUAAAUCAUAGAUUGUAUGAAGGUAACGGCAGUUACUUAACUGCAAACUUUCAAGAUUUGAAAGAUCACUGAGGAUGGGUAGGGUAUGAAAAUAAUUACCCGAAAGAUUCAAACCUUGUAAAGAAAUUAGACUCCCAAAACCUUUUGGGAAUGCAUCAUCGCUUAAUCUGCACCAUGAGAUCUAAAUUUCUUAAAGAAUCUAAGCCGUGUAACGAAUCGGGAAAUUGCAAAGGAAACUUCGAUUGCACACGCUCUAGAGAUAAAUAAGUGAGAUUUUUCAAUCUUACUGUGGAACGCGGUACUUGUCUUAUGGCUGUGGUAGAUGCUCUAAGUUCUCUCAAUGAUGUCAUCUUCCCUAAAUCCUCGGGCAGUUCACUGAAUUGACAACAUAGAUAAAGAUCAAGAAUCUGAACGGAUUUGGACUCGUAGAAAUCCCCAGGAAGAGAAUUAAGAUUCUUGCAGGCUAUGAAGUUCACAAAAGAGAGUUUUUUAAGAUGACCAAUGGAGGGGUGAAUCUCGGACAAUCUCUCACACCUUUCCAAUAUCAAAUCUUCAAGAUUUGGGAGAUUUGAUAAGUCUGGUGAUUUUUUUAAGUCCUGGCAAUAACUGAGAUUAAGGAUUUUCAAGUUUCCAAGCGACUGUUGCAAAAUCAAAGGAAUAUUAAAAUUAAUAUCCAAAAGGAAUAUCUCAUAUAAAAAAGAGAAGUAAAUAAAAAAAACAAAUAGAAACAUAACAUCAUGAUGUGUAAUCGAUUGUACCUUGGAGCCCUCCCAAACUUGUACCAGUUUGCUAUUCGUUAUCUCUAAAAUAACUAGUCUUGGUUGAUCAAAGAAGUCAUCUGGUAUAGACUUUAAGGGGCAUCCUUCCCAAAGCAACCAUAUUAACUCUUUGGGGAGAUGUUUGUAUUCUCCAUUGAGCUGCACGUUGUAGAGCCUGAGCAGUCUCAGUUUCUUCAUGAUGGCAAAUGCUUCUGUACUGAAACUAGGCAUGUUAGAGCUUGGAGGCAAAGAAGGGAAAUAUGGUGCUAGCCAUUCAGGGAAAGGAGGGAAAUAUAGUGCUAGUCCUUCAACUUCUUCAGUUCCCUGUUAACAAAAGGUUAUAUUAAUGUGUAAGAAACGGAUUAUUUGCAUACGUUUACAUGUAUGAGUACAUGCAAGUACUAUCGUUGGCUAAUUGAGAUGAAUGUUACUUAUUGUAUAAUUCACACCCGUGAGUUAUAUGUGCUUUUCGUGUACAAUGCAUUAAUUCAGAAUUUUAUUGGGAAUGUACUUACAGAUUUAUCUCUCAAUACAUUAGUGACAUCUUGAUGGUUCCACAACCUACUCCAUUCUCUAGGGGGACGACGGUAAUUACCAGAAAUGAUUACUUUGGCCAUUUCUCGAAGCAAAUCAUGCAUAUUCAACUUGUUGUCUUCAACAGUUAUAAGGCAUCGUUCACGGAGGUCAUUGAUUCCUAUUGUUGCAAAAAAGUUACAUCCAUCUAAUAUUUUUGCGACAUAAUCCUUUUUCCAUCCAAUAAAGAAACAAGAUAUGUCAAGGAAUAUAUCCCUCUGGGUAGGAUCUAGCCUUUCAAAGCUUACUCUUAGCGGUUUCAUUAUUCCUUCAUUAGGAAUUUUUUUCAAUUUCUCCAACUGGCUUUUCCACUCUGUUGGGGAUCUUUCAACCAUAGAAGAACCUAAAACUUCAAGGGCUAGUGGCAAACCACCACAGUAAGAAACAACCUCUUUUGAGAGUUCAAGAUAUCCUUCAUUAGGCCUACUAUUUCCAAAGGCAUGCCAACUAAAGAGCUUCAGAGCUUCUUCUUCAUUCAUUUCCUUAAGUGGAUAUGUCUUGUCCACUUUCAUGUUCACUUGCUUUAGUAAACGUUCAUCUCGUGUCGUUAUGAUAAUUCUACUUCCUGGGCCAAACCAAUCACGAUUUCCAGCUAUUGCAUUUAGUUGUUCCACUUUGUCUACAUUGUCAAUAAUGACAAGUACGCUUCUACGUUGGAGAUGAUUUUUUAUCAGACUGAUACCUUCAUCAACACUGGUUAUCUUAGACUUGUUCCGUUUCAAGAUGUCAGAAACAAGUUUGCCUUGCAAAUCAGCCAGAUCAUAUUCACUAACGUUGGCAAGGAAGCUUUUGAAUUGGAACUUAUGAUGAAUUUGGUUAUAAAUGGCUUUGGCAGCUGUUGUUUUACCCAAUCCGCCCAUCCCCCAAAUUCCAACCAUGCGAACUUCUGAUCCACCACUUGAAAGAUAACUGAUAAUAUCUUGAACGCGAGAAUUGAUUCCAACCGGGUGCUUGGCCACAUGUAAUUUGUUUGUGCUUAGAAGCCAUUCCGGAAUAAUCUUAUCAACAAUUUCUCUAAUCAGCUGUGCUUCGCACCUGAAAAUUGAAUUGGUAAGCUUAGUAGGCUUAGUAGGAGCCAUUAGAACAUAAACAAUUUUCCUUCUUUCCUUCGUGUGUGUGUGUAUACACACACACACACACACAAUAACUAGCUACUAGCUAAUAUGUGAUUUUGUGACCAACUUGAAUAGAAGAAACAAUUUCAUGCAUUGAUUUAUUAAAGUUUGGUGUAUCAAUUAAACUCCAAUUAUGGUUUAGAUUUUAAAGGAAAUUGGAGAAAUGGUCCCUGAACUAUGAUCAAAUUGUGGCUUUGGUUCUUAAAACUUUAAAUUAUUAAAGUUAACUCUCUCCCACCUCCCUCCCACCUCACCUCCUCCAAACCCCAGCCACACCAUUGUAGCACUUUCCCAACAGCCAAAACAAAAGAAAGUUUCUAAUCCAAAUUUGGAACACAUCUCCCCUUGCAAACAAAUUCACAAUGACAUCCAUCCACGCUAUCUCGAAAGGUAAAAUUCAAGAAAUUUGUGGGAUGCGGGAUCGGGGUUAAAGUGAAGGCUGUGGUCCAUGGGCUAUAGGUUGGGGCCGGCUGGGGAGUGGGGAUUAGGGAUUGGGGGUUGGAAGUGGGACGUUGACGAGGUGUGAAUCAACGAUUGAAGGUGAAGGGGUGGGCUGCGAGCCUGCGAAUGUUGGUGGGACGAGGUAGGCCUGCAAUUAUAUAUAUAUAUAUAUAUAUAUAUAGGUGAAACUAACAUGUAAAGUUGUAAACACUUUCAACUAAAACUUAAAGAUAUUGGUUACGAAGGACUAACGCUCCAUAUUAUCAAGUUCAAGGACAAAAUAUAAUGAAUUUUUAGUUUAGGAACCAAACUACAAUUUUCCUGUAGAUUUUAAAUGAGAGAUUAAGGUGUAUUAAUUAAGCAUGUUAAUUAGAGUAAUACAACUUAAAUAUUGAAAUGUAGGAGAAUGAUUACCUAUUAUCAGUGAUUUGAAGAUGGUGGCCAGACAAAUUUGCAGCUUUUGUAAGAGCCUCUCCCCACUGCUUUACCCCUUGUUUAGCUUCACGUUUCUUGUCAUCCUUUUCUUCACCGAUGCCUUCUUUGUGCUUCUGAAAUUCUUCGGCCAACUUUGCAGCUGUUGUAAGAGCCUUUCUCCACUGCUUUACCCUUUCUCGUUUAUCUUCACGUUCCUUGUCAUCUUUUUCUUCACGGAUGUCUUGUUUGUGCUUCUUAAACGCUUGGGCUAAAACUCCGUUCUGCUUCCUGACAUGUGAAGGAUCAACAUGAUAGAAUAUUGGCAAAACAUGUCGCCCCAGUUUGUCUCUGCACUCCAUGAUCUUCACCAGCUCGUUAAGACACCAACUCGAAUCCGCAUACCUCUCUGAGAAGACAAUGAUAGAGAUCUUCGAUUCUUCGAUUGCCUGGAACAGUUCUUUUUGUAUUUCUUCCCCUCUUUCUAGAUCAUCCUCAUCGAUAUAAGCCUGGUAUCCCUUGUCUGUUAAUGCCGCAUGGAGGUGGCCCGUGAAACCAUUGCGUGUGUCUACACCGCUGAAGCUCAAGAACACGUCGUAAUUCCAAAGUUUUGACUUGGAGGAGAAUGAAGAGGAGGCUUCGUGGGUUGUCAUGGUGGUAUCCACCGUUAUGGCACUGUAGUUGUUCAGAUCACGACUAAAAAAUGGCAGUAGUUGUGUUCAUACUGUCGAACGGAUGAUCCUGAAAUACCUAAACCCAAGUCAAGCUCCUUCAGUCAACAAGAACAAAUAUUAUAUAUAAUAAUGUUGGCCGGAAGGUGCAGAGAAAGGGAGAGGAAAAGAGAUAAGAAAGGAACGAAAGGAAUGAAAGGACAAAGACUAUCCAAAAGAUUCUUGGCUGUGAUUACAGCUAUUCAUAGGAGAAACAACGGACAUAUUUUUAUAGGAGAAACAACCUGCCCAUCUUCAUAUAUAAUGCAUUUCAAUAGGAGAAACAACUUUAGUUUGUACUAGAAUUUUUUACCCGCGCGUUGCUGUGGGAUUUGAAAUUGUAUGAAAGAUUAUCUUUGAAAUAUAUAAUAGAUUGUGUGAUCGAAGAUUAAUACUAUUUACAUUGCAAAUGUUGAAAAAAGUUUUACAUACAAAAGAUUUUACGAUACAAUCCACAUACAAAAGAUGGUAAAUUUUUUUCUAUCUACAACAUGCAUUAUGUUAUGGAAUGAUAUAUAUAACUAAGUGCCAGAAUACAUAACUUCAUAACUUAUAUUUUUUUUGACAAAUUAAUCACAUUCAACUGUGGGAUAGCAAGGUUGCCUAUAAAAUUGUGAAGUCAUGGAAGCAUAAAGGACAAAUAACAAAUGAGUUUUGAGAAAUUAUUCCACAAAUGUCAUUCUGCAAAAUGUAUUAAAGACGAUUGGUAUAAGAUUAGUAAUCAUGAGUAGUGUAACAACAUCAACAAAGUAACUAUAAACCAUAGUUGAACAUAAUCCAAAUAUCGUUUGCAAAAACAAAAGAAAAAGAAAACAGACUUACAAUAAUUCAGCCUUCAAUCCUGAAGUCCUACUCAAAGAGCCAAACUUGAAUGCAAGCUUUCUGAAAUCUUCCAAACAAUACAGAUAAAAAGGUAACACCCUAGUCAGAAAUGAACCGAGCUGCUAGCUUUCAAAGAAACCCAGAUGACAAAAUAAAAAAAUAGAAUGGAAAAAUGACUUGCACAUUUAAGGCUUGCUCGAAUCUUGAUCUAAAAUUGGUGGCGGGUUGAUUGUUGGUCACCAACUCUAAAUAAAGAAUUCAUCAGAACCUAGAAAUUUAAACAAAGAAUUUUCCAAAAUCAACAUUUACUAAAAACCAGUUACUUGGUUAUCAUGCAUGAUGGCUUGCCAAAGACUGAAUUAAGGAAUGCACAACUUUACUUUUAUGAUUAUUUUCAAUGACAGCUAAAAGGUCAGAUCCAAAUGACAGUUAAAUUCCUUUUCUACAAAGUUCGAAAUUAUAUGGCAGUUUGGCAUCUGUUGAAUAACAUGGUUGAAAGAUUUAAAAUUGAUACAUUCAAUUUUUAUGUGUAAAACUAUAACAUAUACCUAAAGCUAUUUGGUCUAUAUAUCCAUAUCAAUCAUGUUGUAAUUAAAUGUUUAUCGAUGUAAAUAGAUGAUUUCAGUCAUGUGAUAACAUGUUUCUUGAUGGUAUACGCUGAAGUUUGGUCUAAGUUGGAUAAAAAUCGACCAAAAUCUUAGUAAGAGACUCUUUUAACUUUUAACCAAAAAAUGAGCACCACAAUACUACACUUAUAAGUUUUUAUCAUGCACAAAAUAUACAGCACUGAUAGCCACUUUUAGAGCAAGAACAAUACUUUACCAGACGAAAACAACAAAACACUCAAAACCCAGAAACAAAAACACACUUAGGACUCAAACUCCUCAAAAACAUGAGAAAGAGAGUGCGUGAGGAGAGAGAAUAAAAAAAAAUAUUAUUUUUCACAAACUCAAAAUUGUUUAUAAAAUUACAAAUCAAAACAAAUGAAAAUCCAAAAUUGCCCUAAAUUAAAUCUGUUUAGUUAAAUGUUUAUUGCCCUUCAAAUGUUAUUACACCUGACAAUUGCUUUGAAGUUGAUAUUUUGGUCAAUCCAGGGGAAAAGGAGUUAUUGCUUUUGGAGCAGUUGUCAUGGAGAAUCCCAUCUCCAUGUUAAAUAAAAAAAGGUCGUACCCAGUGCACAAGGCUCCCGCUUUACGCAGGGUCUGGGAGAGGUGAAUGUCGGCUAGCCUUACCCCAUUUUAUGGAGAGGCUGCUCCCAACUCUCGAACCCGAGACCUACCGCUUAUGGGCGAAGACACUUGCCAUCGCACCAAGUGGCCACAAUAAUUUAGGAGGCCCUUCUCUCCAGAUUUUCUCAAUAACUUUCCUUUUCGUAGCUGGUAAGAUUGCAACUCCAAGAAUUGCUCUGAAGAGAUAUAUACAAACAAAAUCAAACUAAAACUAAGCUAUUGGAAGAAAUUUACAAAACAAAAACACAAUUUCAACUCAGAGUUAAAGUCAACAGAAACCAAAUGGUACAAGUUGACAAAAUAUAUGGUCAUGAAUCGAGAACUUCAUCAAACUAACAGCAAUAAAAUCUCCUAUAAUCUGUCUAAAACCAAAAAAGAGAGAGGUAAUUUCAAGACCUUGUAACGCUGAGGCCUCGUACAGUUGUAGUAAUAAUAUAUGGUUGAUGCACCUGUUGCUCAAUCAAAUCCUUUGUCUGGCUAAAAAAAUAAAAAUCUAUAAAUACAUUCACGUCCAAUUUAUGAGAAAUCAUGGGAAAGCAAAUGCACUGAUAACGGAAUCAUGAAUAUGAAGAACUUGCCAAAAAGAAAAAGAAAACUUCUUGUAGUGUGCCAAGAACAUCCUCCUACUCCUAGCAAAUUUUUUAUGGCAUUAUCCACUUCUCAAUUCAUAAUUCAACCAGUAACUCAAAGUCUAUAGUGUAUGAAAAAGUGAUAUCUUAGUUGAUCUCGAUGAUAAUUAAGUAGAUUAAAUGACGACCCAUAAAGCAUACAAAUUCAGAAAAGAAAAGGUUGAAAACUGCCAUAAGAAAACGCAGAAUAUAUAAAUGGGAAAUCAAAAGAAGAGAAGCGAAAAAGGAAGAAAAAACCAAACAAAAUUAUUAGGUUUGGGAUAUACCUUUAUCCGAAAGGCCACAACCAUCAAAGUCAAACAUAAACAAUCCAAAAAUUUGUGGAAAAUAACAAUAAAUGCUUAACUAAAAAUGAAAGAAAACGUAGAAUAAGUUUACCUGUUCUCCCCCUAAUUAAACUGGAAUACAAUUCACCACUAAUAUUCUUGUCAUCCUCUUCAGCCUGAAAAAUUUAGUAGAAAUAUUCAAUGAAGACGCUUAAUGGAGACAGUAAUAUUAGCAAUGGAGGAAUUGAAUUGAUAACUAAAACUGCAAGACCAAAUGACUACAAUAGGUUCAAAACAGAAACUCGUCUGUUAGAUGUCUCAUCUUUAGGCAGUGCCUUGUUCUUUGUUGCAUGUCUUGUGAAGUUCAUGUAAAUCAACAAAAUUGAUACUUUGGACACACCAACAAUGGAGAGGUAAAAAGUGAAAAACAGAAGGAAUGUCUUCAGAUUUGUAAUGGAUUUUGCAAGUCAGAAAUUCUGUUCGAGAAUUUGCAACCCAGAAAGUCCACCAGCAAUUAUUAACAAUCACAGAUAAGCACCGAAUGAAGGCCAAUCUAAUACAACAACAACAACAACAACAACAAAGCCUUUUCCCACUAAGUGCGGUCGGCUUGAAGGCCAAUCUAAUACGCCAAAAUAUUCAGGGCACUAAAGAACUUAUUGCCCAGUAUCAACGAUAGAUAAGCACAUGUGAAACUAAAGAAAUUUUUCAUUACUAUCAACUCCAAAAAAGAUAACCUAUGCAAUCCAAAAAAUGUUGAUACAGAGUUGGAGUAUCGAUGCUUGAAAUUGGUAUUUGAACCACCAACUACCUCCGUGAAUAUGUUUGUUUGCUUAAUGGUUUGGGUUGAAGUUGCGAAAGGAAAUAUAAUUUCUUAAAAGGAGAGAAUGCAGAGACAAUACAGAAUGGUUCACGUGGCCACCUCAAAACAGAUUGACAAUUAAGCUUCAUUAUGAAUGGAAAGAUUAAUAGAUGAUAAUUAAGAAGGCCUGAUACCCAAGCCGAAAUCAGAGAUAUCCUUUGUAAACAAAGAGAUUGAGCAUUUCCACUAAAAAAUAACCUUUUUUGUGAGGGGUGGGAUUGGGUGGAAGGCUAGAUAAAGACAUCAAAUUUUAUACUUAUUGCAUGCAAGGUAUGCAACAGCCUCCCGCCGAUUAAAAAUCCCAGAAAUAAAAGAAAUCGAAUCAAGAAAGAAGAUAAUUGCACAAUAAUUACACCUUCACUAAGAAAAUAAAUUAUAAAAUCGAAGACCGUGAGAAUAAUGUCUUAUACAUUAAGCCUGCCAAUUACUAAAAACAAAACAUUUUGCCAUGAGGAGAAGUAAGAACAUACCCAAACUUGUUUGCAAAUAGAUGAGAAAAAUUUAUACCUGAAACAGAUGGAAAAUUUAUUAGGAAAGAUAAAUCAGCCCACAUGUGUGUAAUCUAUAUACAAAAAACCACUCUUUUCAUUAACCAAAUCGUUUCACAAAUCCAAAAACACAGAAUUAUAUCUUGAACAAUGCCAAUUAAUGAUUUCCCAUUUACUUAAGCCCAACAUCAAAGCCAAUGAACUGAUGAAAGAGCGAAAAUGAGAAACAUAAAACCUCAAUUAAGCAAUUAAAUGGAGUAUUACUUGAUAGAGCUGGAAAAUUACCCAGUAAGAUUAAAAAAAAGAGAGAUGAGAUGGAGUGAGAAUCACAUACCGGCAUCACCUUUAAAUAUGUAGUGCUCCUCAGAGAGAGGAUCAAGAGUGACUGAUGAGAGGGCAGAGAACGAAUGAUUGAGAAAUUCAAGCUCUGAGCUCAAAGUUGGGGCCUCCACUUUCCAACUGGGGAAGAAAUAACAGAGAAAACACAGAGAGCCAAUCCACCAAAACUAUUAAUCAAAUGGGUUCCGUCUAAUUCAAAAUUUGGACCACCCAAAUUCCGAUGAAGCAAUAACCAUUCAAAAUUCCAACAGAUUGAAGCCCUCACAGACUACAAAUUAUCAAUACCCAGCAAUAAAAAAUUUGAAAACAGUAAUAAUGAAGGAAAAAGAAAUUAAAGCCGCAAGCCAUUCUCUAAAUCUCAGGCACCAAUCCAAAUCACCAGUAAUUUGCACAUAAUGAUAAGAAUCUAGCAGUAUUUCCAUUGUUUAAAACCCAAAUUCAAGAAAUCAUGAAAAAUGGAAACUUUAUAUAGAAAUUGAAGCUUUACCUGCAGAUCAGCAGCAGCAAACGGAAUCCAACGGCAUGUACCUCAAAAGUGAGAGAGAGCUGAGAGAUGAGUAAGAGAAUCGGUAAACAAAACCCCCAAAAUCACAGAAGGAAAUUUAAACAGAAAACAAAUUUGCAAAUCCAAAAUCACAAAAACGAAAUUGAAACACGAAAGCUGUAAAACUGACCAGGAACGCUAGCUUUUCUGGGUAAAAACUUUAUUCGAAUCGAAUAGAAGAACCGAGGAAAGUUCUACUGGUUCAGUGGUUAUUCCAGCAAGAAAGCACCUUGUUUGUAAUUCGUGAGAGGUUGGAACUUGGAGAGCGAGAGAAGCCGAUUUGGGAGCCAAAGAAAGCGAGGUUGGAGAACGACGGAAGCUGAGAAUUGCGAGAGAGAAAAACGAAAAGGAAAGGAAAAGCGGAGAAAAAGUCACGAUUAUCGAAGCGUGCGAAAAUGAACGGGGAAUGGGGAUCUGGCUGAGGGAGACAGAAUUCGAGAAAGCGGAAUGAAGAGAAUCGAGAAGAGGAGGAAUCAUUUUAAGCGGAUGAUCGACGCGUGGGAAGUAAACUAUUAUUUACAAAUCUAAAGCAUUACCCGAACUUAUAAUACAAUAGCUACUUUGACAGAAGAAAAGAUGGAGAGUGAGAUGAUUGCAUUCCUUUUCAAAACAACUUUUAAGAUUCCAUAAUAAACUAAUAUAUAUGAAGAUGUGCCCCGUGGUAAAAGAGAGGAAGGAAAGAUUAUCAAAAGUUUAUUGUUCGUGAAUCGUGAUUACAGCUAUUCAACUUUUGUAAAUUUUCUUAACAUGAGUGAGAUUUGCAUUCUUUUUCAACCGAACUUCUUUUGAUUUCAUAAUAGAUUAUUAUACGAAGGAUAAAUGCUUAACAGAUUCUCUCAAAAUCGAUGCUUUUCAUGAACUUUUUAGCUAUCUUAUGUUUUUAGACUUAAUUACACUAACACUUUCUGUGGUUUAAGAUAGUCUUACGUUUGAAAUAUUACACUAACAUCCUUUUAAUGUAAUGUCUCAAACGUAAAGGAAUUUUGUGAAAACUCGACUAACUUUAGGAGUGUUAGUGUAAUUAAUCUAUUUUGUGCAAAUAUUGUAAAAUAUUUUACCAAAUACAUUAAGAGCUCGUUUUGAUGUGUUUUUAAAAUGACUAAAAACGUUUUUAAAUAAAAUAUUUUUUUGUUCCAAAAGCACUUAAAUUGUUUUAUGCAAGAAGCACCAGUUAUGUGCUUAUUCCAGAAAGCACUUUAAAUGUUUUUCUAGAAUUUACUUACAUUUUUAUUAAGGAUUGGUUUAAAAAACAUUUUCACAAAAAACGUUUUCAGUUAUUUUAAAAACACAUCCAAACAAGCACUAAGUAGCGGAUAGUUUAUAGACACUUUCACUUUAAAAAGUAGGGAACUUUAACGAAAAGCACCCGGUACUGUUCACUUUAACGAAAAACCAUAUUUUUACACUAAAAAAUCAAUCUUGGUACUAUUCACUUUACCCUUUAUUUUGUUCUUAUCAUUAAAACUCAAAAUUUUCAAGCCAUUUUCAUUAGUUUUCUUUAAAAAGUAUUCUUGCAUAUUUCUAACAGACAUGUACGGUGGAAAAAGAUCACUUCAUAAUUAAAUAUUAUGUUGUUGAUUACGCCUCUCUCUAUUUGAUUAAGUUUCUUUUCACUCUUCUCUAAAAAAUAAUGGUUUCUUUUCACAUUAUUAAACCGUUGUAAAGUAAACUUUUUUUUUGUAAAAGUGUUUUUAAUUAAAAAAAGUAAUGUCAAAGUGUUUGGUAAAUUUUUAUAUAAAUUACUUUGAAUAUAUUAAAUAACUAUAAAAUAUAUACUAUUUAAUGUGAUAUAAUAAUUGUCAAAGACAAUAAUGUAUGAGCAAAAAUUGUAAUUUGUAAAACAUGUAGAGGUAUACUAUUUGAAAAGUUCAUUAAAUGAGCGUUAAUUAUUAUACUUUGAAAAAGAAAAAAAAAUAUACUUUUUUAGAAGCAUAGUACACCCUACUUCUCAUUUUCUGUACUUUUUUCUACUUUUAUUGACAGUAGUUUAAUAAGUUGCUUUCUUUGAGAGUACUCAAACCAAUCCUUAAUAAGUGACCAUUUUGAACUUUCUUGGCGCCAUCGGUGUGGAGGGAGAGAAAAGAAACUAGCGCAAAACUACAGACACUCGAUUCGUUGUAAUAUAUAAUAAAAAAUAAUAGUCACGUAUAAAAUAUGGUACAAUUAUAGUUCUGGCAUAUGUCUCUACCAAAGAUAAUCGCCGUGUCUUUCAAAUUUGUUGUUAAAUUGGGGACAACAUGAAGAUUUUCACACUAAUCUAAGUACAACGUUUCAAACCUUGAAAGACCACUAAAGCUUUGAAAAGUCUGGUGAUUUUGUUAGGUCAUGUGAAUGACUGAAAUUAUCGAUUUUCAACUUCCCAAGCAACUAUUACACAAAAUAUAAUUUAAAACUCAAGAGGAGGAAUCAAAAUCGAUAGUGUCUUCAACUUAACCACUAAUAAGUGUAGAGUACAAAAGACCAUGCAAUUAGUAGUUGUGCCCUUCAACAAAAAGAGAAUCACAAUGUUAGUUGGUCACAUCACAUGCCCAAGGAAAACACGGUACAAAAGCACUAAAAGCGUCCAAGCGAAAGUGCUUUCUUCUCAUGUAGUUUCAUUUAACUUAUUUUACCACAACAGUAAAUAUAUUUUACCACUGCGCCAAUUACGAAAAUGAACGGGGAAUGGGGAGCUGGCUGAGGGAGACAGAAUUCGAGAAAGCGGAGUGAAGAGAAUCGAGAAGAGGAGGAAUCGUUUUAAGCGAUGAUCGACGCGUGGGAAGUAAACUAUUAUUUACAAAUCCAAAGCAUUACCCGAACUCAUAAAGAUGCUCUAAAAACUUUCAAAGAUUCCACAAUUUCUGUUUGAUUUCAUAAUAAACUAUUAUACGAAGGAUAAAUGCUAAAAAUUAGUCUCAGGAAAGCACUUUGUUUGUAAUUCGUGAGGUUGGACAGCGAGAGAAGCCGAUUUGGGAGCCAAAGAAAGCGAGGUUGGAGACAGAAUUUGAGAAGCAGCUUCCUGAUUUUUUUUUUUUUAUGAGAGAAGGCGGAAUGAAGAGAAUCGAGGAGAUGAAUCAUUUUAAGCGAUGAUCGACAUGUGAGAAUUGAGACGAUCUUAUAGCAACGCGAUAUUCAGUUUCAUCACACCAGUUAACUUGUAUUGGUCGAGUAAAGCACAUGUUACUUUCUGAAAAUUUGAAAUACUACAACGCAAAACCUAUCAAGAGGAUGCUACCAUGUGAUGCAAGAAACGAAAAGGUACAAAGUCCAGACUCACUCUGGUUGUCAUUUUCCCCAAGCGCAGAUGCAACUUUAGCGAAUUAAGUUUGUCUCAAAGAAAGUGUCUUUCCAAAAAAAAAAAAAAAAGUGAAAACGGAGCACCCUUCCCCAGACAUUAAGGGCGUGUUUACGUACACGUAAUCAGAAUAAGAAUGUGGAAUUGAAUUUCGAUUACGGAGUACUCUGAUGUUUACUAAACAUGGAGAAUAAAAAAAGCAAUGGGGCCCACACAAAUUUUGGAAUUCAAUUCCUUGUAUUGGUGGAAUUUGAUUCCCUAGAUAUAUGUUGUAAUUCAAUUCCUGCUUGUUUGGACAAUCGGAAUAACACUUUUGUUCCCUUUAUGUCCUCACUUACUUUUUUUAUUUCCAAGACUAUCCUUUAUAAACUCAUUAAAGUAUAUAAAAUAUUUGAUUUGGGACAAGGGUAUUUUAGUAAUCAUACUGGUUUAUAAUUCGAUUCUGCUGAAUUAGUAAAAAUCUUUAUGGAAUUAUAUUCUGAUUUCAGAACAUUUAAGUAAACAGUUUCAACAAGAAUCUGAUUCUGACUUCUCUUCAUUCCAACUCCUCCUUAAUUUAAUUCCUCAUUUUUUUCAUUACCGUUAUAUAAAUGUGCCACAAAGAGCUUCAUUAGCCCACUCACCACUGCAAUAGAAACAAUUUGAUAGAAAAUACUUGAUAGCAACAUACAAGCCUCUAUUUUAUUGGAAAAAUCAAAAUACAAAAUCAAUGUUAUCAAUUUUCUAUCUAAAUGAGAAUUACGGUUUAAGCGAGUUAUGUGGAUACCUAAGCAGGUCUAGCGCACUUUCUUAAUUUUCAAAUGCUUAAGAACUAAUUAGGACGCUGAUCAGCAGCCUAACGUUAGGCGAAGAUUUUUAGAACAUUAAUUACUUGUUCUCCUAGAUCUCCGAGUCCAAGAAAAUUAUGAUCACCCAUUGUUCAAUCUUAAUAUAGUCAGUACGUGGUUAUUUAACCAUUUUGUUAUAUUUAUCCUUUCUCGUUAAAUUAAGUAAGUGAUAAUAACUUUCCUGGAUCCUGUAAUCUAGAAGAACAAGACUAUAUAUCACAUGGAUAAACAUAAUCAGGCAUAAGAAAAAGUCGAAGAAUUCAUAACAUAGAGUAAUGCUAAAAAUACUAAAUUUGUAAACUAAAUGACAUAGAAGUUGAUCGUUAAAUUAUUAUUUAAAUAUUAAUAAACGUGUUCAUGCUCACACAUCAUUUAAUUUGUAAAUUUUAUUUAUAAAUCUUAAGCAUUACCUGAACGCAUAUAAUACAAUAGCUGCUUUGACAGAAGAAAAGAUGGAGAGUGAGAUGAUUGCAUUCUUUUUAAAAGCAACUUUUGAAGAUUCCAUAAUAAACUAUUAUGUAUGAAGAUGUGCCGUGGUAAAAGAGAAGUAAAAAGGAGGGAAGGAUUAUCCAAAAAAUUAUUGACCGUGAUUACAAUUAUUCAACUUUUAUACAUUUCUUCGAACGGAGAUCCAAGAAAAGAUGGAGAGAGAGAUUGGCAUUGUUUUUCGACACAACUUCUGUUGAGUCCAUAAUAAACUAUUAUAAGAAGAAGGAAUGCUAAAGAGAUUCUUUCAAAAUCAAAACUUUCUCAUGUUUUUGGGGUUAGUUAUACUAACAUUUUUUCUUUCGUAUAAGAUAUUACGCCAACACUCCUUUUAGUGUAAUGUCAAACGUAAGGGGAUUUUGUAAAAUUUGAUUAACUUCGACGUUAGUGUAACUAACCUAUUUUUAUGCAAAUAUUAUGUCAAAUACAUUAAAUGGCGGAUAAUUUAUAAACAAUGUCACUUUAACAGAGUUUUCUUACAUCUUUUUUAUAGAUAUGGACGGUGGAAAAAGAUCACUCCAUAAUUAAAUAUUGUGCUAUUGAGCGCGCUUUCGGGGCGCUUUCGGUGCGGGGUUUUGGCCUCCGCCGCUCCGCGUGCUGUUCUUUUACCUUUUUAUCUGCCAUUCGCGUGCUCCGCUGGUCCCAGACCCCUGAACAAUGUGAUGAUGCCAACUAACGUUAACCCCACUAAAGCAUCGGAAAUUGCGUCUGAGGAUAGAAAAGGCAUACAUGCAGAUCCUCCUCCCGGACUCUUUGCCUCUCUAUAUGUGAAAACCCAUCUGGGAACAAACCAAUUCCAUUCUCUGGCAUAGCAAGAACGGUCCUCUGAAAUGUAUCCAUACAAAGUUCGACACACAAAAUUCAAAAAGCCAUUGCAAUGUAAUUGACAACAUUGACAAUCUCUGUCCGACAAGGCAAUAAUACCGAAGCCCACUGUAAUGAUGGUAACCUGAUAGGCCAAUACCGAAGCCCACUGUUAUGAAAUCCAUGAAGCUUAUAUGGGCUUCUUGUACUCUCAGAUUUUGCAUAUUAGAGAAUACUCAGCAGUGAAUACCUGAAAAACGUGCAGCACGAAUAUCAUAUCGGUAGCCUCUCGAAUCUUAAGAAAACUACAAAUGGUAGCUUAGAAAAGAAAUGAAUCCUCUCCAACCAAUACAAAUCAUAUUACCCAAGUUCAAGAAAAAUCAAGACUAAACAAAUGACCAGAUGUUGUAGGGUGCCUGAGAAUGUCAAACAUGAAAUUACAAAAGAAAAAAAUAAUCGUAUGUAUUGAACAUUAAUAAAUACAUGCUGAAAGCACAAUCUUAGCCGCAAUUUAUGACAUUCAUACAAGAUGGAAUCGCCAAAGCAGUUAAAGAAAUUGCAGAGCUCAUAUAAGUGAUUUUCACUAUGAACUUUUAAGCUUAUCAACAAAUACAUCAUUUCGAUUCUAAGGCUUAAUCAUCAAUGAUUUUGCCGUUGGAUAGUGGCCAAAUUAGCGGCCGACUGAACAACAAGCCAACUCUCCUUUCGGCUAUUAAACAAAGAAAAGUUUGGUGGACAUCAUCAUGAGUAAAGACACAAUGAUGAUGUUUGUUGAAAAGAAAAAGGAAGGUCAUAAUGAUGUUUGUAACUUUGGAUUUUUUAUAGUCAAAUGGAAUUGGGUUUAUUUGGCUCCUUCCUUUGCAACUUGACAAAAGAGCUUUUUUUUGGUAUUUUCUAAGGCAGCAGCAGCUGCUAUAUGUUUGAGGAGAAGCCGAGAGAUACCAAGAAGAGCGUUCGGCUCUCCCAUUUGAAAUUUUGUUAGUAAUCACUCAAUCAAAGAUGUUGGUGCUACUUGUGUAGCUUUUGGGAGAGAAGGAUUUUGAUAUGUGUUUCUUCUUCUCCAUUUGUUUCUUAGUUUGAGUGAGAGCUAUUGGUUGUAUGUGGGAUUUAGGUUUGAGAGUUAAAACUCUAUUUGUAAUUUCCUUUUGAUAUUAGUGGAAUUUCCUCGCCGUCUCGGAACUGGACGUAGGCUUACGCCGAACCAGUAUAAAUCCUUGUGUUUUUUGGAUUAUUUGUCUUGUCAUAUUUUGCCGUAUUAGCUUUGGUUUCAUAUUUGAAGCUUUCACACAACAUUUGCAAGGGUCAAUCGUAUUGCUGGUUGUAAAUCUAUUCACUAUGAAAAUUACCAAAAUUACAUCUAAUAUGGUAGUGAAGGAAGUCAUCUUAUAUUAUCUGGAUCCAAAAUUGUACCUAAACAUGCAUGACAGGUAAAAAGAAGAUGAGCAAUAAAACAUUAUAAAGAUUCCCAAGAAAAGCAAUAAAACUACGUAAAUAUUAGUUAAUAAUGUCAAGACCAUAGUCUGUGACAAAUCCAAGAGUUGAGAUGAGACUAUCUUUCCGGCAGGAAUUUUUGGAAUUUUUCUCUAUUGUAAGGAAAACAUAGAUUGAUGUUUGUGUUUACACGAAAAUUAUGCCAACGGCUUAGGAGAAAUCAAAGCAUAACAAUGGGACUAAAAUGACUUACCUACUAUGAGGAUCUUCAAGUUCCUUCUUCACCUCUUCGGGCAGAUUGGCUAAUCUAAUAAACGAAAAGAAAACUCCCAUGAGCAGUGCUAUAACAAACUAUCUUCCUAAAUUCAUUAUGAAUUGCAGUUAAAACUUAAAAUGAACAUGAAAAUCCUACGUAGAAGGGAUAUACCUAGGUGACAAGCCUAGAAGAUUCCCGCGCAAGGAAGAAUAUCCCGGAACCUGCAAUUGGAAACUCAAAGAAACAAUUACAAAGAUGCUAGAAAGAAAAUACGUAUCAGUUUACAACAAAACGCUAGCGCUCAUGAGAAUCGAUUAGGUAUGAAGCAUCAAAACAAUAGCAUGAGACAUCAUAACUUAUGAGCUAUGAAUGGAAUAAUGGAGCAAAAUAUCGUUGCCCAAACAGCACAAUCUACAAUCUACAUGACGGAGAAAGUACCCCGACAUUACAUAUGCAAGUUCAUGUGGUUUAUCUUUUUAACCGAUUCGUUAACAAAUUCUUUCUGCACAUAUAGUUUUAACUUACCAAAACUGGUAAUGGAAGAGAGAUAAUCAGUAAUUAAAAACGGUAAUCGCAUAACGAAAUCAUACUUGAGUGAUUGAUAGGAUUCCCAACCCAUUUGGUCCAAAUCCUUCUUCAAUCUUCACUGACAAAUCUUUGUCCCUGUCCUGUAUCAAUCCAAAAUCAAAAAACGACAAUUAGAAAAAUCGAAUUCUCGACAUGAUCGACGAGUUAAAACAUAGCAAUUAAACAAAACUAUGAAUAAAACAAUUAGAUUCUGUUUGGUUGCUGAGAAAAUGAAGAGAAUAACAACCAAAAAGUCAACUGAAAUAAAAUUUUGCUCUAACUUCAACGAAUUCUCUUGAGUUUCUGAGCACCCAAACAGAAAAAAAAAAAUUAUAGGCAAUCAAACCAAACUCUCAUGCUCAAUUUUCUCGGCAACCGCAAAAAGAACUUAGAGGGGGGGGGGAGAGAGAGAGAGAGUUACUUGGAGCUCGGAGUAGGAUAUGGUGACUGGUGUGACGGUGGGGACGGCGGGGUCGGAGGACGGAGGCAUAGUUCGACAAUAAAUUUGGCGGGAAAGACGGCGGUUGGAGCGUGACGAUGGGGAAGAAUCCGUGGGAACGAAGAGCAAUUUUGGUGCGGAAGGAGGGUUUUUAUAUCGGAGGGAGGGAGGGAGGGAGGGAGGUUGAGAGCGAAAGGCGUGAUUGUCAAUUUCAAAUUUUUUUUUUUAGGAAUAAAGAAAGAAGAGAGGUUGAGUAUCAAUUCCCUUUCCCUCCAAACCAAAUAAUACAUUCACGUUCAUGAUGUGUGGCAAAAAAUUGAAGGUGGAGACGAAUAUAUUAAAGGGAUGUGCUAUCCACACACCUUUUUUACUUCUCACACACCAUUUGUUAAUUUCUGUCCGUUGAUCUUCUUCAUUUCAUCUGAUCUAACGAUCGAAAAUUAAAAGGGUGUGUGAGAAGUAAAAAGGGGUGUGUGGAUAUCACACCCCUAUAUUAAAUAGGUAUAAGUAUUAGUUAAAUUUAAAAUUAAUUGUGUACUAUUAAAAAUUUGUUUGAAAAUAUUUUUAUAAUAACUGAAAGCGUUUUUUAUUAAAAUGUUCUUUAAAUCAAUCCUUAGUAAAACCAAGUGGAUUCUAAAAAGUCAUUUGGAUUACUUUCUACAAAAAUCACAUAUCUUGAGCACUUGAAGCGCUUUUGGAACCCAAAAUUAAUUUAACAAAAGUGUGUCUAGUCUUUUUUAUUUUUGAACAAACGAUAUUAUCUACUUUAAGGGAGGGGAUGAGCUUAACCUCACAAUGGACUAUCAUAUUAAUAAUGUUCAAAUUCACCUUUAUUCAUUUUUAAAAGACUUUAAAACCAGCACUAAUUUGUAUUAAAUUCUAAAACUUUGAAUUGGGAUGUAAUAUGCAUUGGGUCUUUAAUAAUAUUUAAGUUGUUUCCGGCAAAAAAGAAAGGAUUCAAUUGGGAAAAAUAACAAAAUAUGAAAUAAGGAUAUUCUAAUUAAGGUUUUUAUUAAUUAUUUUAGGCGGAUGGUUCAUGUGAAGAUUAUGAAACGCUUUAAUUCUCUAACGUGCGAUUCCAUUUCGAUCCAAAGCUAAAUUUAUAAAUUUCUAAUUUUUACUUUCUAAUUUUUACAAAUUUCUUUUCAUAAGAGUAUAAAUUUAUAAAAUUUGGUUAAAGGAUCAAGAAGUUUAAUUAGAAGCAAUGGUUUUUGUUGUUUAAAAUUAGCAAGAGGUCCUAAGUUCGAAACGCUUUGGGCAUGUUUAUUUUUUUCAAUUUUAACAAAUUUUUGUUUGGUUGUUAAUUUAUUUUUAGUUACUAGCUAGUAGCUAUGUAGGUUGUUAUUUAAAUAUUCGUUUCAAUUCAAGUCCAAUCUUCAACAAUGAGUAAUACGUAAACCAAAUUUGUAGCGCAAAUUUGUAAAUUAUAUGACGUGUUAUCAAAAUAUUUAAUUUAAUGCUCAUUCAUUACUAAUACAUAUCAAUUAAGGACUCGAAAACAUCAUUAUUGUUUUUAGUCCCAUAUUGACAAGGUUAGUAAAUAAGAAAAAACACCUCAUGAUUUAUACAAAAACACUUUCAAAGUUCAAAUGGAAAACAAAACUCAUCGUCUAUCUACUUAUAAGCCCAGAGUUGUUUGGUUUUCUUCUCUCAAUACAAAAUAAAUUAGUCCUUUUGUGUUUCUAAAUUAUUGAGUUUGAAGUGCUUUUCUAAGUAUAAUUUUAUUAAUGUCUUACGUGUGAAAAUAAAUAAUUUUCUUAUAUGAAGUUAGGGCACUUUUUUUUGUGUCGUCCCGAGCCUCAAAAAUCUCUGGACCGGCCCUGGAUGUUAUGAGAAUAUGUGUGGUUGUCAAGCCCGACACGUGAAUAACAUGCUCUCUACUACUUUAUUACACUGUGAAGAUUUUAUCCAAAAUUAAUUGACGAUGAGCGAAUAAACUGAAAGAUUAUGCGCAACUUUGAUUAUGCAACGAGUGAAGAAGCAAUUUACACCAACCUCCAGUCAAGAAUUUGGGCUCACAAUCACUAGCCAAUAUGCUUUUUUCUCAUGCCUUAAGUUCAUAGUUCAAUAUUCUGGUGUCCGAUGACCCUGACACGACAAGUUCCACUUUUUGUUCAUUUUCUUGACGAAACCAUCACAUUUACCCUUACGGCACGGCACAGUUCCGGGCAUGGAGUAUGGAUUGGGUUCCGUUGCAGUCCCGACACUAUUUAGCACUGUAGAGAAGGAAAUACAAAGACAACUUUGGAUUUCUUACAACGUAUUGAGUCUCUCGUCAUGGCUCUUGCUGUGUUGUUCUUAUUUCACGUCCUGUUUCUCGAGCUUGGUGUUUCCGGUUGCAAAUUUUGGUUCGGCAGUGUAGUGCUCAGGAGAGGGGACUGUUUCACGUUGUUCCAGGCAGACAGAGGCGGUUGACAACGAUUGUGAUAAUGUGUUUUUCUACUGGGAGAACAUACAGCAGUCAUCAGUUAUCUUUUCACAACUGUCUUCAGUAUUUCGAGGCACCUCAAGAAAUUAUCAAGGACAAACGAAUGUAGAAAAGAAGAAAUAUCGAAGUUAGUUGACAAAGGGGACGAAAAAUUGUGAGAUACAGAGAAAAAGAAGAUAAGAAGAAACUCGAUGCAAAUUACUUGAGUCUAAAGUAGGAGGGGAAAUCGUACUAUUCAUAUGAACAGUGUUUUAGACCACAUUUCAGUUUAUUUACAAGAUUGCCACUCAGAUGCUUUUAGCUUUUAACGAAGAUGCCAUCAGUUCGAAUGAUGGGAAUGCCCGUAUGGGGUUAACAUCACACGGUUGGGGGUAAAAGUUGUGUUUGGAUCAAAACUUAACUUUGGGCCCAAGCAAAAGAAUGCCCAAAAGAAGGCCUGAAGGAAGAGUCGGCCGAAGCCCAGCCGAGACCCAGAAAAGCAGGAAAGGGCCUCCUCUGACUUGGUGCAGCUCAUGAAGACCACUUGCCCACCUACCCAAAGGUCAAGUGGUAUAGACUGACCAGCUACACAGCCCGUAAAGUACUUUAUGGUGGCAUUACAUGUAAAAAAACUGAUGAGUCAUCACCCUCAAACCGCAUUCGGGCAAGGCUGUUGCUACAGGAGGACAUGCUGGGUUGUCUAUAAAAAAAGAAAGAGAAAUCAGGAUUAAGGACACUCAAUCAAACAAACAAAUGCAAGCACAAACUCUGCUCAAAAGCUAGAUUUGCCUUCAAAACGAAGUUGUAGUCAGCCCAAGCCUUCAUCCCUCGCGGGAUAACCUUUCCUUCAAACCUUUGUAAUAGCUCUGCUACCUUGUUCAACCUUGUUGUAGUAUCGAUUCACCUUUUGUAAUCUUUCUCCCUCUCUCAAAACUUUCAGACCUUUAACAAAACUACAAAGAUAGGAGCCUGCAAGACGAGCAGCCUUGCCUGAUAAGGUUUAACCUUGCCCGACCUUCUAUGCUUUGUAUUUUUUGUCUUUUCAUUCAUUAAGCCUAGUAAUAUGUUGUAUGAUCCCAGUUAUAUGCAAGUUAUUUCUAGCAAGAUGACCAUUAAAAAGCUUUCUCAGUACAUAGACCCGAUUUGAAUAGAUCUUCAGUAUUCAAAUCAGAUCUAAGUCAUAAGCCCUCGGGCAUGUAUAUUUGAUCAGUUAAAAGUCCUUGGCCUCCAGGCAUAAAAAAGAACCUUAUGUGGACUUAACCCAUCCACAACAAUCCUUGAUAAACGAGAAGUCCAAAGUUACUUGGGGCGCAAGUAAUCGACCUACCAUUUAGUUUUAUUUCUAUUAUAUGAUGAUUAUCAUAGAACGUUUAUGCAUGGAAUGGAUUCUGAUAGGAAGCCUCAAGGCCUACACCUAAGGCCCCACAAAGGCACCUAUUUGGGUUCAUUCCGUUCUGCGGUCUAGAGCGUUCUGAGUAGAAAGAACAAAUUCUGAUAGGAAGCCUCAAGGCCUACACCUAAGGCCCCACAAAGGCACCUAUUUGGGUUCAUUCCGUUCUGCGGUCUAGAGCGUUCUGAGUAGAAAGAACAAAUUUCUGAUAGGAAGCCUCAAGGCCUACACCUAAGGCCCCACAAAGGCACCUAUUUGGGUUUGUUCUAUCUCUCGGACGCAGGUAAUCAGAAGUAUAAUAGUUAUAAAACUCCUGCAAUCAAUGGAAUAAGUAUUAUGUAUUCGAGUACUGGUUUAGUAACCGAUGGGAAGCCUCAAGGCCUACACCUAAGGCCCCACAAAGGCACCUAUCAUAACUAACCCGGUUCCUCGGGCACAUAUAUAUAUACAUACAACUAAAACUCGACAUCCAUUUCAUAUCUGCCAUGCUGAAGAUGGCAGUGGCACGCCUGAGUACCUAAAAGUUAAUUUUGAUUGUGAGCCUCAAGGCCUACACCUAAGGCCCCACAAAGGCACAUUUCAAAGUUAACUUUGUCCUUUUCUUUCAGCCUUGCCCGACGAGCCUUGCCGACGAGUCUUGCCCGAUAAAGAUUCGCCUGACGAGACUUGCCCGACAAAGCCCAACCGUGAAGCAGAAGCCCGACAGCAGCCCUCAACCGACGCAAAACCUCCAGGGGAGCUGUGCAUUUCGCCGACCAGGAUGGAAGAAUGGACAGCCUACUAAACCGAUGGGAGCCUACUAAACCGAUGGGAGCCUCUAUGAUCAGGAGAGUUCAAAGGCAGCACAAAGCCUACAUGAAUUCUCUGAAGACCCCCGCAACAUCUGAAGCCUCCCAGAAUAAAAAACUGGAGAAGACAUCAUCUGGGGGAAGUAAUCAGCUCCGCUGGAGAAGUAAGAAAGAGGUGGAAAAUGCCAGCAGCAAAAAAGAAGGUGUGGGGAAUCAUGUACCGCAGAACCAGCACCCUGGGAAGUAUAGGAUCUUGAGGAGAGCUCAAGAAGAUCUGAUCAUGGUGCCAACCCCUGGAUGGAAGCCAAAGCCUACUUGCGUUGGAGCUGUUUCAUCUGAAAGGAAACCACCUUCUCUGCCAUUGGUAGAUCCUUUUGGUGAAGUUCCAAAACAAACACUAUAUGCGGGCAUGAAUCAACAGCAACAGGAGGGGGCACCAGAACCACUACUUCCAGCCGAUGCCAUGGCCUGGUUGGAUGAGUUUAUGGACCAGAUUGGGAGCAAGAAAGAAGAUUUGCUCGAGCCUAGUAAUUUCCAUAUCAACAUGACAUACGUAUUAUCUGCCACGUUUGGUGCCCGACCUGAUCAGCCAGCUACUAUGGAAGGUGAUUACUUGACAACUGAGCCAAUGAUGGCACAUGUCAAUAUAGAGGAAGUCAAAGAAGGAGAAUCGGGCAAGGCUGAAACUUCUGAAGCAUCCAAAAGUGGUCCUUUAAGGAUUUAUACCGAUGAAAUGGUGUUCAGCCGCCCGAACAUCUCGCUAGCCAACCAUCUGAAGCCCAUAUACGUUACAGCUCACCUGGAAUGUGUGCCCUUCAAAAGAAUUUUAAUAGAUGGUGGAGCAGCUGUUAAUGUGUUACCAGCCAAGCAAAUGAAGAAAAUGGGAAGAGGAACGGAGGAUCUUAUUCCGACAGACCUCACGGUCUCUAGCUUCUCAGGCGCUAUCACCAAGACCCAUGGGAUAUUGCCUUUAGAAGUGGAUUUGGGGUCUAAGCAAAUCAUGCUGGCAUUCUUUGUGGUGGACUGCACCUCCACUUAUGGAGCCUUACUCGGAAGAGAUUGGAUCCACCAAAGUCUGGCCAUACCCUCCACUCUUCAUCAACAGGUAGCUGUUUACCAUGAGGCGGGCACAGAAGGACCAGGUUUUUGGGAGAUGGUGGAGGCCGAAUCAGGGCCAUUUCUCCCCACAGCCAACGUUGCGGAAACAAGUUUCUACAACCCCAACGUAGGAAUCUUGAAAUGUUCAGGAGCUGAUGAGAACGGCCGCCCUACCAAUGUGACGACCCAAAAGCUUUUGGAACAAGGAAUGCUCCUCACAAGAGAUGAGUGAGAUAGACCUUGUAUCAUCCCAAAUCCCCUACACCAUCAAUGACUGGACAGAAGAAAAAAGAUCAGGUAAUGGCAGUCAGAUCCCUGAUUAAAAGACUGUUGGUGUAUGAGAAUGGAAGAAGGCAAGAAAGAGAGCUCUUGGACAAGGAAGAGCAGGAAUAGCAGGUGGGAGAUACGAUCUAGACGGGCCAGAAGACCUGCCCGAGAGCCCGGAGUUGGUCGAGUUUUUGUGUGCAGAACCGGAUAAGCCACCACCAGAAGUCCAGGAUCCUCUGGAAGUUAUUGCUAGGAACAAAGGAGGAUCCGAGACCAAUACAAAUUAGUGGUUUAUUGGGGGUUGAUGAUCGGGCAAAGGUUGUCGAUCUGUUGCGAGAGUUCAAAGACUGUUUUGCUUGGCAUUAUACUGAGAUGCCAGGGUUAGAUUCAGCCUUGGUGGAACAUAGAAUGCCCAUCAAGGAGGGAUAUAAACCAGUUAAGCAAGCACCACGAAGGAUGUCAAAGGAGAUAGAAGAAAAUGUCAAAGAAGAGAUCGAAAGGCUAGUAAAAGCUGGCUUUAUCAGACCGGCCAAAUAUGUAGAGUGGUUAGCCAACAUUGUACCCGUUUUAAAAGCUAUAACAAAAGCAGUACGAUGUUGUGUUGAUUACAAAAAUCUUAAUAGUGCUACACCAAAAGAUGAGUAUCCUAUGCCCAUGGCCGAUCUAUCCAUAGAUGCAGUAGCAAAACAUAAAGUCUUAUCUUUUAUGGAUGGGAAUGCCGGGUAUAAUCAGAUAAAGAUGGCUUCAGAAGAUAUACAUAAAACAACAUUCAAGUGUCCCGGUCAUGUGGGGGUAUAUGAAUAUCUGGUCAUGCCAUUCGGGCUCAAGAAUGCUGGUGCCACCUACCAGAGGGCAAUGAAUGUCAUCUUUCACGAUCUGAUUGGCCAGAGUAUGAAAGUAUACAUUGAUGACAUCGUAGUGAAGUCUAAGACAGAAGAGCAGCAUUUGGAAGACCUCAGACAAGCAUUAACAAGGAUGAGGAUCCACAAAUUGAAGAUGAAUCCAAAGAAGUGCGUGUUUGGAGUGAGAGCAGGCAACUUCUUGGGAUUCCUGGUGCAUCAAAGAGGUGUAGAAGUAGACAAGAACAAGUCUCGGGCAAUAAUGGAGUCACCGUCACCCACCAACAAGGUACAACUCCAGAGGCUAUUGGGCAAAAUCAAUUUCUUGAGGAGAUUCAUUGCCAAUUUAGCGAGCAAGAUCCAGCCGUUGACUCCUUUAUUAAGACUGAAAGAUAAAGAAAACUUUGAGUGGGGACCACCACAUCAACAAGCCUUUGACAGCAUCAAGGUCUAUUUAACUUCUCCACCAGUGUUGGUGCCACCUCAAAGGGGAAAACCCUUAAAGCUGUAUAUUUCUGCCUUAGAGAAGUCAAUCGGGAGUUUGCUAGCCCAAAAUAAUGAAGGCGGGAAGGAGCAGGCAUCGUACUACCUCAGUAGGAUUCUGACCGAGGUAGAAACUAGAUAUUCCCCAGUGGAAAGAUUAUGCUUGGCUCUAUAUUUCACUGCCAGCAAGCUAAGGCAUUACAUGUUACCUUGUCACGUACACAUCAUCGCCAAGACAGAUGUGAUAAAGUACAUGUUGUCAAAGCCAAUGCUAACAGGGAGGAUUGGGAAGUGGAUUCUAGCAUUGUCAGAAUUCAGUUUCCAGUAUGUACCCCAGAGAGCGGUCAAAGGCCAAGCAAUUGCUGACUUCCUGGCCGAACAUCAAGAAUCUCAAGACGAAGUAAUCAAUAUCCCAGGAAGCCUGGAGGUCACUAGCAUUUGGAUCCCGCUAAGAGAAGAUAUCUCGGGCAAAGAAGAUUGGGUCCAGCAAGAGAUAAGAAGAGUGACUGGUCUCUGGAUCACUCCUUGGAGGUUAUAUUUUGAUGGAUCUCACACUCAGAAGGCUUAAGAAGCAGGGAUUGUGAUUAUAAACCCUCAUGGGGUCUAUCAUUAUUAUUCAUUCCUCCUAGACUACCAAGGAAAUACUAAUAAUCGGGCAGAGUAUGAAGCUUUGAUAAUUGGUCUGGAAAUCUUGAUGGAUCUGGGGGCAGUAGAGGUGGAGAUCUUUGGAGAUUCAGAGUUAGUAAUAAACCAGCUAAAUGGGGAGUUCAAGUGCAGACAUAUUACCAUGGCAGGAUAUUACUUGACGGCUACGCAAUUACUGAGUUUCUGGGAUUCUGAGAUAUCAGUCAAUCAUGUUCCCAGGGAAUCCAACUUAGCAGCCAACGAGAUGGCACAACUAGCCUCAGGAGUGCCAAUACAGGAGAGAAGAUAUGGGGUAGAUGUCGAGAUCCAAAGAAGGAACCUCCCUUCUAUCUUAGAAAGGGGAUUCAGCCUGGAUGUAAUAGCUCUAGAAACCGAAAUAGAAGAUUGGAGGUCCCCUAUCAUUCGUCAUUUGAAGGAUCCCUCUUCACCUACAAGCAAGAAGAAUAGACAGCAAGCAACCAAGUAUGUCUUGUGGGCGAAGAACUUGCUAAGGAAAACUCCAGAUGGAUUACUAUUGAAAUGCUUGGGCCAAGAAGAAUCCAUGAGGGUAAUGGCCGAAGUACAUGAAGGGGUAUGUGGAGCACAUCAGGCAGGAACUAAGAUGAGGUGGUUGCUUAGAAGAUAUGGUUAUUUCUGGCCCGACAUGGAAAAAGAUUGCAAGUCUUAUGCCAAAGGUUGUGAAGAAUGUCAACGGCACGGACCUCUCCAGCAUGUGCCCUCAGUACCUUUAAAUCCAGUAGUCAAGCCUUGGCCUUUCAGAGGAUGGGCAAUGGACUUCAUCGGGCAAAUCUAUCCAGCUUCUAGUAAAUGGCACACUUUCAUAAUUGUGGCAACGGAUUACUUCACCAAGUGGGUGGAAGCAUCAACAGUAAAAUCCAUAACUUCGGCCGAGGUCAAGAAUUUUAUCGAGACCAAGAUUCUGCACAGGUAUGGGGUGCCCGAAACUAUAGUAACGGAUCGUGGGCCAUCUUUUAUCUCAAAAGAAGUUGAGGAGUUUGCAAGCAAGUACAAAAUAAAGAUGAUCCAAUCCAGUCCAUACUACCCUCAAUCAAAUGGCCAAGCAGAGGCCAGCAACAAGAUCUUGGUCAACAUCAUCAAAAGAAUGGUGGUAGAUAGUCCAGAAAAGUGGCAUGAAAGGCUGGGGAACACUUUGUGGGCAUACAGAACUUCCAAGAGGGCAGGAACAGGGACAACUCCUUAUGCUUUAACUUUCGGGCAAGAUGCGGUACUCCCUAUGGAGAUCAAUGUAAGUUCGGUCAGAAUUCAGAACCAAUUUGGGUUACAUAGUGAAGAAUACAUCGAAGCCAUGUGUCAAGGAAUUGAAGACUUGGAUGUAGCCCGAAUUGAAGCCUUGAACCAGAUUCAAGAAGGAAAGAAAGUUGUUGCCCGAGCUUAUAACAAGAAGGUGAAGAUAAAGUCUUUCAAAGAAGGAGAUUUAGUGUGGAAAACAGUCAUCCCGCUAGGAGCUCAGCUCAGGGGCUUUGGAAAGUGGAGCCCGACAUGGGAAGGUCCUUUCAUUAUUAGUCGAGUUUUGAAUAAAGGAGGAUACUACCUAGCAUACCUCGAAGGAAAUGGGCAGAAACAUCCCAUUAAUGUUAAAUUCUUAAAGAAAUACUGUCCUACAUUAUGGGAUGUUAGAGAUUGUUACAUUGAAGAGGGGGCAAAGUAAAGCAGGCGUCGGGAGUUUCAUAUGCAGUGUUUGUUCAUCAACCAUUCAAAGAAAACAAAAAGACAAAAGUUGCUGAAAUAAUUUUUAUUUCAUGUCGACAAAUUGGUGAAAUUAACAAAAGAUUCAAUUUCUACAUAUUACAUUUGAUUCUCUCUAAGUAUAGUGAUUUCUUCAGCUGGUUUUCCGAUGUCUUCAUGGAUGGAACCCGAUCAGGUGAUCGGGUUGUGCGGCCAACAUAUGCUUGGUAGAGGAUCAUCCGACAGAGCCACCACCAUAUGUGAUGGUGAAGCCUGACUUAUGACGGCAGCAAGCAGGAAAUCAAGCCUUCGUGAAGAACUCGCCUGACCAAGGGUGUUGGGGAUAGCAGGGUGUUCGACCAAUGGUGUUGGAGAUAGCAGUCAUUUGAUGAAACCCCCUUUUUUCUCACGAAAAGGGAGUUUUAGGAAACUCCACUCAAAAUCUGAAGAACCCAUUUCUCAGUUUUUUUUUUUCCGAGGAAGAUUAGAUGGUUUUGACAGGAGGGGUUCCAAGCCAGAAUUUAUAGGACCCAGAGGACAGUUCAAAGGUCGUGGGAAGAUCAAGAGACUCCGGGUGCCAUUAAUUUCAUCCAAAAAACACAAGUUCCAAGGGCAAAGAUGCAGCCGCAUGAAGAACUUUUCAAUUAAUAUUGGCGCCUGGAAUUCCAGGCUAAAUAUCAAUUGAAGGGGGCACUGUUUGGAUCAAAACUUAACUUUGGGCCCAAGCAAAGAAGGCCCAAAAGAAGGCCUGAAGGAAGAGUCGGCCGAAGCCCAGCCGAGACCUAGAAAAGCAGGAAAGGGUCUCCUCUGACUUGGUGCAGCUCAUGAAGACCACUUGCCCACCUACCCAAAGGUCAAGUGGUAUAGACUGACCAGCUACACAGCCCAUAAAGUACUUUAUGGUGGCAUUACAUGUAAAAAAGCUGAUGAGUCAUCACCCUCAAACCACAUUCGGGCAAGGCUGUUGCUACAGGAGGACAUGCUGGGUUGUCUAUAAAAGAAGAAAGAGAAAUCAGGAUUAAGGACACUCAAUCAAACAAACAAAUGCAAGCACAAACUCUGCUCAAAAGCCAUAUUUGCCUUCAAAACGAAGCUGUAGUCAGCCCAAGCCUUCAUCCAUCGCGGGAUAACCUUUCCUUCAAACCUUUGUAAUAGCUCUGCUACCUUGUUCAACCUUGUUGUAGUAUCGAUUCACCUUUUGUAAUCUCUCUCCCUCUCUCAAAACUUUCAGACCUUUAACAAAACUACAAAGAUAGGAGCCUGCAAGACGAGCAGCCUUGCCUGAUAAGGUUUAACCUUGCCUGACCUUCUAUGCUUUGUAUUUUUUGUCUUUUCAUUCAUUAAGCCUAGUAAUAUGUUGUAUGAUCCCAGUUAUAUGCAAGUUAUUUCUAGCAAGAUGACCAUUAAAAAGCUUUCUCAGUACAUAGACCCGAUUUGAAUAGAUCUUCAGUAUUCAAAUCAGAUCUAAGUCCUAAGCCCUCGGGCAUGCAUAUUUGAUCAGUUAAAAGUCCUUGGCCUCAAGGCAUAAAAAAGAACCUUAUGUGGACUUAACCCAUCCACGACAAUCCUUGAUAAACGAGAAGUCCAAAGUUACUUGGGGCGCAAGUAAUCGACCUACCACUUAGUUUUAUUUCUAUUAUAUGAUGAUUAUCAUAGAACGUUUAUGCAUGGAAUGGAUUCUGAUAGGAAGCCUCAAGGCCUACACCUAAGGCCCCACAAAAGCACCUAUUUGGGUUCAUUCCGUUCUGCGAUCUAGAGCGUUCUGAGUAGAAAGAACAAAUUCUGAUAGAAAGCCUCAAGGCCUACACCUAAGGCCCCACAAAGGCACAUAUUUGGGUUUGUUCUAUCUCUCGGACGCAGGUAAUCAGAAGUAUAAUAGUUAUAAAACUCCUGCAAUCAAUGGAAUAAGUAUUAUGUAUUCGAGUACUGGUUUAGUAACCGAUGGGAAGCCUCAAGGCCUACACCUAAGGCCCCACAAAGGCACCUAUCAUAACUAACCCGGUUCCUCGGGCACAUAUAUAUAUACAUACAACUAAAACUCGACAUCCAUUUCAUAUCUGCCAUGCUGAAGAUGGCAGUGGCACGCCUGAGCACCUAAAAGUUAAUUUUGAUUGUGAGCCUCAAGGCCUACACCUAAGGCCCCACAAAGGCACAUUUCAAAGUUAACUUUGUCCUUCUCUUUCAGCCUUGCCCGACGAGCCUUGCCCGACGAGUCUUGCCCGAUAAAGAUUCGCCUGACGAAACUUGCCCGACAGAGCCCAACCGUGAAGCAGAAGCCCGACAGCAGCCCUCAACCGACGCCAAACCUCCAGGGGAGCUGUGCAUCUCGCCGACCAGGAAACUUGCCCGACGGGAAUUCCUGAAGCGAACAAGUUAGGUGGGCAUUGUUGUCAGUUAGGGUUGCAUUCGGUGGGAUCGAUGGCUCGGUGUGGGAUUUGGUGGGAAUGCAUGUUGCUUGCAAAGAGGAGGAGAGAGGGAAUGAGGGAGGGGGAGGGAGAGAUAUGGGUUUGGUGAGGGGAAGGCAUGCGACUUGCAGAGAGGAGUGAGGGAGAGAGGAUGAGAGAGGGAAUGAGGGAAGGGGAGGGAGAGAGAGAGGGGUUUGGUGAGGGGAAGGCAUGCGACUUGCAGAGAGGAAGGAGGGAGAGAGUUGGAGAGAGAGGGAAGGAUGGAGGGGGAGGGAGAGAGAGAGGGGUUUGGUGAGGGGAAGGCAUGCGACUUGUAGAGGGACGGAGCGAAGCUUAAAAGCAACUGCAAAAAGUUCAAUGGACAGGGUCGCAGCAAUGGAGACACCUCGCUCUGAACCAUUUCCCCUCUCCUCAGGCGAAUGCUGAACAAAGUUUUGAAGGAACAAAAAGAAGAAGAGCUACACAUAAUAGAAUCCGAUUUGCAAGGAAAAGAAGAAAGCCAGCUUUUCAAUGAAAAAGCUAAAAUCAAUCCCUUCAACCUCCUCAUCGGCAGCGGCACCCACGACCACCAGGUUCACUUUUAAUUUAAUUUUAAUUUUAAUUUUUUGCUUUUUUAGUGGAUUAAAGAAUAUGAAACGAAUUAUAAUUUAAAAUGGGGAAAUUUUGUUGAUUUUUGCGUUCAGUGUUCUGACUUUUGAGUGAUCAUCGAGCUGUGAUGGGUUGGUGUUGGAUUUGAUUCAAUUGAGGUAAAAGCUCUGCAUGAUUGUGAUACGGAGAAAAUGCUAGAAUCUUACCUUCGAUCCAAAUAUCUGAUUUUUGUUACAAUUGCUAUUUUCAUUGCAGGAAAAUGUGGCGGAGACAAUAAUUCCCAAAUCCUCGAGUUUUAUAAAUGCAUUCCAAUUGAUAGCCAUGUCAAAUGAUCUCGAUUUGUCAGGUAUGUUCGAGGAACAGGCAAGUUUACAAGAAAUAGAUUUACUAAAAUAACUAAUCCUACUUUUUUAGCUUAUAACGAAUAAUGUUGAACUGUUAACUUAAUUUAGGAUGAGAAAUAGAAGACAACAAGAAUUGGACCCAAGCAUACCAUUACUGAAACCAUGAAGAAAAUAGAAGCGGCUGCAACAGAUGCGAGUAUUCUGUAGCAAGAACAAACAACUUCAGGGUACAUGAAACUUAUAUUCAAUCGUACUUCUUUAUCUGCUUAUCAAAGUUCCUUCCUGCCAACUAAUGAUGUAUUAUUUUUUCAUCAGAUGUAAAUGCAUGCAAAAAUUCCAAUGGAAACGUAAAUCACCAUAUCCAGGUAAAUCCGAAUUGUAGAUCAGACUUAUAUUACAAUUUGCUUUCUUUGUGAAAUUUUAUUGUAAUCUCUGGCUUUUGAAAUUCUAUAUGAAAUUGUGAAUGUCAUUCGGAAUCAAGUCUGGCCGAGUUCUUUACUAAAUAGUGCGAAAAUAUGCAUGAUGAAACUAAAUUACUUUUGUAUCAUCUAUAUUUACCUGUUAUCAUAACAGGAUUUAAAAUAUAGAAACAUACUGCUUAAUGUAUAAUUGAGUGAAAUGCUAGUUUACAUAGAUAUUGUGCUUAUUUGUUUUAGGUGGAUUACCAAAAGGAGCUCAUCAAGUAUUCUGCGAGCACGAUCGACCUUGAUCAUUUGGAUAUUUAAAGGAGCCAUUGAUAAAGGGAAGACGACGAGUUGUGAACCUGUGUGCCAAUUUUGCCAAUUUUGCAGACAAGCAGAAACUCUGGCACUUGCCUCUGUCCUAUCCUCCUCUCGCCGCCGUCUCCCUUCUCUCACCUCCGUCGUCUUACUCCUCCUUUCUCUGUCUCUGGAAUCCUAUCGUCAUCUUCCUCGCAUGCAAGGCUCUGGCCCUUUCAAUUGAAACCAAAACGUGUUUCAGGUGCCUAACACAACCUCUCACUACUCACUCACAUCAGUUGGUUUUUGUAAUUUGAACUUUUUUUUCUAAUAAAUUUGUAUGCUUUCUGGAUUUUUAUGGCAGUUUUGGACCUUAUCUUUUCUGAAUUUGUGUGCUUCUCUGGGUUUUUUAAUGGCAGUUCUGAGGAAGAGCAAGAAAAAGGAAGAACCAGUAUUAGAAGAUCUUCCCAAAGAGUACUGUGAUGAUGUGAGUGCCUUUAUUCUUUAACUUGGCCAAAUGGGUGCUCAAAUUUCACGUUUUUCUGUGAUUAUACGAGUAAAUUUAUGUUUUUUGUUUUUGGGUUUUGCCAAAUUCAAUGGUGGUAUUUAUGGGUUUGGUAUUGAUUUUCAGAUUAACAAUGACUUUGGGGAAAUUGAUUGAGUCUGCAUUCAAUGUAACUUUUCAUGCAGUUACAUACUGAUGAAAUAGAAUUCAAUUUUUUCAUUCCUUUUUUUUUAAAUGCAGUUACAUUUAUAUGAUGAUUUACAGCAUAUAUUUAUCUUUUAGAUUCUAAUUCUUCAUGCAGUCUAAGCCAUGAAGGAUUUGAUAAACCCACAAUUGAUAACAAUGUGCGGCGGCACCAACGGUUUUGGACAAGGAACAAGUAAGUACCAUUUUGUUUCAUUGUUUCAAAGUAUUAUGUAGAGAUUGCUUUAAUAUCUUGGCUUCUUUGCUGUUUGUGGGGUGUAUGAGAUAGGAUUUAGGAGAUCUGGUUUAGAUUUUGCAAAGAGAGUGUGUCCGAGAGAAAUGUGGGAGGAUUUAGGCGAGGGAUUUCAGGGAUUUGUUUAGGGUUUCUUUUCUGCGAUUUGCAGACAGAGAGAUGGGACAAGGGUGAGAGAGAGAUGGGAGGAUUUUCUGCGAGGGUAGAGGGAACGGGUAAGGGAGGUAUGGGUAUGGGUAGGGGAUGGAAAAACAUUUCGUUUUCCAUUUGCUUCCUCAAACCCGAGGGAUUGCUGCAAUUGCAGAGAGAGAUGGGGGUGUUCGUUAGGUCCCCUUUCAGUGUCACAUUUGUGCUUUGUCCACCCUUGAUUGUUGUGUGAUUCAUUCUCACGAACGUUCUAUGCACAAGGUUUCAUGUUAUUCCUUCCUUUUAAUUUUGAUAUUAUUGUGCUUAAUUUCUAUUUUAUUUUAUUGGGUGAUUAGAUUAACAGACUUUGGAUAUUUGGUAUAAUAAUUUCACAUCACGUGUUGCCCUUUUGCAUCACCUUAAUUGUUCAUCAGAUGCUAACUUUUAAUUAUGUUUUCUUUGGGUCAGUCUCCAUCUGGUACAUGUGUCCAUCCUUCUGGAGUGGAGCACUAUCUUUCUGACAGCAUAAAUGCUCUGAGAAGCUACUAUGGAGACAAGCAGUUGUUUACUCCGUUCUAGGUAUGUUUUUCUUUAGUAUUUUAGAGGGAUUCUUAACUAUUCCCCAUUGUAAUCUUUACCUUUGUAUCUAUCUCUCUCAAAAGACGAUGAGAGUAGCAACUGUUGCAAAGCAAAUUCUCAGAUGUAUAUAAGCAUAUACAUACAUUGGACAAAAACCGAAUCUUAAAUUGGGGCAGUGAGUUCUGCAACAUCUUGGUGCUGCAUAUAUUCUCACACUUUUAAAAGUUGUAUUUCUCAUAUACAUUGGGAAUUUUAAUUAGUUUUAUUUCAUUUUUGUAGGGCAAUUUAGUAGAUAUUUAGACAUAAAAGAAGAUGCGUGAAUCAAUACAAUUAACCUAAUAGUGAUUUGGUUCAGCGUAAAGACCAUUGCUAGGGCACUCAAGCCAUUUUCUUAAUUUAUGCGCAUAUAUAUUAUACGUAACCAGAACAUGUUUCCAAAGGAUGUUAGUUAGUGUUCAUGCUCUGCUGAUAUUUUAUUCUGUUCAUUUUGAUUUUGUUUUUCAGUUGUGGUUAUAGGAUUGUUUUGUCUCUCUUUUUUUCUUUUUUGUUUUCCCUCGUACAACUUUUCUAAAAUUGAACUGUAGUUCUCAAUUUGGUUCUUUGAACCGAGGCCAAUUGGGCUGUGCCUUUGGAAGGUCUCACUGCUAUUAAAGUUGAAUGGUGCUAACUGAAUAUAAUGCGUUCAUUCUUCGGUGUGUGUGAGUGUAUGUGUAUGCAGUCUAUGCGAGUGCAUGCAGUGCGGUUAGGUUCAUUCCCGCAUGGGUUUUCGUCUUUUUUUCGUUAAAUGGUUAGGUUCAUUCCCGUAUGGGAGAGGUGUGUUUUUGCCAUCAAAUUGGUAGAGACUGAUCUUAAUCAAAUAUCAUGCCAUAGUGUUAUUUUGUUUGCAUCUAUGGAACUAUAUAUUUACUUCGUUGUUGUUGACAGCUUCGCAUGUUCCUUCCAGAUAAUGCUGCCUUUUUGGAUUUCGUAUGAGUGUCCCGGGUCGGUUCUGGACCAACAAAAGAGGGAUGAUCGCUGUCAUUCGGACUGCAGGCGUCCACUUCAAAAUCCCGGUAAACACAUCCUUUUCUUGAUUUCAGGCCAUGCAAAAUUCAUGGUGAAAAAACUGAGCUCAUGUCGUUGGUUUGUGCCUCUGUCCUAUUUCUUAUUUAUUUAUUUAUUUUAUCAAUCCUUUUCCUUCUUGGUUCUAUUUGUUGCUGCUGGUUCCGAUAUUUCAUUGCCCUAUGUGUGCAUGAUAUCAGUGCUGCCACUUUUCAUAUUCUUAUCAAUGCUUACAUCUUCACUCUUUUCCUUCUGUUUCUUUUGCUUAACAUGGUUUCGGCUUUUUGAGAUUGUGUGUUUGAUUAACAUUUGAUCGUAUGGUGUUAGAUUUUAAAUUUGAUGUGAAUAAAUUCUGCCAGCGGGGAUUUUGGUCUCUGGAUUUUUCAUGGUGUAAUUUUUAUGGCAUGAUCCAUUGGUGUUGUGUGCAUUUUUAUCAACAAUAAUAAGCUUUUUCUCAGCAUUGCAAACAAGUUUUCUUAUAACUAAGAGACGAGUGCAUGGUGCAUGUGUCUUAAUUUAUUCAGGUUAAAUAUAUCUUAUUUAUGCAGUUAAGGUGGGUGCAUUCAAGUCCCGCAGCAACACGCGGGCAUAUUUUCUCGUUGAGACUAAAGGAGGUCUUAACGCCAAAUACUGUUCUGUAUAUUUACGAAUGGUUUAAAGUUUGGGUUUAAUUGGAUAAUCAGAGAGUAGUGCGUCAGACUAUGGAUAUUCAGAAACUGAAAGCAUAAUUCAUAUUCUUCUAACAAGUCCACGCAAAUAACCACAAUCACAAUGUUAUUUAUAACUGGCCAUGUAGAACGCAGUACAAAAGCACUAAAAGCGUCCAAGUGAAAGUACUUUCUUCUCAUGUAGUUUCAUUUAACUUAGUUUUGACAUGCCAAUCAGUCACACACUCAAGUCCUGAACGUUCGGGCUCAAUGGCUCCAAGAGAGCUUCCACUUCACUCUGAUUCACCUCCUCUAACCUUGACAGGUUCCACUUCGGAUUCUGCAUUGACAAGAAACCGAAGCCAAAGAUAAAGAUCCGUUCUGAUAUACAGAAAGUAAGAUGAUUAUAUAACUGUAGGUCUUGUAGAGGCGAUCUUAUAGCAACUCAGUCCACAAAGACGAUCUUAUAGCAAGGCGAUAUUAUCACAUCAGUCAACUUUUGUUGGUCAAGUAAAGCACAUGUUACUCACAGAAAAUGUGAAAUACUACAAAACAAAACCUAUCAAAAGGAUGCAACCAUGUGAUGAAAGAAACGAAAAGGUACGAAGUCCAGACUCACUGGAUAAUUCAUAAUUGGUUGUCAUUUUUCCCAAGCGCAGAUGCCAACUUUGGAGAAGUAAUUUUUUGUCAAAUAAAGUGAAAAAGGAGCACCCUCUCCAAGACCUUGAAGAGCUUUGUUAGCCCACUCCACUGCAAUAGAAACAAUUUGGUCGAAAAUACUUGACAGUGACAUACAAGCCUCUCAAUAGAAGAGUACGACAAACUUACCAGUAGCAUCUGAACUCAGCUGCUGCUUUUUAAGUUCAUCAAUUGUCUCAAGAACCGACUUAUUUACACCAAAUGCUGAAGUUAUUUGAGGCAAAAGCCUCUUGAGUUGCGUUCCAGAAUCUGGGUUGCUGCUGAAUUUGGCCACAGUUGUUUCAAUGUUCUGAAGGGGAUCCUGGGAACUGCAUCAACAAUGGAGUUGCUUUUAUCUCAACAAACGCAUUAGACAAUGUGAUGAUGCCAACUAAAGCAUCGGAAACGCAUAGCAAGAACAGUGCUCUGAAAUUUGAAAAGCCACUGCAAUGUAAUUGACAACAUUGACAAUCUCUGUCUGACAAGGCAAUAGUACCUCUGCAAUGAUCCGGUAGCGACCGGUGACCUGAUAGGCCAAUACCAAAGCCCACUGUUAUGUCACCCAUGAAGCUUAUAUAGGGCUUCUUGCACAGAGAUUUUGCAUAUUAGAGAAUACUCAGCAGUGGAUACCUGAAAAACCUGCAGCACAGAUAUCAUAUCGCUAGCCUCUGAAUCUUGAGAAUACUAUAAAUGGUAGCUUAUAAAAGAAAUGAAUCCUAUCCAACCAAUACAUAUCAUACUACCCAAGUCAAAGCAAAAUCAAGACUAACAAAUGAUCAGAUGUUGUAGGUUGCCCGAGAAUGCCAAACAUGAAAUUACAAAAGGAAAAAUCGUAUGUGUUGGACAUUAGUAAAUAAAUGAUGAAAGCACAAUCUUAGCAAUUAAAGAAAUGUUGAAAUUUUACAUGGGUUUUUGUAAUGUUGAAAUGUUUCCGGAUGCAAUAUGUCUUCAAAAUUCAAAACAAUUACUUACUGGAAAAUCAUAAGAAUCUGAAAGAAGUAUGAAAUGUUGACUUGCUGAUGAUGAAGCUGGAGGUAAUCUGUAGUCCAGGAGCUCAGAAUGUGAUGAUGAGGAUGAGUCUGAUGAUGACAAUGCAACACGACCUUGAUCGUGUCUCACCAUAGAACCGAUCUGGGUGUGACUUAAUCUUGACAGAAGAUGCUUUCACUUCAAAAUUUUUGCCUUUUCCCCUUUCUGUCAUCUGUAGUAAUUCUCAUUUGAUUACUGGGAUUACUAUUAUCAGAUGAUUCAUGGCUUGGUUCUGCCUCAUCAUAGAACCAAGCUGGAUGUGGGUCAGAAACAUAACCAGCACUAUUCAUAGCAAGCAUAUUUUCUUUCAUUGGCUUAUCCCACGCUAGAUUAACUCCUGUUCUCUUAACAGUAAAUAAAUAAUAAGGAUCCACACUUACAAAAGGUUCUUCAAAAAUUAUAUCAACUUUAUCCCCGCCUUGCAAAUUGAGCUUAUCGUUCGAUAGUUGUCCUAGCCAAAUAUAAUCAGGUUCAGGCAUGUCGUCUAUUUCUUCUCCGUCUAUUUCUUCUCCGCGUAUGGCUAUGCAGGCUCGCAACUCAGUACGCUUGGUGUGAUUUAUAACAGUAAUGUGAAGAGAAUAAUAAUUAUUUUUUGAGUGGUAAAAGCAGAAUAGAGUCAGGCCUUUAAAAUUACGAACACUCCGGGGAAUAUCAAAACUGACUUUAUUGCCAUUGUUGACAAACUCAAACCAACCAGGAACAUAAUUCCCAUGGAAGAAAAUGCCACCAAAUCCGCAAGAAGUCCAUCCCUAUAUAAACAAUGCAAGUGUCAUAUAUAUACAUGUACAUGUGCGUUUGUGCGUGCAUGCGCACGAUAGGAAGGCAAUUAAAAGAAAGAGGGAGAGAUACCUGUAGGAUGUUCUUCUUAAAAUUAUCUGUGAGAUUGGUGCACCUUUUCAUAUCAAUCAAUGUCAUGGAGGAUAAUGACUUAUCCAAGCCUGGAACCUCAGUGAGUUUGGACGAAUCACUUAAAUUCAGUUUUCUCAUCUUUGACAUUUCCGAAAAAUUGGGCAUUAUUUUCAAUGUAGGGCAACCAGGUGCCUUCAAGACUUCCAAAUUUGUUGGUAAAUUGGGGAUUGUAUGAAGAUUUCUGCAUUUACUGAGCUUCAGAGUUUCAAGCUUUGAAAGAUCAUUGAGGCUCGGUAGGCUACAAAAAGAAUUCCCUUUAAGAUUCAAAUCUUGUAAGGAAAUUAGACUCCCAAGAUCCUUAGGGAUUUUAUUAUCAUCUAAUUUGCACCAUGAGAGAUCUAACCGAGUGAGAUUGUUCAAUCUUACUAUGGAAGGUGGUACUCGUUUUAUGGCUGUGGAAUCUGCAUCAAGUAUUUUCAAUGAUAUCAUCUUCCCUAAAUCCUUAUGCAGUUUUUUGAAAUUUGAACAGAACGAAAGAAAAAGAGUCUCAACAGAUUUCGACUUAUAGAAAUCCCCUGGAAGAAAAAUAAGAUUGUCACAGAAUCUAAGGUUCACCAAAGAAAGUCUUUUAAGAUAACCAAUAGAGGGGUGAAUUCCGGACAAUUUAUUGCAGUAUUCCAAUAUCAACUCUUCAAGAUUUGGGACUUGUGAAAAGUCUGGUGAUUUAAUUAGGUCACUAGAAAAACUGAGAUCAAUGAUCUUCAACUUCUGGAGCGAGAGCGACUAAUGCACAAAACCAAAGAAAAAUUGAAAUUAAUAUCCAAAAAGAAAAUCUUAUAAAAAAGAAGGAAUCCAAAAACAAAUAGAAACAGAACAUUAUGACGUGUAAUUGAUUAUACCUUGGAACCCUGCCAAAACUGUACCAAUUUACUAUCGUGCAUCUGUAUAGCAACUAGUUUCUCUUGAUUUAAAAAGUCAUCUGGUAUGGACUGUAAAGGGAAUUUACUCCAACAGAACCAUAUUAACUCUUUGGGAAGAUGUUCGUAUUUUCCAUUGAGCUUAUUAGCGUAGUCGAGCCGAAGUAAUCUCAGUUUCUUCAUAUUGGCAAAUGCUUCUGUACUGAAACUAGUCUUGUCAGAGCUUGGUAACCCGGGAUAAGGGAUAUCUAGAGCAAGUCCUUCAACUUCUUCAGUUCCCUGUUAAAAAAAAAAAAAAAAAGUUUAAGUAAGAAAUAGAUUAUUUGCAUAUGUUUACAUGAUUUUGCAUAAUGAAUUAUACUUGCAUUCCCCCUUUGGGGUGACAAGCUCAUUCUGCCGCUUGCAAAUAACAUUUCUUAAUCGUACAAAUUUUCAUUGUGGAACCAUUCAAUUUCUUACUCUUAUAAUCAUUACAAAAAAUUUGAAUCAGAGAUCACUUAAUUUAGACAUCCAAAUGUAUCAAUAAAUGGAUAAUUCAUUAUUGAUAUGUUACUUAGGCAAAAUCACGUACUAUGAAUAAAUGCGAGUACUAUUGUUGGCUAAUUGAGCUUUCCUUGUGCAACUAACAUAUAUACACAUGAAUGUUGUCUAAUGUAUAAUAGACAUUUUGUUAAAGAAAAAAUGUAUAAUAGACAUACGUGGGUUAUAUAUGCUUUUCCUGUACAAUGCAUUAAUCCAAAAUUUUAUUGGGAAUAUACUUACAAAUUUAUUUGUUAAUACAUUGGUGACCUCUCGAGAAUUCCACAACCUGCUCCAUUUUCCAGGGUGACCGGGGGACUUUUCAGAAAUGAUUACUCUGGCCAUUUCUCGAAGCAAAUCAUGCAUAUACAAUAUGUUGCGUUCAACAGUUACAAGGCAUCGUUCACAGAGGACACUGAUUUCUAUUGUUGCAAAAAAUUCACAUCCAUCUAAUACUUUUGCGACAUAGUCCUUUUCCCAUCCAAUAAAGAAACAAGAUAUGUCAAGGAAAGUAGCCUUUUGUGUACGAUCCAGCUUUUCAAAGCUUACUCUUAGCGGUUUCAUUAUUCCUUCAUGAGGAAUUUUUUUUAAUUUCUCCAACUGACUUUUCCACUCUGUUGGGACUCUUUCAAUCAUAGAAGAACCUAAAACUUCAAGGGCUAGUGGCAAACCACCACAGUGAGAAACAACCUCUUUUGAGAGUUCAAGAUAUCCUUCAUUAGGACAACUAUUUCCAAAGGCAUGCCAACUAAAGAGUUUCAAAGCUUCUUCUUCAUUCAUUUCCUUAAGCGGAUAUGUCUCGUCCACUUUCAUGUUCACUUGCUUUAGUAAACGAUCAUCUCGUGUCGUUAUGAUAAUUCUACUUCCUAGGCCAAACCAAUCACGAUUUCCAGCUAUUGCAUUUAGUUGUUCCACUUUGUCUACAUUGUCAAUAAUGACAAGUACUCUUCUACUUUGGAGAUGAUGUUUUAUCAGACUGAUACCUUCAUCAACACUGGUUAUCUCACGCUUGUUCUGUUUCAAGAUGUUAGAAACAAGUUGUUCUUGCGAAACAACCAGAUCUUUUUCACUAACGUUGUUAAGGAAACUUUUGAAUUGGAACUCAUGAUGAAUUUUGUUAUAAAUGGCUUUGGCAGCUGUUGUUUUACCCAAUCCACCCAUCCCCCAAAUUCCAACCAUGCGAACAACAUUUGAUCCACCAUUUGAAAGAAAAGUGAUGAUAUCUUGAAUGCGAGUAUAUAUUCCAACUGGGUGCUUGGCCACAUGUAAACUUUCUGCGCUCGGAAGCCAUUCCGGGAUAAUCUUGUUAACAAUUUCUCUAAUAAGCUUUGCUUCGCACCUGAAAAAUUGAAUUGGUAAGCUUAGUAAGUAGGCUCAGUAUGAGCUAUUAGUAUAUUUCCUUGUUUCCUUCGCGCGCGUGUGUGCACACAAACUAUCUACUAUAGCUAGUAUGUGAUUUUGGGACCAACGUCAAUAAAAGAAACAAAUUCAUUCAUGGAUAUAUUAAAGUUUGGUGUAUCAAUUAAACUCCAAUUAUGGUUUAGGUUUUACAGGAAAUUGGAGAAAUGGUCCCUGAACUAUGAUUGAACUGUAGCUUUGGUUCUUAAACUAAAAAAUUCAAUAAAUCUUGUCCUUGAACUUAACAAAAUAUGGAGCAUUCAUCCCUCCAUGUUAACACCGUAAGAUUUUCUGUUAAUUUGAUGACGUCAUCUUUGUGGGCUCUAUAUUUUUGUUUACUAGAUGCCACGUGGCUUGAAAAUUCAAAAUAAAAGAAAAUAAAUACAAACAUAGAGAAAGAAAAAGAAAAAAAAAAUAUUUCAAUUAUAAAAGUUAACUCUCUCCAAUCCUCCCUUCCGCCUCCCCUCCUCCAAACCCCAGCCACACCAUUGUAGCACUUUCCCAACAGCAAAAACAAAGAAAGUUUAUAAUCCAAAUUUGGAACACAUCUCCCUUUGCAAACAAAUUCACAAUGACAUCCAUCCACGUUGUCUCGACAGGUAAGAUUCAAGAAAUUUGUGAGAUGUGGGUUUGGGUGACGGCUGUGGUCCAUGGGCUACAGGUUGGGGCCGGCUGGGGAGUGGGGAUUAGGGAUUUGGGGUUGGAAGUGGGAGGUUGACGGGUGUGAAUCAAAGAUUGAAGGUGAAGGGGUGGGCUGCGAGCCUGCGAGUGUUGGUGGGAUGAGGUACGCCUGCAAUUAUAUAUAUAUAUAUAUAGUAGACACUUUUAACUAAAAUUUAAAGGAAUUGGUUACGAAGGACUAAUGCUCCAUAUUUUAUCAAGUUCAAGGACAAAAUAUAAUGAAUUUUUAAUUUAGGAACCAAAGCUACAAUUUUCCUCAAGAUUUUAUAUGAGAGAUUAAGGUGUAUUAAUUAAGCAUGUUAAUUAGAGUAAUACAACUUAAAUAUUGAAAAGCACAAUGAUUACCUGCAAUUAUAUAUAUAUAUAUAUAUAUAUAUAUAUAGUAGACACUUUUAACUAAAAUUUAAAGGAAUUGGUUACGAAGGACUAACGCUCCAUAUUUUAUCAAGUUCAAGGACAAAAUAUAAUGAAUUUUUAAUUUAGGAACCAAAGCUACAAUUUUCCUCUAGAUUUUAUAUGAGAGAUUAAGGUGUAUUAAUUAAGCAUGUUAAUUAGAGUAAUACAACUUAAAUAUUGAAAAGCACAAUGAUUACCUCUUAUCAGUGAUUUGAAGAUGGUAGCCAGACAAAUUUGCAGCUUUUGUAAGAACCUCUCCCCACUGCUUUAUCCCUUCUUGUUUAGCUUCACGUUUCUUGUCAUCCUUUUCUUCACCGAUGCCCUCUUCGUGCUUCUGAAAUUCUUCAGCCAACUCUGCAGCUUCUCUAAGAGCCUCUGUCCACUGCUUUACCCUUUCUCGUUUUUCUUCACGUUUCUUGUCAUCUUUUUCUUUACUGAUGUUCUCUUCGUGUUUCUUAAAUGCUUGGGCCAAAACUCCAUUCUGCUUCCUGACAUGUGAAGGAUCAACGUGAUAGAAUAUUGGCAAAACAUGUCGCCCCAAUUUGUCUCUGCACUCCAUGAUCUUCACCAGCUCGUUAAGACACCAACUCGAAUCCGCAUACCUCUCUGAGAAGACAAUGAUAUAGAUCUUCGAUUUUUCGAUUGCCUGUUCCAGUUCUUUUUUUAUUUCUUCCCCUCUUUCUAGAUCGUCCUCAUCGAUAUACGCUUGAUAUCCCCUAUCUGUUAAUGCCGCGUGGAGGUGGUCCGUGAAGCCACUGUGUGUGUCUACACCGCUGAAGCUCAAGAACACGUCGUAAUUCCAAAGUUUUGACUUGGGGGAGGAUGAAGAGGAGGCUUCAUGGUUUGUCAUGGCGGUAUCCACUGUUAUGGCACUGCAGUGGUUCAGAUUAUGACUGAAAAAUGGCAGUAGUUGUGUUUGUGCUAUUGAACAGAUGAUCCUGAAACACCUAAACCCAAGUCAAGCUCCUUAAGUCAACAAGAACAAAGUUUAUAAUAUAAUAAUGUUGGCGUAUGGAAACGACAUAAUGUUGGCCAGAAGGUGCAGAGACAAACUUGAAUGCAAGCUUUCUGAAAUCUUCCAACCAAUACAGAUAAAAAGGUAACACCCUAGUCAGAAAUGAACUGAGGUGUUAGCUUUCUAAGACACCCAGAUGACAAAAUCAACAAAAUAGAAUGGAAAACUGACUUACACUUUUAAGGCAUGCUAGAAUCUUGAUCUAAAAUUGGUGGUGGGUCGAUUGUUGGUCACCAACUCUAAAUGAAGAAUUCAUCAGAACCUAGAAAAUUAAACAAAGAACUUUCCAAAAUCAACAUUUACUAAAAACCAUUUACUUGGUUAUCAUGCAAGAUGGCUUGCCAAAGAUUGAAUUAAGGAAUGCAAAACUUUACUUUUAUGAUGAUUUCCAAUGACAGCUAAAAGGUCAGAACCAAAUGAAAAUAAAAGUUAGGACUUCACAAAACCAAUUAAAAUCUAAUUCCAAAGUUACAAACACCCACCAAAUGAUUCCAGAUAAAGUUUUAAACUCAAGGUCAGACCCAAAUGAAAUUAAAAGUUAGGACUUCACAAAACCAAUUGAAAAUCUGAUUCCAAAGUUUCAAACACACACCAAAUGAUUCCGAAUAAAGUUUAAACUAAAAAACCCAACAGAAACAAAAGCAUUGGUGUGAAUUAACAGUAUCUAAUUGAAGAAACUAAAACAAAAGUAAAGUAAAGUAUAUACCUCAAAAUAUCAAGCAAUUAAGUUCUUCCUCCGAUGACCCAAAACUCUGAAAAUUCCACACAAAAAAAAAGGUAAAUCCAUUAGCAAUUCAUAGCUUUCAAAAUCAGCAAAAACUUGGGCAACAAUAAAGAUGCGUUGAGAACCAUCACUCUUUCUCCUUAUGUAUUUGAAAAGAUAUUUUAUAAGCAAUUUAUGUAGUCAUUCUGAUCAUGUUGCAUAUAAAUUCCUUUUCUACAGAGUUCAAAAAAAAUAGGGCAGUUUAUGGCAUCUGUUGAAUAACAUGGUUGAAAGAUUUAAAAUUGAUAAAUUCAAUUUUUAUGUGUAAAACUAUAACAUAUAGCUAAAGCUAUUGGGUCUAUAUAUCCAUAUCAAUCAUGUCGUAAUUGAAGGUUUAUCGAUGUAAAUAGAUGAUUUCAGUCAUGUGAAGUAUAUGCUGAAGUUUGGUCUAAGUUAGAUAAAAAUUGACCAAAAUCUUAAUAAGAGACUCUUUUAGCUUUUAACCAAAAAAUGAGCACCACAAUACUACACUUAUAAGUUUUAUCAUGCACAAAAUACAUAGCACUGAUUGCUACUUUUAGAGCAAGAACAAUACUUUCCAAGAAAACAACAAAACACUCAAAACCCAGAAACAGAAACACACUUAGGACUCCAACUCCUCAAAAACAUGAGAAAGAGAGAGAGUGUGUGCGAGGAGAGAGAAUAAAAAACCAUAUUAAUUUUCACACAAACUCAAAAUUGCUUAUAAAAUUACAAAUCAAAACAAAUGAAAGCAAAUCCAAAUUGCCCUAAAUUAAAUCUGAUUAGUUAAACGUUUGUUGCCCUACAAAUGUCGUUACACCCGACACAACUUGCUUUGAAGUUGAUAUUUUGGUCAAUCCAGGGAAAAAGGAGUUAUUGGUUUUGGAGCGGUUGUCAUGGAGAAUACCAUCUCCCUGUUGAAUGAUCUAAAAAAGGACUUACAGCUUCUGCUGGCCAUAAUAAGGCCCUUCUCUCCAGAUUUUCUCAAUAACUUUCCUUUUCGUAGCUGGUAAGAUUGCAACUCCAAGAAUUGCUCUGAAGAGAUAUACAAAAAAAUCAAACUAAAACUAAGCUAUUGGAAGAAAUUUAGAAAACACAAACAUCACUACAACUCAGAUUUAAAGUCAACAGAAACCAAAUGGUAGAAGUUGAAAAAAUACAUGGUCAUGAAUCGAGAACUUCAUCAAGCUACAACAACAACAACAACAACAAAGCCUUUUCCCACUAAGUGGGGUCGGCUAUAUGAAUCCUAGAACGCCAUUGCGCUCGGUUUUGUGUCAUGUCCUCCGUUAGAUCCAAGUACUCUAAGUCUUUUCUUAGAGUCUCUUCCAAAGUUUUCCUAGGUCUUCCUCUACCCCUUCGGCCCUGAACCUCUGUCCCGUAGUCACAUCUUCGAACCGGAGCGUCAGUCGGCCUUCAUCAAGCUAACAGCAAUAAAAUCUCAUAUAAUCUGUCAAAAACCAAAAAAGAGAGAGAGGUAAUUUCAAGACCUUGUAAUGCCGAGGCCUCGUACAAUUGUAGUAAUAAUAUAUGGUUGAUGCACCUGUUGCUCAAUCAAAUCCUUUGUCUGGCUAAAAAAAAUAAAAAUCUAUAAAUACAUUCAUGUCCAAUUUAUGAGAAAUCAUGGGAAAGCAAAUGCACUGAUAACGGAAUCAUGAAUAUGAAAAACUUGCCAAAAAGAAAAAGAAAACUUCUUAUAGUGUGCCAAGAACAUCCUCCUACUCCUAGCAAACUUUUUAUGGCAUUAUCCACUUCUCAAUUCAUAAUUCAACCACUAACUCAAAGUCUAUAGUGUAUGAAAAAGUGAUAUCUUAGUUGAUCACGAUGAUAAUUAAGCAGAUUAAAUGACAACCCAUAAAGCAUACAAAUUCAGAAAAGAAAAGGUUCAAAACUGCCAUAAGAAAACAUAGAAUAUAUAAACGGGAAAUCAAAAGAAGAGAGGCGAAAAAGGAAGAAAAAACCAAACAAAAUUAUUAGGUUUGGGAUAUACCUUUAUCUGAAACGCCACAAUCAUCAAAGUCAAACAUAAACAAUCCAAAAAGUUGUGGAAAAUAACAAUAAAUGCUCAACGAAAAACGAAAGAAACGUAGAAUAAGUUUACCUGUCCUCCCCCUAAUAAUACAAUUCACCACUUAUAUUCUCGUCAUCCUCUUCAGCCUGAAAAAUUUAGUAGAAAUAUUCAAUGAAGGCGCUUAAUGGAGACAGUAAUAUUAGCAAUGGAGGAAUUGAAUUGAUAACUAAAACUGCAAGACCAAUUGACUACGAUAGGUUCAAAACAGAAACUCAUCUGUUAGAUGUCUCAUCUUUAGGCAGUGCCUUGUUCUUUUCUUUUUUUUGUUCUUUUUUUUUUUUUGUUUUUGGUUGCACGUCUUGUGACGUUCAUGUAAAUGAACAAAAUUGAUACUUUUGACACAACCAACAAUGGAGAGGUAAAAAGUUAAAAACAGAAGGAAUGUCUUUUGUUAUGUAAUAGAUUUUGCAAGUCAGAAAUUCUGUUCGAGAAUUUGCAACCCAGAAAGUCCGCCAGCAAUUAUUAACAAUCACAGAUAAGCACCGAAUGAAGGCCAAUCUAAUAAGCCAAAAUAUGUAGGGCACUAAAGAAAUUAUUGCCCAGUAACAAAUGAUAGAUAAGCACAUGUGAAACUAAAGAAAUUUUUCCUUACUAUCAACUCCAAAAAAAUAACCUAUACAAUUCAAAAAAUGUUGAUACAUGCCUGAAAUUGGUAUUUGAACCACCAACUACCUCCGUGAAUAUGUUUGUUUGCUUAAUGGUUUGCGUUGAAGUUGUGAAAGGAAAUGCAAUUUCUUAAAAGAAGGAGAAUGCAGAGACAAAUACAGAAUGGUUCACGUGGCCACCCUCAAAACAAUAAUGUCGUAUACAUUAAGCCUGCCAAUUACUAAAAACAAAACAUUUUGCCAUGAGGAGAAGUAAGAACAUACCGAAACUUGUUUGCAAAUAGAUGAGAAAAAUUAUACCUCAAACAGAUGGGAAAUUUAUUAGGAAAGAUAGAUCAGCCCACAUGUGUGUAAUCUAUAUACAAAAAACCACUCUCUUCAUUAGCCAAAUCGUUUCAUAAAUCCAACAACACAUAAUUAUAUCUUGAACAAUGCCAAUUAAUGAUUUCCCAUUUACUUAAGCCGGACAACAAAGCCAAUGAACUGAUGAAAGAGCGAAAAAGAGAAACAAAAAACCUCAAUUAAGCAAUUAAAUGGAGUAUUACUUGAUAGAGCUGGAAAUUACCCAAUUCCUCAGAGAGAGGAUCAAGAGUGACUGAUGAGAGUGCAGAGAAACGAAUUAUUGAGAAAUUCAAGUUCUGAGCUCAAAGUUGGGGCCUCCACUUUCCAACUGGGGAAGAAAUAACAGAGAAAACACAGAGAGAGCCAAUCCACCAAAAAUAUUAAUCAAAUGGGUUUCUUCUAAUUCAAAAUUUGGACCACCCAAUUUCCGAUGAAGCAAUAACCAUUCAAAAUUCCAACAGAUUGAAGCCCUCACAGACUACAAAUUAUCAAUACCCAGCAAUAAAAAAUUUGAAAACAGUAAUAAUGAAGGAAAAAGAAAUUAAAGCUGCGAGCCAUUCUCUAAAUCUCAGGCACCAAUCCAAAUCACCAGUAAUUUGCACAUAAUGAUAAGAAUCUAGCGGUAUUUCCAUUGUUUAAAAACCCAAAUUCAAGAAAUCAUGAAAAAUGGAAACUUUAUUUGGAAAUUGAAGCUUUACCUGCAGAUCAGCAGCAGCAAACGGAAUCCAACGGCAUGUACCUCAAAAGUGAGAGAGAGAGAGAGAGUUGAGAGAUGAGUGAGAGAAUCGAUAAACAAAACCCCCCAAAAUCACAAAAGGAAAAUUGAACAGAAAACAAAUUUGCAAAUCCAAAAUCACAAAAACGAAAUUGAAACACCCACACUGAGAAAGCUGCAAUACUCACCAGGAAGCUAGCUUUUCUGGGUAAAAAAAUUGUUCGAAUCGAAUUGAAGAACCGAGGAAAAUUCUACUGGUUCAGUGGUUUUUCCAGCAAGAAAGCACCUUGUUUGUAAUUCGUGAGAGGUUGGACGGCGAGAGAGAAAAACGUAAAGGAAAGGAAAAGCGGAGAAGAAGUCACGAUUAUCGACGCGUGGGUUGCAUUCCACUGUGCCAAGUUCGAAAAUGAACGGGGAAUGGGGAGCUUGGCUGAGGGAGACAGAAUUCGAGAAGCAACGUUCUGAUUUUUUUUUUUAUAUGAGAGAGGGAAAGAGGAAUGAAGAGAAUCGACAAGAGGAGGAACCAUUUUAAGCGAUGAUGGACGCGUGGGAAUUGAGGGCAAAUUUGCCAUUUUGCUGUGAACCCAAAAGUCAAGACUUGGCUUGGUUUAUAUAAUUAAUCAAUAAUAUUUCAUAACAAGAGCUAGGUCCAUAUAUUAUACAAGGUUCUAAUAUAAUAGAUGUUGUGGCUAGGCGAGGCUUAUUGUCUAUGCGAAUUUAAGUAAAUUUACUCUAUAUUAAAUAAAUAAAUAUAUUUUUACACUUAAAAUGACACAUAAUUGUAUUGUGAUAUAUAAAUUAUAAAAUAAAAUGAUAUAUAUAUUAUAAAGUAUUGGAGACCCAAAUGUGAAAUGACAACUAUAAACAAUUAUUCAAGGUGGACGGUAAAUGAUUCAGCCAUUUACAAGAUUCAAAACGUAGGAUCACGAUCUACUGGAUGAUUGUAUUAACUAUUAGGCGGUGCUCUAAUAUAAUACAUCCAAAUGGGGGUGGACCACAUAAUACACCCAAUAGGUCGUUUUAAGCUACUCCACUGCUAAAACUAUUGCAAAAUGCGCAUUAGGAUUUAUACUUCUAUUAGCUACGCCUUUCCUUACUAGGCAAAUGAACCAUAUAGUACACCAAGAUGGAUGUUAUACACGUUGGAGUUUGAGCAGAAUUCUUUUUGUUAUCAUGUCUCACAUUGCUAGAAUUGAAAAGUUCAUAAUAUAAUAACAUUCACGUAUGAACUUGAGAAACAACAUACUACUGGUUGGCCUGGAAGGUGCAGUGAAGGAGAGGAAAGAAAGUAACAAACACGAAAGGAUAAGGACUAUCCAAUAGAUUAUAAACAAUGACUUCUUGGGGGUGAUUACAGCUAUUCAACCAUCAAUAAUGCAUUAUUUUAGUUUGGAAUUUGGAAGCAUUUGAGAAGUAACAUGACAACAACCACAUAAUAAACAAAGAUGAUUAGAAAAAAGACCCGAAUGUGAAAGAAUAAUUAAAAACAAUUAUUCAAGAUUAGUGAUAAAUGAUUCAACCAUUUACAAGAUAUGAACUUAGAACAACAAUCUAUUAGAUCGUUGUAUUAAUUAUUAAGUGGUGCUCUAAUAUAAUAGAUCCAAAUCGGAACGGACCACAUAAUACACCCAAAUGGAUCAUUUUUAGGCUCCACUGCUAAAAACUAAUGCACCAUGGGCAUUAGGAGUAGACUUUUAUAGCUAUCUUUCCUUACUAGUCAAAUGAACCAUACAAUACACCCAAAUGGAUGCCAUCAUGCCAUAUAUAAACAAUGUUUUGAAAGGACAAGGUAGCUAACGCUGUCUUUUUAUAUAUGUAAGCAACAACCCUAAAUGAAUCUUAUUGGAGCUAAUUAACUAAUGUAUUUAUUAGACAGUUGGAUUCCUUAGCAAGGGGUUAACUAUUUUUGUUUAGAUUAGUAGUCAGGUGGUAAUUAAUUAGUCAAAUGAACCAUAUAAUACACCCAAAUGGAUGUGCAUAUAUAAACAAUGUUUUCGAAGGAUGAAAUGACUUUCUUGCCGGUAUGGGGGAAGAGGAUUGCGCGAAAAUUUUCGCACUAAUCUAAAUAUUGUGUUUCAAGCUUUGAAAAACCAUUGAAGCUUUGAAAAGUUUGGUGAUUUUGUUAGGUUAUGUGUAUGAGUGACAUUAAUAAUUUUCAACUUCCCAAGCAAUUGUUACACAAAAUUAAAUUUAAAAUCCAAGAGGCCGUGGUUACAGCUAUUCAACUUUUGUAGAUUUUCCGGUUUUAUGAGAUUGGCAUUCUUUUUCAACACAACUUCUAUUGAGUUCAUAUAAACUAUUAUAUGAAGGAGAAAUGGUAAAAAGACUCCCUCAAAAUCCCAAAUGUGAUAGGAGAAAAGACACAAAUAUGAAACAAUUAAAAACAAUUAUUCAAGGUGGGUAGUAAAUGAUUCAGUCAUUUACAAGAUUCAAACAUGGGACCACGAUCUACUGGAUGACUGUAUUAACUAUUAGGCGGUGCUUUGAUAUAAUACAUCCAAAUGGGGGUGGACCACAUAAUACACCCCAAUGGUUCGCUAAAAACUAUUGCAAAAUGCGCGUUGGGCUUAUACUUCUAUUAGCUGCGCCUUUCCUUACUAGGCAAAUGAACCAUAUCCAAAAUGGAUGUUAUACACGUUAGAGUUUGACCAUAAUUUUUUUCGGUUAUCUCAUUGUCUCACAUUGCUAGAAUUGAAAAGUUUUAAUAACGUUUGUGUAUGAACUUGAGAGACGACAUACUAUCGGCCGGCGGGGAAGGUGCAGUGAAAGAGAGGAAAGGAAGAAAGAAGUCAACACGGAAUGACAAAGACUAACCAAUAGGUUAUAAGCAAUUACUUCUUGGGGUGAUUACAGCUAUUCAACUAUCAACAACGCAUUAUUUUAGUUUGGAAUUUGGAAGCAUUUGAGAAGUAACAUGGCAACAACCACAUACUAAACUAAAGUGAUUAGAAAAAAGACCCAAAAUGUGAAAGAAUAAUUAAAAACAAUUAUUUAAGAUAAGCGAUAAAUGAUUCAACUAUUUACAAGAUAUGAACUUAGAACAACAAUCUAUUUGAUCGUUGUAUUAACUAUUAAGUGGUGUUCUAAUAUAAUAGAUCCAAAUGGGGACCGACCAUAUAAUACACCCAAAUGGACCAUUUUUAGGCUCCACUGCUAAAAACUAAUGCAAAGUGGACAUUAGGAUUAAACUUGUAUUAGCUAUCUUUCCUUACUAGUCAAAUGAACCAUACAAUACACCCAAAUGGAUGGCAUCAUGCCAUAUAUAAACAAUGUUUUGAAGGGACAAGGUAGCUAACGCUGUCUUUUUAUAUAUGUAAGCAACAACCCUAAAUGAAUUUUACUGGAGCUAAUUAACUAAUGUAUUUAUUAGACAGUUGGAUUCCUUAGCAAGUGGUUAACUAGUUUUGUUUAGUUUAGUAGUCAGGUCGUAAUUAAUUAGUCAAAUGAACCUGCAUAUAACACACGCAAAUGGAUGCCAUAUAUGCAUACUAUUUUUGUUUAGUUUAGUAGUCAGGUCGUAAUUAAUUAGUCAAAUGAACCUGCAUAUAACACACCCAAAUGGAUGCCAUAUAUGCAUAUAUAAACAAUGUUUUCAAAGGAUGAAAUGACUUUCUUGCCGGUAUGGGGGGAAGAGGAAAGAAACUAGCACGAAACUGCAGACCCUAUCGAUCCAUUAUAAUAAAUUUCAAUGGUCCAAGUUGUAAGUUAAUUGUGUAACGUAAAAACUUAUUUACAGUUAUCAACUUAACCACGUACAUGUGGAAGACAUUAUCUCAGAAAACUAGAAAGUUCAAUUGCAACUCUACACAACUGAAAGCAAGGCUCGCUCAAUAGGGCUUGAGUUUUUUUGUAAACUUGCGUAUUUUUGUAAACGCAUCACAUAGUAGUUAAAACAUCCGGCCGUAAAUAAAGGGUUUGAGUGUCACAUCCUAGCUCGGGGCAGACCACUUCCCGGGCUCACUCCACUACCGUAGCAUGAUAUUGUCCGCUUUGGGCCCCGACCACGCCAUUACGGUUUUGUUUCUAGGAACUCACGAGCAACUUCCCAGUGGAUCACCCAUUAUGGGAGUGCUCUGGCCACCUUCUCGCUUAACUUCGGAGUUCCGAAGGAACCCGAAGCCAGUGAGCUCCCAAAAGGCCUCAUGCUAGAUAGGGAUGAGAAUAUACAUUUAAGGAUCACUCCCCUGGGCGAUGUGGGAUGUUACAAUCCACCCCCCUUAGGGGCCUGACGUCCUCGUCGGCACACUUCCGGCCAGGGAUUGGCUCUGAUACCAUUGUCACAUCCCGGCCCGGGGCAGAACACUUCCCGGGCCCGCUCCACCACCGUAGCACGAUAUUGUCCACUUUGGGCUUACCAUUCCCUCACGGUUUUGUUUUUGGGAACUCACGAGCAACUUCCCAGUGGGUCACCUAUCCUGGGAGUGCUCUGGCCCCCUUCUCGCUUAACUUCGGAGUUCCUACGGAACCCGAAGCCAGUGAACUCCCAAAAGGCCUCGUGAUAGGUAGGGAUGAGAAUAUACAUUUAAGUAUCACUCCUCUGAGCGAUGUGGGAUGUCACAAUCCAAUUGUAACAGUGUCAUGAUCAGACUUGUAAGACUGUCUUUAAUAAGAAGUUGUUGCGUUUUGUCAAAACUAGGUAUGGGCAACGGUUAUGGCGGGCGGGUAACCGCGGUUAAUUAUCCAUAACCGUUUAUUCUCAUACAUGCAUAACUGUUUACCCGUUGGGUAAUUGUCUAAACGGUUAUACCCAUACCCAUAACCGUUUAUAAACGGUUAACCAUAACCAUAACCGUGUACCCAUUUAACCGUAACCGUUUAGUACCCAUUUACCCAUUUAUCAUUUUUAAACCCGUUUAUCCUUUCUUUUUUACCAUUUACUCAUUUUUCACGCAUCUACGUGUUUUUUUAACAACUUGAAAAUUAAAAAAGAAAAAUUUGUCAUAAUUUUCUUUUUCUAACAAUUAAACACCGUUGUAGUAUUCAUCAUACAUUUCCGUAUUUUAAUUUUUAAGUCCUUAUACCAUUUCAAUAAUUGAAAUAAUAGUUUACAGACAAUAUUUUUAAUUGUUAGCAAUGAAGGUAAUAUAAAAUUUGCUAAGUAUUCUUUGGUUACGAAAACUGUUAAAAGACAGUAUUCUUGGGUUAUUUAACUCAGAAUGUAUAAUAUAUAUAAUGGACCAUGAAAUUUAAAGUGGUUAAGGAAAACUAUAUUAUAUUAGCUAUAGAAAUCAUGCACUAUAGUCAAUAGCAUUGAUCUAAGUUUUGUCCGAUAGUGAACAUGGUUUGUGUUAAUUUUACAUAUAUAAAAUAAAUGGGUAAAUGGUUACCCGUUUAUAACCACGGUUAAUACCCAUACCGCCCAUUUAAAUUUCACGAGUAAACGCCCAUAACUGUAACCGUGAAAUUUAAAUAGGCGGAUAACCGCAGUUACCCAUAACCAAUGAGUAUUUACCCAUCCCUAGUCAAAACCGGUCCAUCUAAUUACAAAUUGUAACCAUAUUAGUUGAGUGCAUAUGCUACAUCACAUUUAGUGAAUAUUCAGUACGGGUGACACAUGGUCAGACUUGUAGGUUGUUCAUUAAGAAGUUAGUUACCACGUUCUCAAGAGUGGAGCUAGAGGGGAGCACUUCCCUACCAAAGUGUUUUCCUUCUCCCCUUUGCAAGGGAUUUGUGUCACUAUUAGAUAGGAGAUUCAAACACAAGACCUUCAAUUGAGAGGUAAACGCUUUUACAAAGCUUCUACGAGCACCUUCUUGUUUACCAAACUUAUUGAGACUAAAGGAGGUCUUAACGCCAUUUUGGCUAAUACUAUUCUGUAUAUUUACGAAUGGUUUUAAGUUUGGGUUUAAUUGGAUAAUCAGAUAGUAGUGCAUCAAACUAUGGAUAUUCAGAAACCGAAAGCAUAAUUCAUAUUCCUCCAACAAGUCCACGCAAAUAACCACAAUCAGAAUGUUAGUUCAUAACUGGCCAUAUAGAACGCAGUACAAAAGCACUAAAAGCGUCCAAGUGAAAGUGCUUUCUCCUCAUGUAGUUUCAUUUAACUUAGUUUCACAUGCCACUCCGUCACACACUCAACUCCUCAACGUUCGGGCUCAAAGCAUUCUUUAUCCCUUCUGCACGAGAGACAAUAAGUUUAAAGUUCUUGUGAUGAAAUCAUGUAAAACAUUCAGAAAUCUUGAUUUAACCCUUUAUCAAGAUCAUAGGUUGUGUCAUCUCAACUUAUAUCUUAGGUCUUAUGAGUGCUCGUAAUACACUAAUAUGACACUUGUUUUCUGGCCAGGACAGAAACAAAAUCAUGCAGGAAAUUGUCAUGACAACUUCAGUGUAAAAUAAAGGUCGUACCCAGUGCACAAGGCUCCCGCUUUACGCAGGGUCUGGGAGAGGUGAAUGUCGGCUAACCUUACCCCCAUUUAUGGAGAGGCUGCUCCCAAACAACUUCAGUGUAAAAUGCGACCGGAAAAACACUAAACAAGAUUGCUAUGCUCUCUUAGUGUAAACCUUAACAACAAAGACUAUACCGUAUCUGUCACAGUGAUAUGCGACCAUAAGCCCAACUCCAAGAGCUUUGAAGGCUACAAAUCAAAAGUUACAUGCAGUGACGACAUAAUCAUGAAAAAAUACAAUCAUAAAUUAAAGGAAAACAUACCGACUUCUAGUUCUGGCAAUUCACUAUUGGGCCAUAUAUUUGAACCACAGUAUGAUGGAUACCUACAAUACAGAUCACAAAUAAAAUCUGAGCAGACACAAAGUAUUAUGUUCUGUUUACACAAAAUCUGUAAGUUCUCAAAUAGGAUAAAUAAAGAUAAACAUAUCCCAGCAUAAAGACGAUUUGUCCUGGCUAAUUCUAAGAAACCUUGUAUCAAAUGUAUGAUAGUUAUUCAUAACUAACACAAACAAUAGUUUUGCCGAACAUUUCUGGUCUGAGCCGUAUACUGUGUGACCUCAGACAAAACAGAUCCCACAUGGACCCAGAUUAUGAUUGAUGUCCCUAUAGACUUUUACCUUUGAAUUAGAGAUUCAUCUGUUGUAGGGCUUCCAAUAUUGGAUUUGCAUAAAACGAGCCUUUUAACGUAUCUGCAAAACCAGAACAGAAACGGAAAAUGAAUGAUCCUACGUUCUUAGAGUUUCCAAAGAAACAAAAUUUAAAACAAAGAACAUAAAGUGAUACCAGGCUUUCCAGAUUCCAGCUUCUCUUUUCCAUGACUCCAUCCAAAAUUGUACCUAAACAUGGAUGGCAGGUAAAAAGAAGAUAAGCAAUAAGACUUUGUAAAGAUUCCCAAGAAAAGCAAUAAAACUACGUAAAUAUUAGUUAAUAAUGCCAAGACCAUAGUCUGUGACAAAUCCAAGAGUUGAGAUGAGACUAUCUUUCAGGCAGGAAUUUUUGGAAUUUUUCUCUAUUGGGACUAAAAUGAAAGCAUAACAAUGGGACUAAAAUGACUUAGCUACUAUGAGGAUCUUCAAGUUCCUUCUUCACCUCUUCGGGCAGAUUGGCUAAUCUAAUAAACGAAAAGAAAACUCCCAUGAGCAGUGCUAUAACAAACUAUCUUCCUAAAUUCAUUAUGAAUUGCAGUUAAAACUUAAAAUGAACAUGAAAAUCCUACGUAGAAGGGAUAUACCUAGGUGACAAGCCUAGAAGAUUCUCACGCAAGGAAGAAUAUCCCGGAACCUACUGCCAUUAAGGUUGUUAUUAAUAUCAAUUCAUGUAUAUUUCCGCAUGUGUCAUAUUAUUAAGUUAGACAGUGAAAAAUAUAUAUCGGAUGUUAUGAGAAUAUGUGUGGCUGUCAAGCUUGACACGUGAAUAACAUGCUCUCUACUACUUUAUUACACUGUGAAGAUUUUAUCCAAAAUUAAUUGACGAUGAGCGAAUAAACUGAAAGAUUAUGCGCUACUUUGAUUAUGCAACGAGUGAAGAGGCAAUUUACGCCAACCUCCAGUCAAGAAUUUGGACUCACAAUCACUAGCCAAUAUGCUUUUUUCUCACAUUUCCCCUGACACGGCAAGUUCAUUGUUCAAUAUUCUGGUUCUGGUGUCCUAUGACCCUGACACGGCAAGUUCCACUUUUUGUUCAUUUUCUUGACGAAACCAUCACACUUACCCUUACGGCACGGCACGGUUCCGGGCAUAGAGCAUGGAUUGGGUUUCGUUGCAGUCCCGACACUACUUAGCACUGUAGAGAAGGAAAUACAAAGACAAGUUUGGAUUUCUUACAACGUAUUGAGUCUCUCGUCAUGGCUCUUGCUGUGUUGUUCUUAUUUCACAUCCUGUUUCUCGAGUUUGGUGUUUCCGGUUGCAAAUUUGGUUCGGCAGUGUAGUGCUCAAGAGAGGGGACUGUCUCACAUUGUUCCAAGCAGACACAGGCGGUUGACAACGAUUGCGAUAAUGUGUUUUUCUACUGGGAGAACAUACAGCAGUCAGCAGUCAUCUUUUCACAACCGUCUUCAGUAUUUGGAGGCACCUCAAGAAAUUAUCAAGGACAAACGAAUGUAGAAAAGAAGAAAUAUCGAAGUUAGUUGACAAAAGGGGCCGAAAAAUUGUGAGAUACAGAGAAGAAGAUUAGACGAAACUCGAUGCAAAUUUUAAGCUAGAUUAGUUAUUUUUCAUUAACGAGCGAUACAGAGAAGAAGAAACAGCUGCAUUUGGAGAAAGCUGCUUUAGUUGCCUAGUUUGUAACAUUAGCUUUCUGUAAUUCCGGGGAAGAAACAGGAGUAAAAAAAAAACACAAUCAGGCAGUACCAAAAAAGAAAAAUGUACAAUUAGGAACAAUCGCCACUUCUCAAACUUUGUAGUAGAUCCAGGUAUCUGAUGGACUCGGGGCUAAUGUACCUGCAUUAACAAGAAACAAAAAUCAGAUUUGUGGAAGGGAGUCACAUAGUGGUUAAAAUACUUGGCCGUGCAUGAAUGGUUUGAGAUACCAUCAUAGAGGCAUCCUCCAGGUGUGAGUUUCUCUCGUAUCUGAUCACUUAUUAUAAGAAUAUCAGUAGUGAAAGUGAAAUACCCGUGUCGGGAAAGGAAGUCAAUGAUGACAAAAGAGCAAUUUGGCUUGAAAUAUUGUGUCCUCCGUAUGAUGCUUGCAACAUGCAUCACCGAAUCCACUUGAAGCUCUCCACCUCUCCAUCUGUUAAAUGUUUCAUAAGCAGCAUUGUUAAAGUUCUCUCUAUUUGGGGGGAUAUUGCAGAUGGUUUUGAAUGAAGAAAGGCAAAAAUUCAUGCAGAAGGCAUAAUUUACAACUAGUUUUGUAAAAGCUAAGCUCUAAAGGUCUCACCUUGAUUCUUUGGCACAAAUAGCUAAAGUUUUGAGAUGGGACAAAAUGGGUCCCAAGACCCACAUACAGCGCAUCCGAUGGUGUUGAAAUCCUUUUCCCAGUAAGUCAAAGAUAAGCGCCAAGAAAGACAUGACAGUGUUAAACUUAAAACAAAUACAGAACUAAGAAUUGAUGCAUGAAUCAAACAGAGAAAUGGUACAGGCCAUUCUCUUUAUAUUCUUAUAAUCUAAACAUUUCUCCUUAUCAACACUGGAAAAACAGCUUGCUUCAGUCAUAGGAAAUAAAUUGCGCCUGGAGUAUAGAAAAGACAUACCUACAGAUCCUCCUCCUGGACUCUUUGCCGCUAUACGUGAAAACCCAACAUCUGGGAACAAACAAAUUACAUUCUCUGCCAUAGCAAGAACAGUCCUCUGAAAUGUAUCCAUACAAAGUUAAGACACAAAAAAUUCAAAAAGGCAAUGUAAUUCACAACAUUGACAAUCUCUGUCUGACAAGGCAAUAAUACCUCUGUAAUGAUCUGGUAGUGACCGUGACCUGAUAGGCCAACACCAAAGCCCAUUGUUAUGCCAUCCAUGAAGAUAGGGCUUCUUGUACUCAGAGAUUUUGCAUAUUAGAGAAUACUCAGCAGUGAAUACCUGAAAAACAUGCAGCACAAGUAUCAUACCGGUAGCCUCUCAAUCUUAAGAAAUGGUAGCUUAGAAAAGAUAUGAAUCCUAUCCAACCAAUACAAAUCAUAUUACCCAAGUUCAAGCAAAAUCACGACUAAACAAAUGAUCAGAUGUUGUAGGUUGCCCGAGAAUGUCAAACAUGAAAUUACAAAAGAAAAAAAAACAAUCGUAUGUAUUGAACAUUAAUAAAUACUUGCUGAAAGCACAAUCUUAGCUGCAAUUUAUGACAUUUAUACGAGAUUGAAUAGCCAAAGCAAUUAAAGAAGUAGCAGAACUCAUAUAAGUGAUUUUCACUUUGAACUUUUAGGCUUAUCAGCAAAUACAUCAUUACGAUUCUAACGCAUGAAUUUUGUUAAAAGGGGCUUGCUUGCUUGUAUUAAGGCUUAAUCAUCAAUGAUUUUGCAAGGGUCAAUCGUCUUGCUAGUUGUAAAUCCAUGCACUAUGAAAAUUACCAAAAUUACAUCUUAUAUGGUAGAGAAGGAAGUCAUCUUAUAUUAUCUGGAUUUUAGAAGACGGUGUAAGGUUAUAAGUCUGUUAUUCUAUAUAGUUUAAAGGACACAAUUAGACAACAAUCAUAUUCGGUGGUUGGUUUUUGGCCGUGAUCUGCUUCACAUCACCGCCCGCAGGUAAUCUAAAUCUGGGUUAUUACUUAUCAAUGAAUCAAAGUGCCAACUUAUCGGACACCAACUAUCUCUCUAUGGCAAAAAAAUAACACAAAAAGGAACAAUGAAGUGAAACAAUAAACAACAUGACAUGAAACAGCACAAACAUCAAAGACCAACAAUCUAUCACAUAAGCACCUAAACAAGAAACAACUUUAGUUCAAAGCAAAGCGUAAUGUAGAAACCUUCAGCACAAGAGGCGUGUUUUUGUCCUUUUGAAUUUCGGCAACAACAACUUUAAUAUCCUUACCUGCAUUUACCAUGAUUGGUCACUCUCAAAACCUUACCUAAGAGACCCAAAAACCAAAAUAACUGCUAAAAGAGCUGAACAUACAUAUCUAGAAAAACUUAUUCAACUACAUGCUAAAAUGGAAGUGUAAAAUUGCCAGGAAAGAUAAGAAACUAUUCAAAUACGAGUUCUGGGCGUUACCGCCACAAAAGGCACGAGCCGAGCGGCUAUCAACAAGAACACACUUCACAUUUGGGUCAGAUUCCCAUUCAUCCAGAUAGCUCUUGUAUUUCACAUCCAAAUCUGCAUUUUCCAACAAUUCCCACUUAAACAGAAACACAAAAUUCUUCCAAAAAGAGCUAACUUCUUUGAAAUUUGAAUCCAACGUUUCGUCUUAUAACAAAUGCAAUAACAUAGAUUUGUAAUCAAUACGAUGCCAUAAAGUUCAAGCUCAAAAAUUCAAAUCAUCUCCAAAUCAAAAGCAAUUACAGAUAUAUACAUAUAUACAUAUGCGUGUGUGUGUUUAUCUACAUACCUAGGUUUAUGGCGUUGAGAGCUCGGGGGGCGACCGAGGGUGAUGACGGCGACGCCAAAGGUGCGGAGAAGGCGAGGGGAUUUGGAGGGUUUUGUAAAGAGGGGAUUUGCUCAGAAUUUGGGUCGCUCGUCCCUCUUAUGAGAGUGAUUCAAAAAUCGAAAAAGUUGAAAUUUAUUGAUUGUGAUCUGACUCAAACAUGUGAUGAUGACGAUGCAUCACAACCUUGGUUGUGCCUCUGGAUCAAAAUCCUGUUCCAUCAAAUUCGUGCUCAUUUUCCUUCAUAGGUUUGUCCCAUACUAGAUUAACCCCUGUUCCCUUAAUUGUCACAUUACCAUAUUUACUGUAUGGCUCUGGCAUUUCAAAAGUUAUAUCAACUUUAUCCCCGCUUUGCAAAUUGAGCUUAUCAUUCGAUAUUUGUCCCUGCCAAAGAUAACAUUUUCCAGAUACAUUGCACAUUUUUAUAACCCAAUCUUCUUUGCCUAUGUAGGUCUGCAACUCAGUACGCUUGGUAUUAUUUAUAUCAAUAUUGGCACGAGGAUGACAUUCUCCACAACUGGCAUAAGGGCUUCUUGACUCAUUAGUAUUUGAGCAGUAAAAGCAUAAUAGAGUCAGUCCUUCCAAAUUACGACCAUCACUCGGGAGGAUAUCAAAACUGACUUUAUUACCAUCGUUGACAAACUCGAACCAAUCAGGAACAUAAUUCCCAUUGAGAAAAAUGCCAUCACUUGGGAGGAUAUCAAAACUGACUUUAUUACCAUCGUUGACAAACUCAAACCAAUCAGGAACAUCAGGAACAUAAUUCCCAUUGAGAAAAAUGCCAUCACUCGGGAGGAUAUCAAAACUGACUUUAUUACCAUCGUUGACAAACUUGAACCAAUCAGGAACAUAUUUCCCUUUGAAAAAAAUAUCCGCAAGAAGUCCAUCCCUACAUAUACAGUGCAAGUGUCAUAUUUAUAUAUAUACACACACACAAUGUACAUGUGCGUUGUGUGUGUGCAUGUGCGCAAUAGGAAGACAAUUAAAGAGAGAUACCUUUAGGACGUUACUCAUAAAACCAGCGGUGAGUUUGGGGCAGUACCUCAUAUUAAAAUGUCGUGGAGUUUAAUGACUUAUCCAAGUCUGGAACCUCAGUGAGUGCGCGUGAAUCACAUACAUGUAGCUCUCUCAUAUUCGACAUUUUCGAAAAAUUGGGCAUUGUUACCAAACGGGAGCAAUCAGACGCAUACAGAAAUUUCAAAUUUGUUGGUAAACCAUAGAUUGUAUGAAGGUUACGGCAGUAAUUUAACUGCAAACGUUCAAGCUUUGAAAAACCAAUGAGGCUGGGUAAGGUAUGAAAAUCAUUACAUGUGAGACACAAAUCUUGCAAAGAAAUUAGACUCCCAAAAUCUUUUGGGAAUGCAUCAUCGCUUAAGCGCUGGAAUGAGAGAUCUAAAUUUCUUAAAGAGUCUAAGCCGUGUAACGAAUUGGGAAAUUGUGUGACAUGCCCCCUUAAAAUGAAAUCAGUGGUAAACCAUGAUUUCCGUAGAAAUAAAUGAGUGAGAUUCUUCAAUCUUACUGUGGAACGCGGUACUUGUCUUAUGGCUGUUUCAGACGCUUUAAGUACUCUCAAUGAUAUCAUCUUCCCUAAAUCCUCGGGCAGUUCAUUGAAUCGCCUACAAAAAUCAAGAACAAGAGUCUGAACGGAUUUGGACUUGUAGAAAUCCCCAGGAAGAGAAAUAAGAUUAUGGCAGCAUGUGAGGUUCACCAAAGAAAGUUUUUUAAGCUGACCAAUGGAGGGGUGAAUCUCGAACAAACUCUCACACCUUCCCAAUAUCAACUCUUCAAGACUUGGGAGAUUUGAUAAGUCUGGUGAUUUUUUUAAGUCACAGCAAUUACUGAGAUUAAGGAUUUUCAAGUUUUCAAGCGACUGUUGCACAAAAUCCAAAAGGUCAUACCCAGUGCACAAGGCUCCCGCUUUACGCAGGGUCUGGGAGAGGUGAAUGUCGGCUAGCCUUACCCCCAUUUAUGGAGAGGCUGCUCCCAAGUCUCGAACCCGAGACCUACCGCUUAUGGGCGAAGGCAUUUGUCAUCGCACCAAGUGCGACCUCUUUGGGGAAAUCCAAGAAAAAUUAAAAUUAAUAUCCAAAAGGAAUAUCUCAUAAAAUAAAUAAAUAAAUAAAUAAAUAAAGAGAGAAGGAAAUCCAAAAACAAAUAGAAACUUAACAUCAUCAUGUGUAAUCGAUUGUACCUUGGAGCCCUCCCAAACUUGUACCAGUUUGCUAUGCUUUAUCUCUAAAAUAACUAGUGUUCUUGGUUGAUCAAAGAAGUCAUCUGGUAUGGACUCUAAAAGGUAUCCUUCCCAACGCAACCAUACUAACUCUUUGGGGAGAUGUUUGUAUUCUCCAUUGAGCUGCACGUUCUGGAGCAUGAGCAGUCUCAGUUUCUUCAUAUUAGCAAAUGCUUCUGUACUGAUACAACUAGACUUUAAAGGGAAUUCUCCACGGAGCUGCACGCGGUGGAUCAGUCCCAGUUCCCUCGAAUUGGUAGGGAAACUUACAACAAGUCCUUCAACUUCUUUAGUUCCCUGUUAACAACACAUUAUACUGGGUAAGAAAAGGAUUAUGUGCAUCUAUUUUACGUGAUUUUGCUAAUUGAGCUUCUUAAUGCAAAUACAUAUAUUUACACAUGAAUUUUUUAAUGUAUAAUAGGCAUACGUGGGUUACAUAUAUGCUUUUCUUGUACGAUGCAUUAAUACAAAUUUUUUUUGGGAAUCUACUUACAGAUUUAUUUGUUAGUACAUCAUAGACAUCUCCAGGGAUCCACAACCUGCUCCAUUCUCCAGGGGGACGAGUGGAUUUUUCAGAAAUGAUUAAUUUGGCCAUUUCUCGAAGCAAAUCAUGCAUAUUCAACUUCUUGUCUUCAACAGUUAUAAGGCAUCGUUCACGGAGGUUACUGAUUCCUAUUGUUGCAAAAAACUUACAUUCAUCUAAUAUUUUUGCGACAUCGUCCUUAUCCCAUCCAAUAAAGAAACAAGAUAUGUCAAGGAAUAUAUCCUUCUGCGUAGGAUCUAGCCUUUCAAAGCUUACUUUUAGCGGUUUCAUUAUUCCUUCAUCAUGAAAUUUUUUCAAUUUCUUCAAUUGACUUUUCCACUCUGCUGGGGUUCUUUCAGUCAUAGAAGAACCUAAAACUUCAAGGGCUAGUGGCAAACCACCACAGUAAGAAACCACCUCUUUUGAGAGUUCAAGAUAUCCUUCAUUAGGCCAACUAUUUCCAAAGGCAUGCCAACUAAAGAGCAUCAGGGCUUCUUCUUCAUUCAUUUCUUGAAGCGGAUAUGUCUUGUCCACUUUCAUGUUCACUUGCUUUAGUAAACGUUCAUCUCGUGUCGUUAUGAUAAUUCUACUUCCUGGGCCAAACCAAUCACGAUUUCCAGCCAUUGCAUUUAGUUGUUCCACUUUGUCUACAUUGUCAACAAUGACAAAUACGCUUCUACGUCGGAGAUGAUUUUUUAUCAGACUGAUACCUCCAUCAACACUGGUUAUCUUAUUAGACUCGGUCUGUUUCAAGAUGUCAGAAACAAGUUUUCUUUGCAAAUCAACCAGAUCAUAUUCGCUAACGUUGGCAAGGAAACUUUUGAACUGGAACUUAUGAUGAAUUUGGUUAUAAAUGGCUUUGGCAGCUGUUGUUUUACCCAAUCCACCCAUCCCCCAAAUUCCAACCAUGCGUACAUCUGAUCCACCAUUUGAAAGAUAAGUGAUGAUAUCUUGAAUGCGGGUAUAUAUUCCAACUGGGUGCUUGGCCACAUGUAAUUUUUCUGCGCUCGGAAGCCAUUCCGGGAUAAUCUUGUCAACAAUUUCUCUAAUAAGCUUUGCUUCGCGCCUGAAAAUUGAAUUCGUAAGCGUUAGUGGGACUCAAUGAACAGUAGGAGCUAUCAGUACAUAGACAAUUGUCUUUACUUCAUAAAAGAAAGAAAUUCAUUCACUAAAAUGUUUCAAAACUUGAAAAGCAGGUGAAUGAUUACCCAUUGUUAGUGAUUUGAAGAUGUUGGCCAAACAAAUUUGCAGCUUCUGUAAGAGCCUUUCUCCAUUGCUUUACCCUUUCUUGUUUAGCUUCACGUUCCUUGUCAUCUUUUUCUUCAUGGAUGCCCUCUUCGUGCUUCUGAAAUGCUUGAGCUAAAUCUCCGUUCUGCUUCCUAAUGUGAAGGAUCAACAUGAUAGAAUAUUGGCAAAACACGUCGCCCCAGUUUGUAUCUGCACUCCAUGAUCUUCACCAGCUCGUCAAGACACCAACUCGAGUCCGCAUAACUCUUUGAGAAGACAAUGAUAGAGAUCCUCGCCUCUUUGAUUGCCCGGACCAGUUCCUCUUUUAUUUCUUCCCCUCUUUCUAGAUCGUCCUCAUCGAUAUAAGCCUGGUAUCCCCUGUCAGUUAAUGCCGCAUGGAGGUGGCCCGUGAAACCAUUGCGUGUGUCUACACCGCUGAAUCUCAAGAACAUGUCGUAAUUCCAAAGUUUUGACUUGGAGGACGAUGAAGAGGAGGCUUCGUGGGUCGUCAUGGCGGUAUCCACCGUUAUGGCACUGCAGUGGUUCAGAUCACGACUGAAAAAUGGCAGUAGUUGUGCUCAUGCUGUCGAACGAAUGAUCCUGAAAUACCUAAAACCCAAGUCAAGCUCCUUCAGUCAACAAGAAUAAAGUUUUAAUAUAAUAAUGUUGGUGUAUGGACUUGAGAAACGACAUAAUGUUGGCCGGAAAGUGCAGAGAAAGAGAGAGGAAAAGAGGAACAAAAGGAGAAAGACUAUCCAAAUGAUUCUUGGCUGUGAUUACAGCUAUUCAUAGGAGAAACAACGUACAUAUUUUCAUAGGAGAAACAACUUGCCCAUCUUCAUAUAUAAUACAUUUCAACAGACAUAUUUUAAUAGGAGAAACUAGGGGUGGGCAAACGGGUCCAGGAACCGCAGGUCGGGGCGGGUAAUGGCGGUUCAGGGCGGGUACAGGCCGGGUCUUAUUUUUUUAAAGAAGAAACGGGGUGGGGGCGGGGAGGUGGUAUUUAUGGGGCGGGUCGAGUUCAAAUUUGUACAAGCAUGGGGCCCCGGGCCGACCCGUUCCUAAAAUGGACUGAUUGGAACCUGGACAAUAUGUUGUGGGCUUACUACACAAGGCAAUGGCCCAUGUGGGCUUACUGCUCGAAUACUCUAGAAACUAUGAUCCGACUCCUAUCUCUCCUGGAUCGAUCCCCAAAUCCCACUACUCUCUCUCCUCGUCGGCAUCACCGAACACAGAACCACCGAUUCACCACCAUCGUCACCCAUCACCGCCGUGGCGACCAUCACCAUCGCAGACGCUAUUAACCGUUAGUUUCACCCUAGGUCUCCCCUAUGUCUAUCACUCAAGUCCUCGAUCGUUUCUCUCCCGCGUGCGUCAUUCCCUCCACGGUUCUUCCACUACACUCUGUCACUCUCCGUCACUCUCCGUCAGUCACCUCCUCCACCACCCCGACAUCAACCCCGUCGCGAGUCUGGGCCCUGGCGACCACCACGACGAGCCAGCAACCUCGAUUGUCUUCCUCGAGUCCUCGAUGGCAUCCCAGAUUUAGAGAACUUUAGGGUUCUCUUUCUCCCUCCCACCCCUCGAAUCGACUGCGUCGACAUCAAAUCAGCCACCACACGAGUCACGAGGCUUCAAAUUCGGCUGGUGACUGCCCAAUCUGGUGCGACUCAACCGAUUCCGAGCGCUCUUGACUCUGUCGACGAAGAAGAAGAAGAGAAGAAAAAAAAAAAUAACCCGUGGACCCGGGCCGGGUUAGGUCAGGUUUCUGUGUUAAAAUUAGUUGUACCCGCCCCUGCCCGACCUGUUUCUUUUAAACCUGGGUCCGGCCGGUCCCUUCAAAAUUGGGCCCGGCCCUGGGCCCGGCCCGGCCCAUGCCCAGCCCUAGGAGAAACAACUUUAGUUUUUACUAGAAAUUUUUACCCACACGUUGCUACAGGAUUUGAAAUUGUAUAAAAGAUUAUCUUUGAAAUAUAUAAUAGAUUGUGUGAUUGAAGAUUAAUACUAUUUACACUGAAAACGUUGGGAAAAGUUUUACAUACAAAAGAUUUUACAAUACAAUCCACAUACAAAAGAUGGUAAAUUUUUUUCUAUCUACAUGCAUUAUGUUAUGGAAUGAUAUAUAUAUAACUAAGUUCCAGAAUACGUAAAUUUCAUAAUUUCGAAUUUUUUUGACAAAUUAAUCAGAUUCAACUGUGGGAUAGAAAGGUCGCCUAUAAAGUUGUGAAGUCGUGGAAGCAUAAAGGACAAAUAACAAAUGAGUUUUGAGAAAUUAUUCCACAAAAGUCAUUUUGCAAAAUGCAAAUGUAUUAAAGACGAUUGGUACAAGAUUAGUAAUCAUAAGUAGUGUAACAACAUCAACAAAAUAACUAUAAACCAUAGUUGAACAUAAUUCAAAUUUCGUUUGCAAAAACAAAAGAAAAAGAAAGAAAACAUACUUACAAUAAUUCAGCCUUUAAUCCUAAAGUCCUACUCAAAGAUCCAAACUUGAAUGCAAGCUUUCUGAAAUCUUCCAAACAAUACAGAUAAAAAGGUAACACCCUAGUCAGAAAUGAACCAAGGUGCGAGCUUUCUUAGAAACUCAGAUGAAAAAAUCAACAAAAUAGAAUGAAAAAAUGACUUACACUUUUAAGGCAUGCUCGAAUCGUGAUCUAAAAUUGGUGGUGGGUCGAUUGUUGGUCACCAACUCUAAAUGAAGAAUUCAUCAGAACCUAGAAAUUUAACAAAGAAUUUUCCAAAAUCAACAUUUACUAAAAACCAGUUACUUGGUUAUCAUGCAUGAUGGCUUGCCAAAGACUAAAUUAAGGAAUGCACAACUUUACCUUUAUGAUAUUUUCAAUGACAGCUAAAAGGUCAGAUUCAAAUGAAAAUAAAAGUUAGGACUUCACAAAACCAAUUAAAAAUCUAAUUCCAAAGUUACAAACACCAACCAAAUGAUUCCAGAUAAAGUUUUAAACUCAAAGUCAGACCCAAAUGAAAUUAAAAGUUAGGACUUCACAAAACCAAUUGAAAAUCUGAUUCCAAAGUUCCAAACACCCACCAAAUGAUUCUGGAUAAAGUUUAAACUCAAAAACCCAACAGAAACAAAAACCCAAAGUUCCAAACACCCACCAAUUGGUGUGACUUAAUUGUAUCUAAUUGAAGAAACUAAAACAAAAAUAAAGCAAAGUAUAUACCUCAAAAUAUCAACCAACUAAGUUCUUCCUCCGACAACCCAAAACUCUGAAAAUUCCACACAAAAAGGGUAAAUCCGUAAGCAAUUCAUAGCUUUCAAAAUUAACAAAAACUUGGGCAACAAUAAAGACACGUUGAGAACCAUCACUCUUUCUCCUUGUGUAUUUGAAAAUAUAUUUUAUAAGCAGUUUAUGUAGUCAUUCUGAUCAUGUUGCAGUUAAAUUCCUUUUCCACAGAGUUCAAAAUUAUAUGGCAGUUUAUGGCAUCUGUUGAACAACAUGGUUGAAAGAUUUAAAAUUGAUACAUUCAAUUUUUAUGUGUAAAACUAUAACAUAUACCUAAAGCUAUUUGGUCUAUAUAUCCAUAUCAAUCAUGUUGUAAUUAAAUGUUUAUCGAUGUAAAUAGAUGAUUUCAGUCAUGUGAUAACAUGUUUCUUGUUAGUAUACGCUGAAGUUUGGUCUAAGUUGGAUAAAAAUCGACCAAAAUCUUAGUAAGAGACUCUUUUAACUUUUAACCAAAAAAUGAGCACCACAAUACUACACUCAUAAGUUUUAUCAUGCACAAAAUAUACAACACUGAUAGCCACUUUUAGAGCAAGAACAAUACUUUACCAGACGAAAACAACAAAACACUCAAAACCCAGAAACAGAAACACACUUAGGACUCAAACUCCUCAAAAACAUAAGAAAGAGAGUGCAUGAGGAGAGAGAAUAAAAAAAAAUAUUAUUUUUCACAAACUCAAAAUUGCUUAUAAAAUUACAAAUCAAAACAAAUGAAUGCAAAUCCAAAAUUGCCCUAAAUUAAAUCUGUUUAGUUAAAUGUUUGUUGCCCUUCAAAUGUCAUUACACCUGACAAUUGCUUUGAAGUUGAUAUUUUGGUCAAUCCAGGGGAAAAGGAGUUAUUUCUUUUGGAGCAGUUGUCAUGGAGAAUCCCAUCUCCAUGUUGAAUGAUCUAAAAAAUUACUUACAUCUUCUGGUGGCCACAAUAAUUUAGGAGGCCCUUCUCUCCAGAUUUUCUCAAUAACUUUGCUUUUCGUAGCUGGUAAGAUUGCAACUCCAAGAAUUGCUCUGAAGAGAUAUAUACAAACAAAAUCAACCUAAAACUAAGCUAUUGGAACAAAUUUGGAAAACACAAACACCACUACAACUCAGAGUUAAAGUCAAUAGAAACCAAAUGGGAGAAGUUGAAAAAAUAUAUGGUCAUGAAUCGAGAACUUCAUCAAACUAACAGCAAUAAAAUCUCAUAUAAUCUGUCUAAAACCAAAAGAGAGAGAGAGGUAAUUUCAAGACCUUGUAACGCUAAGGCCUCGUACAGUUGUAGUAAUAAUAUAUGGUUGAUGCACCUGUUGCUCAAUCAAAUCCUUUGUCUGGCUAAAAAAAUAAAAAUCUAUAAAUACAUUCACGUCCAAUUUAUGAGAAAUCAUGGGAAAGCAAAUGCACUGAUAACGGAAUCAUGAAUAUGAAGAACUUGCCAAAAAGAAAAAGAAAACUUCUUAUAGUGUGCCAAGAACAUCCUCCUACUCCUAGCAAAUUUUUUAUGGCAUUAUCCACUUCUCAAUUCAUAAUUCAACCAGUAACUCAAAGUCUAUAGUGUAUGAAAAAGUGAUAUCUUAGUUGAUCACGAUGAUAAUUAAGCAGAUUAAAUGACGACCCAUAAAGCAUACAAAUUCAGAAAAGAAAAGGUUCAAAACUGCCAUAAGAAAACACAGAAUAUAUAAACGGGAAAUCAAAAGAAGAGAAGCGAAAAGGAAGAAAAAACCAAACAAAAUUAUUAGGUUUGUGAUAUACCUUUAUCCGAAACGCCACAAUCAUCAAAGUCAAACAUAAACAAUCCAAAAAUUUGUGGAAAAUAACAAUAAAUGCUUAACUAAAAACGAAAGAAAACGUAGAAUAAGUUUACAUGUUCUCCCCCUAAUUAAACUGGAAUACAAUUCACCACUAAUAUUCUCGUCAUCCUCUUCAGCCUGAAAAAUUUAGUAGAAAUAUUCAAUGAAGACGCUUAAUGGAGACAGUAAUAUUAGCAAUGGAGGAAUUGAAUUGAUAACUAAAACUGCAAGACCAAAUGACUACAAUAGGUUCACAACAGAAACUCGUCUGUUAGAUGUCUCAUCUUUAGGCAGUGCCUUGUUCUUUUUUUUUCUUUUUUGUCCUUUUGAAUUUCGGCAACAACAACUUUAAUAUCCUUACCUGCAUUUACCAUGAUUGGUCACUCUCAAAACCUUACCUAAGAGACCCAAAAACCAAAAUAACUGCCAAAAGAGCUGAACAUACAUAUCUAGAAAAACUUAUUCAACUACAUGCUAAAAUGGAAGUGUAAAAUUGCCAGGAAAGAUAAGAAACUAUUCAAAUACGAGUUCUGGGCGUUACUGCCACAAAAGGCACGAGCCGAGCGGCUAUCAACAAGAACACACUUCACAUUUGGGUCAGAUUCCCAUUCAUCCAGAUAGCUCUUGUAUUUCACAUCCAAAUCUGCAUUUUCCAACAAUUCCCACUUAAACAGAAACACAAAAUUCUUCCAAAAAGAGCUAACUUCUUCGAAAUUUGAAUCUAACGUUUCGUCUUAUAACAAAUGCAAUAACAUAGACUUGUAAUCAAUACGAUGCCAUAAAGUUCAAGCUCAAAAAUUCAAAUCAUCUCCAAAUCAAAAGCAAUUACAGAUAUACACAUGUAUACAUAUGCGUUUGUGUGUUUAUCUACAUACCUAGGUUUAUGGCGUUGAGAGCUCGGGGGGCGACCGAGGGUGAUGACGGCGACGCCAAAGGUGCGGAGAAGGCGAGGGGAUUUGCUCAGAAUUUGGGUCGCUCGUCCCUCUUAUGAGAGUGACUCAAAAAUCGAAAAAGUUGAAAUUUAUUGAUUGUGAUCUGACUCAAACAUGUGAUGAUGACGAUGCAUCACCACCUUGGUUGUGCCUCUGGAUCAAAAACCCACCAUCACCAUCAAAAUCGUGCUCAUUUUCCUUCAUAGGUUUGUCCCAUACUAGAUUAACCCCUGUUCCCUUAAUUGUCACAUUAUCUAAUGUAACGUAUGGCUCUGGCAUUUCAAAAGUUAUAUCAACUGUAUCCCCGCUUUGCAAAUUGAGCUUAUCGUUCGAUAUUUGUCCCUGCCAAAGAAAACAUUCUUUAUAUACAACAUCGCGCAUGAGGUUUUUUCUUUUUUUGGCGUAACAAUCGCGCAUUUUUAUAACCCAAUCUUCCUUGCUUAUGCAGGUCCGCAACUCAGUACGCUUGGUAUUAUUUAUAUCAAUCCUGGCAAGAGGAUGACUAUCUUUACAUCUGAUAUAAGGGCCGAACUGAGAAGGACUUGAGCAAUAAAAGCAUAACAGAGUCAGCCCUUCAAAAUUACAACCAUCACUCGGGGGGAUAUCAAAAGUGAUUUUAUUACCAUCGUUGACAAACUCGAACCAAUCAGGAACAUAAUUCCCAUUGAGAAAAAUGCCACCAUAUCCGCAAGAAGUCCAUCCCUAUAUACACAGUGCAAGUGUCAUAUAUAUAUACAUGUACAUGUGCGUUGUGUGUGUGCAUGUGCCCAAUAGGAAGACAAUUAAAGAGAGAGAUACCUUUAGGACUUUCCUCAUAAAAUCAGCGGUGAGUUCGGCGCAAUACGUCAUAUCAAUCCAUGUCAUGGAGUUUAAUGACUUAUCCAAGUCUGGAACCUCAGUGAGUGCAUGUGAAUCACGUACAUUUAGCUCUCUUAUAUUCGACAUUUUCGAAAAAUUUGGCAUUGUUAUCAAACGAUAGCAACGAGACGCAUCCAGAAAUUUCAAAUUUGUUGGUAAACCAUAGAUUGUAUGAAGGUUAUGGCAGUAACCUAACCACAAAUUUUCAAGCUUUGAAAGACCACUGAGGCUGGGUAGGGUAUGAAAAUCAUUAGAUGAGAGAUCUAAAUUUCUUAAAAAGUCUAAGCUGAGUAACGAAUCGGGAAAUUGCAAAUGAGUGAGAUUCGUCAAUCCUAGAGAUAAAUGAGUGAGAUUCUUCAAUCUUACUGUGGAACGCGGUACUUGUCUUAUGGCUGUCUCAUAUGCUUUAAGUACUCUCAAUGAUAUCAUAUUCCCUAAAUCCUCGGACAGUUCACUGAAUUGCCCACAAAAAAUCAAGAACAAGAGUCUGAACGGAUUUGGACCUGUAGAAAUCCCCAGGAAGAGAAAUAAGAUUCUUGCAGCCUGUGAGGUUCACCAAAGAAAGUUUUUUAAGAUGACCAAUGGAGGGGUGAAUCUCGGACAAACUCUCACACCAUUCCAAUAUCAACUCUUCAAGACUUGGGAGAUUUGAUAAGUCUGGUGAUUUUUCUAAGUCAGAGCAACCACUGAAAUCAAGGAUUUUCAAGUUUUUAAGCGACUGUUGCACAAAAUCCAAGAAAAAUUAAAAUUAAUAUCCAAAAGGAAUAUCUCAUAAAAUAAAUAAAUAAAGAGAGAAGGAAAUCCAAAAACAAAUAGAAACUUAACAUCAUCAUGUGUAAUCGAUUGUACCUUCGAGCCCUCCCAAACUUGUACCAGUUUGCUAUACUUUAUCUCUAAAAUAACUAGUCUUGGUUGAUCAAAGAAGUCAUCUGGUAUGGACUUUAAAGGGCAUUCAUUCCAACACAACCAUAUUAACUCUUUGGGGAGAUGUUUGUAUUCUCCAUUGAGUUGCACGUUGUAGAGCUGGAGCAGUCUCAGUUUCUUCAUAUUGGCAAAUGCUUCUGUACUGAUACUUGGAGACAGAAGAUCAGGGAAACCUACAACAAGUCCUUCAACUUCUUUAGUUCCCUGUUAACAACACAUUAUACUGGGUAAGAAAAGGAUUAUGUGCAUCUAUUUUACGUGAUUUUGCUAAUUGAGCUUCUUAAUGCGAAUACAUAUAUUUACACAUAAAGGUCGUACCCAGUGCACAAGGCUCCCGCUUUACGCAGGGUCUGGGAGAGGUGAAUGUCGGCUAGCCUUACCCCCAUUUAUGGAGAGGCUGCUCCCAAGUCUCGAACCCGAGACCUACCGCUCAUGGGCGAAGGCACUUGCCAUCGCACCAAGUGCGACCUCUGAAUACAUAUAUUUACACAUAAAUGUUUUUAAUGUAUGACAGCUAUACGUGGGUUACAUAUUUGCUUUUCUUGUACGAUGCAUUAAUACAAAAUUUUAUAGGGAAUGUACUUACAGAUUUAUCUCUCAAUACAUCAGUGACCUCCUGCUGGUUCCACAACCUACUCCAUUCUCCAGGGUGACGAGGGGAUUUUUCAGAAAUGAUUAAUUUGGCCAUUUCUCGAAGCAAAUCAUGUAUAUUCAACUUGUUGUCUUCAACAGUUAUAAGGCAUCAUUCACGAAGGACACUCAUUCCUAUUGUCGCAAAAAAGUCACAUCCAUCUAAUAUUUUUGUGACAUAGUCAUUAUCCCAUCCAAUGAAGAAACAAGAUAUGUCAAGGAAUAUAGCCUUCUGUUUAUCAUCUAGCCCUUCAAAGCUUAUUCUUAGUCGUUGUAUUAUUUCUCCUUCAGGAGUUGUUUUCAAUUUUACCAAUUGAUUUUCCCACUCUGCUAUGGUUCUUCCAAUUAAAAAAGUGCCUAAAACUUCAAGUGCUAGUGGCAAACCUCCACAGUAAGAAACGAUCUUCCUUGAGAGUUCAAGAUAUCCUUCAUUAGGCCAACAAUUUCUAAAGGCAUGCCAACUAAAGAGCUCCAGAGCUUCUUCUUCAUUCAUUUUAUGAAGCGGAUAUAUCUUGUCCACUCCAACUUGGCGUAGUAAAUGUUCAUCUCGUGUCGUUAUGAUAAUUCUACUUCCUAAGCCAAACCAAUCACAAUUUCCAGCUAUUGCAUUUAGUUGUUUCAUUUUGUCUACAUUGUCAAUAAUGACAAGUACGCUUCUACGUUGGAGAUGAUAUUUUAUCAGGCCGAUACCUUCAUCAACACUGGUUAUCUCAGGCUUGGUCUGUUUCAAGAUGUCAGAAACAAGUUUUUUUUGCGAAACAACCAGAUCUUUUUCACUAACGUUGUCAAGGAAACUUUUGAAUUGGAACUCAUGAUGAAUUUUGUUAUAAAUGGCUUUGGCAGCUGUUGUUUUACCCAAUCCACCCAUCCCCCCAAAUUCCAACCAUGCGAACAUCAUCUGAUCCACCACUUGAAAGAUAACUGAUAAUAUCUUGAACGCGAGAAUUGAUUCCAACCAGGUGAUUGGCCACAUGUAAUUUGUUUGCUCUCCGAAGCCAUUCCGGAAUAAUCUUGUCAACAAUUUCUCUAAUACGCUGUGCUUCGCAACUGAAAAUUGAAUUGGCAAGCUUAGUAAGCUCAGUAGGAGCUAUUAGUACACAAACAAUUUUCUUUCCUUCGUGUGUGUGUGUGUGUGUGUGUGUGUGUGUGUGUGUAUACACACUAACUAGCUACUAGCUAGUAUGUGAGUUUGUGAUCAACUUCAAUAAAAGAAACAAAUUCAUUCACUGAUAUAUUAAAGUUUGGUGUAUCAAUUAAACUCAUUAUGGUUUAGAUUUUAGAAGAAAUUGGAGAAAUGGUCCAUGAACUAUGAUCGAAUUGUAGCUUUGGUUCUUAAACUAAAAAUUCAUUAAAUCUCGUCCCUGAACUUAACAAAAUAUGGAACAUUGGUCCCUCCAUGUUAACACCGUAAGAUUUUCUGUUAAUUUGAUAACGUCGUCUUUGUGGGCUCCAUAUUUUUGUUUAUUAGAUGCCACGUUGCUUGAAAAUUCAAAUAAAAGAAAAUAAAUACAAGCAUUGAGAAACAAAGAGAAAAAAAAAUACUUUAAAUUAUAAAAGUUAACUCUCUCCCAUCCUCCCUUCCGCCUCACCUUCUCCAAACCCCAGCCACACCAUUGUAGCACUUUCCCAACAGCCAAAACAAAAGAAAAGUUCCUCAUCCAAAUUUGGAACACACCUCACCUUGCAAACGACUUCACAAUGACAUUCAUCUACGCUGUCUCGAAAGGUAAGAUUCAAGAAAUUUGUGGGAUGCGGGUUCGGGGUUCGGGUGAAGGCUGUGGUCCGUGGGCUAAAGGUUGGGGUCGGCUGGGGAGUGGGGAUUAGGGAUUGGGGGUUGGAAGUGGGAGGUUGACGGGGUGGGAAUCAACGAUUGAAGGUGAAGGGGUGGGCUGCGAGCCUGCGAGUGUUGGUGGGAUGAGGUAGGCCUGCAAUUAUAUAUAUAUAUGUAUGUAUGUAUGUAUGUAUGUAUGUAUGUAUAUAUAUAUGUAUGUAUGUAUAUAUGUAUAUAUAUGUAUGUAUAUAUAAUAUAGGUGAAACUAACAUGUAAAGUUGUAAACACUUUUAACUAAAACUGAAAGGAAUUGGUUACGAAGGACUAACGCUCCAUAUUUUAUCAAGUUCAAGGACAAAAUAUAAUGAAAUUUUAGUUUAGGAACCAAAGCUACAAUUUUCCUCUAGAUUUGAUAUGAGAUUUAAGGCGUAUUAAUUAAGCAUGUUAAUUAGAGUAAUGCAACUUAGAUAUUGAAAAGCACGUGAAUGAUUACCUAUUAUCAGUGAUUUGAAGAUGGUAGCCAGACAAAUUUGCAGCUUCUCUAAGAGCAUUUCUCCACUGCUUUACCCUUUCUUGUUUUUCUUCACGUUUCUUGUCAUCUUUUUCUUUACGAAUGUUCUUUUUGUGUUUCUUAAAUGCUUGGGCUAAAACUCCAUUCUGGUUCCUGACAUGUGAAGGAUCAACGUGAUAGAAUAUUGGCAAAACAUGGCGCUCCAGUUUGUCUCUGCACUCGAUGAUCUUCAUCAGCUCAUUAAGACACCAACUCGAACUCGCAUACCUCUUUGAGAAGACAAUGAUAGAGAUCUUCGAUUCUUCGAUUGCCUGGAACAGUUCUUUUUGUAUUUCUUCCCCUCUUUUUAGAUCGUCCUCAUCAAUAUAAGCCUGGUAUCCCCUGUCCGUUAAUGCCCUGUGGAGGUGGCCCGUGAAACCAUUGCGUGUGUCUACACCGCUGAAGCUCAAGAACACGUCGUAAUUCCAAAGUUUUGACUUGGAGGACGAUGAAGAGGAGGCUUCGUGGGUCGUCAUGGCGGUAUCCACCAUUAUGGCGCUGCAGUGGUUCAGAUCACGACUGAAAAAUGGCAGUAGUUGUGCUCGUGCUGUCGAACGGAUGAUCCUGAAAUACCUAAACCCAAGUCAAGCUCCUUCAGUCAACAAGAACAAAGUUUUAAUAUAAUAAUGUUGGUGUAUGGACUUGAGAAACGACAUAAUGUUGGCCGGAAAGUGCAGAGAAAGAGAGAGGAAAAGACGAAUGAAAGGAGAAAAGACUAUCCAAAUGAUUCUUGGCUGUGAUUACAGCUAUUCAUAGGAGAAACAAUGGACAUAUUUUCAUAGGAGAAACAACCUGCCCACUUCAUUUAUAAUAUAUUUCAACAGAGAUAUUUUAAUAGGAGAAACAACUUUCGUUUGUACUAGAAAUUUUUACCCGCGUGUUGCUACGUGAUUUGAAAUUGUAAGAAAGAUUAUCUUUGAAAUAUAUAAUAGAUUGUGUGAUUGAAGAUUAAUACUAUUUACAUUGAAAACGUUGGAAAAAGUUUUACAUACAAAAGAUUUUACGAUACAAUCCACAUCAAAAGAUGGUAAAUUUUUUUCUAUCUACAUGCAUUAAGUUAUGGAAUGAUAUAUAGAUAUAUAUAUAUAACUGAGUUCCAGAAUACGUAAACUUCAUAACUUGGAAAUUUUUUGACAAAUUAAUCAGAUUCAACUGUGGGAUAGCAAGGUCGCCUAUAAAGUUGUGAAGUCGUGGAAGCAUAAAGGACAAAUAACAAAUGAGUUUUGAGAAAUUAUUCCACAAAUGUCAUUUUGCAAAAUGUAUUAAAGACGAUUGGGUACAAGAUUAGUAAUCAUGAGUAGUGUAACAACAUCAACAAAAUAACUAUAAUCCAUAGUUGUUGAACAUAAUUCAAAUUUCGUUUGCAAAAACAAAAGAAAAAGAAAACAGACUUACAAUAAUUCAGCCUUCAAUCCUGAAGUCCUACUCAAAGAGCCAAACUUGAAUGCAAGCUUUCUGAAAUCUUCCAAACAAUACAGAUAAAAAGGUAACAUCCUAGUCAGAAACGAACCGAGGUGCAAGCUUUCUUAGAAACCCAGAUGACAAAAUCAACAAAAGAGAAUGGAAAAAUGACUUACACUUUUAAGGCAUGCUCAAAUCUUGAUCUAAAAUUUGUGGUGGGUCGAUUGUUGGCCACCAACUCUAAAUGAAGAAUUCAUCAGAAACUAGAAAUUUAAACAAAGAAUUUUCCAAAAUCAACAUUUACUAAAAACCAGUUACUUGGUUAUCAUGCAUGAUGGCUUGCCAAAGACUGAAUUAAGGAAUGCACAACUUUACUUUUUAUGAUUAUUUUCAAUGAUAGCUAAAAGGUCAGAUCCAAAUGAAAAUAAAACUUAGGACUUCACAAAACCAAUUAAAAAUCUAAUUCCAAAGUUACAAACACCCACCAAAUGAUUCCAGAUAAAGUUUUAAACUCAACGUCAGACCCAAAUGAAAUUAAAAGUUAGGACUUCACAAAACCAAUUGAAAAUCUGAUUCCAAAGUUCCAAACACCCACCAAAUGAUUCCGGAUAAAGUUUAAACUCAAAAACCCAACAGAAACAAAAGCAUUGGUGUGAAUUAACUGUAUCUAAUUGAAGAAACUAAAACAAAAGUAAAGCAAAGUACAUACCUCAAAAUGUCAAGCAACUAAGUUCUUCCUCCGACGACCCAAAAUUCUGAAAAUUCCACACAAAAAAAGAGUAAGCCCAUUAGCAAUUCAUAGCUUUCAAAAUUAGCAAAAACUUGGGCAACAAUAAAGACGCGUUGAGAACCAUCACUCUUUCUCCUUAUAUAUUUGAAAAGAUAUUUUAUAAGCAGUUUAUGUAGUCAUUCAGAUCAUGUUGCAUAUAAAUUCCUUUUCUACAGAGUUCAUAAAAGUAUGGCAGUUUAUGGUAUCUGUUGAAUGACAUGGUUGAAAGAUUUCAAAUUGAUAUAUUCAAUUUAUGUGUAAAACUAUAACAUAUAGCUAAAGCUAUUGGGUCUAUAUAUCCAUAUCAAUCAUGUCGUAAUUGAAUGUUUAUCAAUGUAAAUAGAUGAUUUCAGUCAUGUGAUAACAUGUUUCUUGAUAGUAUACGCUGAAGAUUGGUCUAAGUGGGAUAUGAAUCGACCAAAAUCUUAAGAAGAGACUCUUUUAACUUUUAACCAAAAAUGAACACCACAGUACUACACUAAGUUUUAUCAUGCAUAAAAUACACAACACUGAUUGCCACUUUUAGAAAACAACAAAACACUCAAAACCCAGAAACAGAAACACACUUUAGGACUCAAACUCCCCAAAAACAUAUGAGAGAGAUAGAGAGAUAGAGAGAGAGAGAGAGAGAGAGAGAGAGAGAGAGAAUAAAAACAAUAUUAUUUUUCACACAAACUCAAAAUUGCUUAUAAAAUUACAAAUCAAAACAAAUGAAAGCAAAUCCAAAAUUGCCCUAAAUUAAAUCUGAUUAGUUAAAUGUUUGUUGCCCUACAAAUGUCAUUACACCCGACAAAACUUGCUUUGAAGUUGAUAUUUUGGUCAAUCCGGGGGAAAAUGAGCUAUUGCUUUUGGAGCAGUUGUCAUGGAGAUUACCAUCUCCCUGUUGAAUGAUCUAAAAAAGGACUUACAGCUUCUGGUGGCCAUAAUAAUUUAGGAGGUCCUUCGCUCCAGAUUUUCUCAAUAACUUUCCUUUUCGUGGCUGGUAGGAUUGCAACUCCAAGAAUUGCUCUGAAGAGAUAUAUGCAAACAAAAUCAAACUAAAACUAAGCUGUUGGAAGAAAUUUAGAAAACACAAACACCACAACUCAGAGUUAAAGUCAACAGAAACCAAAUGGUAGAAGUUGAAAAAAAUAUAUGGUGAUGAAUCGAGAACUUCAUUAAACUAACAGCAAUAAAAUCUCAUAUAAUCUGUCAAAAACCAAAAAAGAGAGAGGUAAUUUCAAAACCUUGUAACGCUGAGGCGUCGUACAGUUGUAGUAAUAAUAUAUGGUUGAUGCACCUGUUGCUCAAUCAAAUCCUCUGUCUGGCUAAAAAAAUAAAAAUCUAUAAAUACAUUCACGUCCAAUUUAUGAGAAAUCAUGGGAAAGUAAAUGCACUGAUAACGGAAUUAUGAAUAUGAACUUGCCAAAAAGAAAAAGAAAACUUCUUAUAGUGUGCCAAGAACAUCCUCCUACUCCUAGCAAUUUUUAAUGGCAUUGUCCACUUCUCAAUUCAUAAUUCAACCAAUAACUCAAAGUCUAUAGUGUUUGAAAAAGUGAUAUCUUAGUUGAUCACGAUGAUAAUUAAGCAGAUUAAAUGAUGACCCAUAAAGCAUACAAAUUCAGAAAAGAAAAGGUUCAAAACUGUCAUGAGAAAAUACAGAAUAUAUAAACAGGAAAUCAAAAAAAGAGAAGUGAAAAAGGAAGAAACAACCAAACAAAAUUAUUAGGUUUGGGAUAUACCUUUAUCUGAAACGCCACAAUCAUCAAAGUCAAACUUAAACAACAACAACAACAACAACAACAACAAAGCCUUUUCCCACUAAGUGGGAAAGUCAAACUUAAACAAUCCAAAAAUUUGUGGAAAAUACCAAUAAAUGCUCAACUAAAAACGAAAGAAACGUAGAAUAAGUUUACCUGUUCUGCCCCUAAUUAAACUGGAAUACAAUUCACCACUAAUAUUCCUUGGUGUAUGCUUUUCGCAGACGAUAUAGUGUUGAUAGAUGAAACUCAGGAAGGGGUAAAUGCAAAGCUUAACCUUUGGAGAGAAGUGUUGGAAUCUAAAGGUCUUCGCCUAAGCCGAUCAAAGACAGAAUAUAUGGAGUGCAAGUUCAGUGCAAAUGGAGGCCAAAACGAGUUAGGGGUGAGGAUCGGAGAUCAAGAAAUACUAAAGAGCGACCGUUUUCGUUACCUAGGAUCUAUCUUGCAAAAGAACGGAGAAUUAGAUGGAGAUCUCAACCAUAGAAUACAAGCUGGAUGGAUGAAGUGGAAGAGUGCAUCCGGCGUGUUAUGUGACCGCCGUAUGCCACUGAAGCUCAAGGGAAAAUUUUAUAAGGACGGCAAUAAGGCCGGCGAUGCUGUAUGGCACAGAAUGUUGGGCGGUGAAACAUCAAACACGUACACAAAAUGGGUGUAGCGGAGAUGAGGAUGCUUCGUUGGAUGUGUGGGCACACGAGAAAGGAUAAGAUUAGGAAUGAGGAUAUCCGGGGUAAAGUAGGAGUAGCCGAAAUUGAAGGAAAGAUGAGAGAAAAUCGGUUACGGUGGUUUGGACAUGUGCAAAGAAAGGCCUACUGACGCUCCGAUUAGAAGAUGCGACUAUGGGACAGAGGUUCAGGGCCGAAGGGGUAGAGGAAGACCUAGGAAAACUUUGGAAGAGACUCUAAGAAAAGACUUAGAGUACUUGGAUCUAACGAAGGACAUGACACAGGAUCGAGCACAAUGGCGUUCUAAGAUUCAUAUAGCCGAUCCCACUCAGUGACUUGGAUUUUCCAAGUCUCCAACCGAGAAGUUUUCCUCACUCGGAAAAUUAAGGGAACACUACCCCAACCUACAUGCUCCACUCAGAAAGCUUCAACAUACAAGCUUCAACAAAAGAAAAUUCAAAGAACUUAGCGAAGAAGGCUUUGGUGUAUUAACACAAUACGUUGAAAUGAAGGAAAGCUUAUUUAUUGAUAUCCCCGAUAAGCUACAAAUAUGUACAUAUACAUGAGUCAAAAUAAACACACAAGAGGGAGCCUUCACAAAGGUUGCUUAGGAGAAGUCUCAGCAGUCGGUAGAGCCCCAGAAAGAGAAGGCACCGGAGGGGGAUCAUUUGGAGCCUCAGUACUGGACAGAACCCUAGAAGGAGGAGGCAUCAGAGGUUGAUCAUUUGGAGCUUCAUUACGCGGUACAGCCCCAGAAGACGAAGGCAAUAAAUGCCUUUGGAACAAACCCACAAAUCUCUGAUGAUCAAGUAAAACCUGACCAUCAGUUUCCUUCAUCUGGUCAAGCUUCCUCUUCAUGUUUGUAGCAUAGUCAUGUGCGAGCCGGUGCAACUGUUUAUUCUCAUGCUUGAGCCCUCUAAUCUCCUGUUUGAGACUCAUCACUUCAGCCGCCAAUGAUUCAACUUGGCGGGUUCGAGCAAAUAGGCGUUGGGCCAUAUUAGACACAGAACCUGCACACUGAACACUGAGAGCCAGCGAAUCCUUAACAGCUAACUCAUCAGACCGUUUGGAAAGUAGUCUGUUAUCUUUGGGAGUGAGAAGGUUCCUGGCCACCACCGCAGCGGUCAUAUCAUUCUUCAUCACGGAAUCCCCAACGGUAAGAGGACCAGUAGGGGAGACGAAGGAUGGGCGCCAUAUGUUGUCUGGAGAAGGCGGGGCUGCCUCUUCAACAAGGUUCAAGUCAAAACGACGGUCGGAGGGGCCAGACAUUUUCAAAGGUGUUGAAGAGAGAAGAGGUCGGACAAAUCAAGAUCUUAGAAGUGCAAGAAUGAAGCUUCUACUGGUGGAGAUUCAAGUGUGCUUUGGAACUUAAUGCCAGCCCCUAUAAAAAUCUGCACUCGACGGAGCUUCAGAAAAUCGAAGAGGCGCCUGCUCAGAAAUCGAAGAGGCGUUUGCUUUCUCAAAAGCUGGGCUGCUUAGAGAUCACGAGGGUUGAUCUCAGAAAUCGAAGAGGCGUUUGCUUUCUCAAAAGUUGGGCUGCUCAAAGACCACGAAGGCCGAUCUCAGAAAAUCGAAGAGGCGCUCGCUUUCUCAAAAGCUGGGCUCCCCAGAGACCACGAGGGCCGAUCUCAGAAAUCGAAGAGGCACCUACUUUUCCAGCCUUGUCAGCACCUGUCACACGCACACUCAGCUUUGCGGAAAUUAUGGGCAUUCUGUCGAAGACUUCUGGGGAAGUAGAAAACACAUGAAUCUUACUGUUCAAUCACCCACUUCCCACACGCAACAAUAGCUCAUGGGUACCACAGAUAACUUUGCCAAAGUUCUCUGCCAAAGUUGAGCACGUGAAGCUUGCAGCUCCCACUACAUCGCUCUGACCAAGAAGGGUAAAAGAAUAGCAAAGAAACAGCACUAACAAAGUUUAGACCCAUAAAUUUUGAAGGUCUAGCUACCAUAUUAUUACCCACAAGGGUAAAGGAACAGUACCACUGCUGGAUAAUUGGAAAGUCCCUGUGUGUCAACCUCUGUGCUUCGUGGCAAGGUAGACUAGCAAACAUGCCCAACCUUUACUCACAUUCGAGAAAACACUCCCAAUAAGAUUGCUUGCUCCAAAAUCGAAGAGGCACCGUCCUCCGAAUCUCGAGAGCCAGACUCCCAACAUGACUACUUUCUUAAAAAUCGAAGAGAGGGUAAAGGAACAGUACCAUUGCUGGAUAAUUGGAAAGUCCCUGUGUGUCAACCUCUGUGCUUCGUGGCAAGGUAGACUAGCAAACAUGCCCAACCUUUACUCACAUUCGAGAAAACACUCCCAACAAGAUUGCUUGCUCCAAAAUCGAAGAGGCACCCGCCCUCCGAAUCUCGAGAGCCAGACUCCCAACAUGAUUACUUUCUCAAAAAUCGAAGAGACACUGCUCCCCGAAUCUUCGAGAGCCAGACCCCCAGCAUGAUUGCUUUCUCAAAAAUCGAUGAGGCAUCGUUCUCCGAAUCAAUCGAAGAGGCGCUCGCUUUCUCAAAAGCUGGGCUGCUCAGAGACCACGAGGGCCGAUCUCAGAAAUCGAAGAGGCACCUACUUUUCUAGCCUUGUCAGCACCUGUCACACGCACACUCAGCUUUGCAGAAAUUAUGGGCAUUCUGUCGAAGACUUCUGGUGAAGUAGAAAGCACAUGAAUCUUACUGUUCAAUCACCCACUUCCCACACGCAACAAUAGCUCAUGGGUACCACAGAUAACUUUGCCAAAGUUCUCUGCCAAAGUUGAGCACGUGAAGCUUGCAGCUCCCACUACAUCGCUCUGACCAAGAAAGGUAAAAGAAUAGCAAAGAAACAGCACUAACAAAGUUUAGACACAUAAAUUUUUGAAGGUCUAGCUACCAUAUUAUUACCCACAAGGGUAAAGGAACAGUACCACUGCUGGAUAAUUGGAAAGUCCCUGUGUGUCAACCUCUGUGCUUCGUGGCAAGGUAGACUAGCAAACAUGCCCAACCUUUACUCACAUUCGAGAAAACACUCCCAACAAGAUUGCUUGCUCCAAAAUCGAAGAGGCACCGUCCUCCGAAUCUCGAGAGCCAGACUCCCAACAUGACUACUUUCUCAAAAUCGAAGAGAGGGUAAAGGAACAGUACCAUUGCUGGAUAAUUGGAAAGUCCCUGUGUGUCAACCUUUGUGCUUCGUGGCAAGGUAGACUAGCAAACAUGCCCAACCUUUACUCACAUUCGAGACAACACUCCCAACAAGAUUGCUUGCUCCAAAAUCGAAGAGGCACCCGCCCUCCGAAUCUCGAGAGCCAGACUCCCAACAUGAUUACUUUCCUCAAAAAUCGAAGAGACACUGCUCUCCGAAUCUCGAGAGCCAGACCCCCAGCAUGAUUGCUUUCUCAAAAAUCGAAGAGGCAUCGUUCUCCGAAUCUCGAGAGCCAGAUACCACAGACCACUUUUUCAAAGUGCUCUGACAGAGUUAAAACAUGUGAAACUGGCAGCUCCCACUACCGUGCUAUGACCAAGCAGGGUAAAGGAAUAGCAUUACUACUUGUUGUUAGGGAGACUCCUAUAUAUGUCGACCUCCAUCCCCAACGGACAGGCAGACCUGCAAAAAUGCUCAACCCUUCAUCAUAUCUGAGAGGGCACUCCCAACGAAGCCUUUCGAAAUAUUCAGCUUUCUUUCCCCCCGAUAAUACCUCUGCAAACAAGCUAUACUACUAGAGCAAGAAUAUCUCAUAUCAUCAGGGUUAAAAGCAAGAGUAUCCCAUAUCAUGCUUUUUCCCUGUCUUUUCCUUUGGCCUUGUUUUUUACCUGCAAGACAAGGAGAAAGAGAGAGCAAUCAGUCAGCACUUGGAAUCAAGCUUCCAGCCAGGAACUGACUGCCUGGAACCCCUUACCUGAUUACUUACCUGGCAUUGCUCUCGAGUACUCAUCUUCAACAUCUUAUGUUUCCAGGGAAGAUUCCGCAUCUGCUUGAGGAACAGAUAGGGCAAGUGCGAAGGAUACAAGGAAGCAUGUGGAGACAAGCGUAACAGCACACGUGCCGAUACAUCCAUUACUCUGUCAAAAGCAAAAGUAUCCCAUAUCAGCAGGGUGGAACGUACUCUAGAUUUGAUGGACUUGUUUUGACCCUCAAAUUCUUCAGUCGGCCUUAUACUCUGGAGGAAACCAGAAAACCCUCCAGCUCAGUUCAAGAAUAAGCCUGUGGAAAGUUACUUCUUCAAAAGCAAAAGUAUCUCUCAUAUCAUCUCUUCUCAUUUUUUCUUCUCUUUAUCCUUCAUGCUGCUGCAAGAUGGGGAGAAGGUGAACAAUCAGUCGGAGCUCUGAUUGCUUACCUUGUCUGUCACCUCUUUCAGCAGACCCCCUAGCUCGGCGACUUGGGGGACUCCUACUACAUGGUUUGUAUCGCGCUUGACCAAGCCUGAAACUACAAGUAAGCUUCAAGUGAAAUUGAUACAUUACCUUGUGCAUCUCCACCAGUUAAAGAUACCACCCCUGGAUGGAGGAAGAGUACUUCCAGAGAAGAUGCCACAUCUACCUAUGAGACAGAUAAGGCAAGUCAAGACGACACCACACUCCGAUACUUAGAAGUUUCGUGAUUACGAGAUCAUUCUCCCACAAUAUUUCCUAAUGUCAUUUGUACUAAAUCAUUCACUUGUACUCACUAAAGGAGAGCUUGAACCUAUGUACUUGUGUAAACCCUUCACAAUUAAUGAGAACUCUUCUAUUCCGUGGACGUAGCCAAUCUGGGUGAACCACGUACAUCUUGUGUUUGCUUUCCUAUCUCUAUCCAUUUAUAUACUUAUCCACACUAAUGACCGGAGCAAUCUAGCGAAGAUCACAAAAAAGCGACCGUUUUCGCUACCUAGGAUCUAUCUUGCAAGAGAACGGAGAAUUAGAUGGAGAUCUCAACCAUAGAAUACGAGCUGGAUGGAUGAAGUGUAAGAAUGCAUCCGGCGUGUUGUGUGACCGUCGUAGGCCACUGAAGCUCAAGGGAAAAUUUUAUAGGACGGCAAUAAGGCCAGCGAUGUUGUAUGGCACAGAAGAAUGUUGGGUGGUGAAGCAUCAACACGUACACAAAAUGGGUGUAGCGGAGAUGAGGAUGCUUCGUGGGAUGUGUGGGCACACGAGAAAGGAUAAGAUUGGGAAUGAGGAUAUCCGAGGUAAAGUAGGAGUAGCCGAAAUUGUAGGAAAGAUGAGAGAAAAUCGGCUCCGGUGAUUUGGACAUGUGCAAAGAAGGCUGAAUGACGCUCCGGUUCGAAGAUGUGACUACGGGACAGAGGUUCAGGGUUGAAGGGGUAGAGGAAGACCUAGGAAAACUUUGGAAGAGACUAUAAGAAAAGACUUAGAGUACUUGGAUCUAACGGAGGACAUGACACAAAACCGAGCGCAAUGGCGUUCUAGGAUUCAUAUAGCCGACCCCACUUAGUGGGAAAAGGCUUUGUUGUUGUUGUUGUUGUAUUCAAUGAAGAUGCUUAAAGGAGACAGUAAUAUUAGCAAUGAAGGAAUUUAAUUGAUAACUAAAACUGCAAAACAAAAUGACUACAAUAGGUUCAAAACAGAAACUCGUCCGAUAGAUAUCUCAUCUUUAGGCAAUGCCUUGUUCCCUUUUUUUUUUUUUUUUUUUUUUUUUUUUUUUGUUGCAUGUCUUGUGAACUUCAUGUAAAUCAACAAAAUUGAUACCUUAACCAACAAUGGAGAGGUAAAAAGUUAAAAACAGAAGGAAUGUCUUCAGUUUUGUAAUGGAUUUUGCAAGUCAAAUUCUGUUCGAGAAUUUGCAACCCAGAAAGUCCCAGCAAUUAUUAACAAUCACAGAUAAGCACCGAAUGAAGGCCAAUCUAAUAAGCCAAAAUAUGUAGGGCACUAAAGAAAUUAUUGCCCAGUAACAAUGAUAGAUAAGCACAUGUGAAACUAAAGAAAAUUUUCAUUACUAUCAACUCCAAAAAAAAUUACCUAUGCAAUCCAAAAAAUGUUGAUACAGAGUUGGAGUAUCGAUGCCUGAAAUUGGUAUUUGAACCACCAACUACCUCCGUGAAUAUGCUUGUCACUUAAUGGUUUGGGUUGAAGUUGUGAAAGGAAAUGUAAUUUCUUAAAAGGAAGGAGAGAAUGCAGAGAAGAAUACAGAAUGGUUCACGUGGCCACCGCAAAACAGGUUAAUAAUCAAGCUUCACUAUGAAUGGAAAGAUUAAUAGAUGAUAAUUAAGAAGGCCUGAUACCCAAGCCGAAAUCAGAGAUAUCCUUUGUAAACAAAGAGAUUGAACAUUUCCUCUCAAAAAAUAACUUUUUUUUUUGUUUUGGGGGGGAGGUUGGGAAGGCUCAGAAAAAGACAUCCAAUAUAAUACUUAUUGCAUGCAAGGUAUGAAACAGCCUCCCCCCGAGUAAAAUCACAGAAAUAAAAGAAAUCGAAUCAAGAAAAAAGAUAAUUACACAAGAAUUACACCUUCACUAAGAAAAUAAAUUAUAAAAACGAAGACUCUGAGAAUAAUUGCCUGUGAUUUGCUGCCAAAAACAAAAAUAAUGUCGUAUACAUUAAGCCUGCCGAUUACUAAAAACAAAACAUUUUUCCAUGAGAAGAAGUAAGAACAUACCGAAACUUGUUUGCUAAUAGAUGAGAAAAAUUUAUAACUGAAACAUAUAGGAAAUUUAUUAGGAAAAGAUAAACAAAACACCUAAAUUAAGCAAUUAAAUGGAGUAUUACUUGAUAGAGCUGGAAAAUUACCCAGUUCCUCAGAGAGAGGAUCAAGAGUGAAUGAUGAGAGUGCAGAGAAACGAAUGAUUGAGAAAUUCAAGCUCUGAGCUCACAGUUGGGGCUUCCACUUUCCAACUGGGGAAGAAAUAACAGAGAAAACACAAGGCCAAUCCACCAAAAAUAUUAAUCAAAUGGGUUUCUUCUAAUUCAAAAUUUUGACCACCCAAAUUCCGAUGAAGCAAUAAUUGUUCAAAAUUCCAACAGAUUGAAGGAAAAAGUAAUAAAUUUUUUUAAAACAGUAAUAAUGAAGGAAAAAGAAAUUAAAGCUGCGAGCCAUUCUCUAAAUCUCAGGCACCAAUCCAAAUCACCAGUAAUUUGCACAUAAUGAUAAGAAUCUAGCAAUACUUCCAUUGUUUAAAACCCAAAUUCCAGAAAUCAUGAAAAAUGGAAACUUUAUAUGGAAAUUGAAGCUUUACCUGCAGAUCAGCAGCAGCAAACGAAAUUCAAGAAGUCACGAUUAUCGACGCGUGGGUAGCAUUCCACUGUGCCAAGGACGAAAAUGAACGGGGAAUGUAGAGCUGGCUGACGAAGACAGGAUUCGCGAAGCGCUCUGAUUUUUUUUUUCACGAGAAUGCGGAAUGAAGAGAAGCGAGUAGAGGAGGAAUCAUUUUAAGCGAUGAUCGACGCGUGGAAAUUGAGGGCAAAUCUGCCAUUUUGCUGUGAACGAAAGUGAAAAAAGGCACAAUCAAAGAGUAAUUUGAGGGCAUUCUAGCCACUUUAAUAAACAGUAGCUUUGUGUUUGAGAUUUAAUAUAGGUAUAUAUAGAGCCCUACAGAGCAACUCCACCCAUGGAGCCCUCCUCUCUGACAAUCUACUAUUGAAUUCACCUUUUUGAACAGUAACUGCCUUUAAUAAAUAGUAACUACCAUUAAUGAACAAUAAUUGUCAUUUGCAUCUCCACCCUUGGAGCCCUCCCCCCUGGCAAUAGGCAAUAAAAUAUUAAUUUUUUUUGUUUGUUUAAAUAAUACAAAAUAAAAUUAUUUGUAAUUUUGGAUAAGAUUUUUUAAAUCGUUCUCGUUGCGCCACGUGUCAUUUUAUAAAAAAAACAAUUAUUUAGCGAUGGAUUUCGAUAAGAUUUUUAUCCAAUGUCAUCGUGUCACAUGUCGUUAUCUUUUGAUAAUCUUUGACGAUAUCUUUCGAUCAGAUUUUAACUCGUUCAAAAUUGCGUCACGUGUCAUUAUUCGAAAAGAUAAUUAUUGGAGAUCGAUUUCGAUAAGAUUUUUAUCCAAUACGAUCUUGUCACGUUUCAUUAUCUUUCAUAAUAUUUGAGGAUAGAUUUCGAUCAGAUUUUUAACGAAUGACGGCAUGCCACGUGGCCUUAUCUACAAUCCAAUCCUUUCUGAAUCAUCCAUAUAAUCCACCAUCCAUCCUCACAAAUCUCACACCAAAUUUCUCAACAUUUCUAUCUCAUUAUUCAUAGUUUCUGCUUCUUCUUCACCAUCCAUCAUUACAAUGUCUUCUUCUUCAUCAAGGAUGAUGUGGGAAAUCGAUCAGCAAGAGGAAGAAUUGUUUAACCAAUCUGAAGGAAUGUUCAACCUUCAGAUAGCCGAAAAUGAGAUGGAUGAGGAUGAGGAGCGUAGAAGGAGAGACGACGAAACAAGAAUGGCCAGAGCCUCACAUUCCCGUUGAGUCAUCCAGACUGUUGCUCAGAUAUGCAUGCCCAACCGUUCAAGAAACCUUGGUAGAAGCAGGCAACGAUGGGGUGAAGAGCUAUUGGACGAUUACUUUGUCCAUAACAGUGCAUUUCCUGAUACGUACUUCAGACGUCGUUUUAGAAUGGAACGACAUUUGUUCAACAGAAUCAUGACUGAUGUUUACAACCAUGAUUCUUACUUUGUGCAAAAGAAUGAUGCUUGUGGUGUUAUGGGUUUCCUGCCUGAGCAAAAAAUCACUGUUGCGUUGCGGAUGCUUGCGUAUGGAGCAUCUGUAGACCAAGUGGAUGAGAUAACGAGGAUGGGGAAAUCAACCAUUCUUGAGGCCCUUAUGAGGUUUUGCGGAGCAGUCGAAUCUUUGUACACCGCAUAGUACCUCCGAAAACCUACUUGUAGGGACUUGCAAAGGCUUCUGAAGAAGGGCGAGAUGCGAGGUUUUCCUGGGAUGAUAGGAAGCAUCAAUUGUAUGCACUGGACGUGGAAAAAUUGUCCAAGUGCAUGGCAAGGCGCAUAUGGGGACAUAAAAGGAUCAAAAACUAUCAUUUUGGAGGCAGUGGCAUCUUUUGAUACAUGGAUAUGGCACGCCUUUUUCGGGGUUCCGGGGGCUCAAAAUGAUCUCAACGUCCUUGCCCAAUCCCCAGCGUUCAACGACAUCCUGCAAGGAAAGGCACCAAAAGUCACGUACAUCGUCAACGGACGUAGGUACGACGGGCCAUACUAUCUAGCUGACGGCAUUUACCCACGGUGGGAAACAUUUGUCAAAACAGUGCCACGUCCGCGAAGUGCAAAGGAAAAACACUUUGCAAGCUGUCAAAAGGGGUGCAGGAAGGAUGUGGAGCGUUGUUUUGGUAUCCUUCAAGCUCGUUGGGCGAUCGUCAGGGGUGCUGCCAGAAUGUUCGAUGUAGAGUCACUUUGAUCCAUCAUGAUGACAUGCGUCAUUCUUCACAAUAUGAUUGUGGAAGAUGAGUUCGAUUAUGAUGCGGUUGAUGAAUAUGAGCCAGAGCCAGACACGAUGAACAAUUCAAGAACACGGAUAUAUUGUGCGCAUGAUGCCACCAAAGAACCCGUGCAACAUGAGCCAUUAGAAAGGGAUGAACGUUACAAUGAAAUGGUCAUUCAACGAUAUACUGCACUUCAAAUGUCAUCUAUGCACAAUGAUCGGCAAAUUGACUUGAUAGAGCACCAGUGGACAUUAAAACAAGCUGAAGAUACUUAAGUUUAUUUAGUAUGUUUGUUUGUAUUUGGUAUGUUUAUGUAAUUUUAUUUGGUGUGUUUUUUGUAGUGAGUUUUUUAUUAUUUCGUAUGUUUAUGUAAUUUUAUUUGGUGUGUUUAUGUAAUUCCAAUUGGUAAGAAAAUAUGAAAUUGUGGUGUAAGGUAGAUGGAGAAGAAGUGGUAUUUAUAGAAAAGUAAAAACAAUUUUUUACAAAUUUUUUUUUUUAGAUUUUUUACAAUUUUUUCGGAUUUUUUCCAUUUUUUUUAAUUUUUUUUUCAAAUAAUUAAUCUCUGCCGUUGGAUUUAAAAAAAAUUGAAUUCCAACACUCCAGAUUGUGCCACGUGUCACAACGGUAAUUUUUCUUAAUUUUAAAACUAUUUUUUCUUUAUUUAUAAAGCAUAUUAAUAUCGACCGUUGAUCUGAAAUCGAACGGUUGAUAUUAAAUAAGAUUUGUUUUAUUUUUUUUACCGUUGAGAUCCAACAGUCCAAAUGAAAGAGCCGUUGAGAUCGAACGGACCGUGGGAAACCACGUGGCUUCCCAAUGGUAACUGAGACAACUGCAAAAGUGGGCUGCUUUUCUGAAAAGCUGUCAGGCGACGCGCCCCCACGCGCGAGUGGGGUGCACGCGCCUGACAAAAAAAAAAAAAAUGGGUGAAGAGCUCGGGCUCACGGCUGUCACAAAUUGACAGGCCUUCUGCUCGGGCCUUCUCCACGAGCUCGGGCUCUUCAAGACUGGAGCUGAUUGACUAGCCCUCGGGCCUUUCUUUUCCCCUGUCCCCCGGCCUACAUGCAUGGGUGGAGUUGCUCUAAGAGAAGGGAUUUCCAUUCUUGUUUUUUUAAAUGUGGACACCUUUUUUACUGUUAGAUUUGACUUUAACGAAAUUUUGUGGUUGAGAUUAAAUCACAAACCACAGAAUCUCAACCAUAGAAUUUCAUUAAAGCUAUAUUUAACGAUCAAUAGGGUGUUCCCAUUUUUUUUGAAAAAUAGGAAUCCCUUCCCUUAAGGCUUUCAGUAUAUUAUAUACACUAAAACUCAAUUGAUGAACACUGUUCAUUAACAGUGAUUUUACGUUUUAGCCCCUGUUUUGCUGUUUGUUUGCCCUUUUAUUUUUCGAUCUUAACAGUAAAAUGACAGUUUUGCCCGUUCUUUCCACGCGUCAGUCAUCGUUGAGCUCUUCACUUCAAGAGUCUUCUUUUAGGUUUAGCCUUUUCUUUGCACUGGUGAUUCUCUGAUUUCGUCUCUUCGUCUCGCCCUCUGUUUUUUCUCAAAUCCUCCAUUCCUCUCAAAUAUUCCGUUCUUUAUUUCACAAAAUAUUCAGGAGAAAGUUCCUGAUUUUCGUGUUUUAAGGGAUAUAAUGAUUUGGUGUUGUUUAUCUCAAACAGCGGGCUUGCAGGUAAAAUGUUAAGCUUUAUGUCCAAAGCAAUCUUUCUCUGCAUGCUGACUGUGUGUUGAUUUGAAGGGGUGGUUUAGUGAAUGGGUGCUUCUUAUUUUUGGCCUUUCUCUAUUAUCAUAUAUGUUUCUCUAUUCUCAGGUAUCAGAUCAUUCGAAACAAAAACAUUUUAACGUUAUUUUUGCAGGUUAAUGUUGGGUUUGAGUCCAACACGAUAUACACUUGAACAGAGUAGAGUAGAAGACAGUAUGCAAACAUGAUUUAGGACACAGUUUACCUAAUUGUAAACACUCUGUGAAAUAUUAUUAGUUAUGAACAUCCAAUUUGAAUCCCCCACAUGCUAAAUUAGGUACCAUUAAAUUAGUUUUAUGUCUUUUUUUUAUUUGAAAGCUGCUUCUUAUUUCUGUCUCUAUUAAGAUUCUGGGGUGUGCUUUGGAUUUGCUACAUAUGGUCAUAUUUUUUGUCAUUGGCUUUUUGUUCUGCUUAGUUUUUUUUAAUCGAGUGUUUUAUCUGGUAUUUCAUUUUGUUUUGUUUAUUUGUUUCCUUUUUAUGUUUAAAUGUUUUUUGUUCUUUCUAAAUUUGGGCUUCUGGGAAAUUCUUGCUCACUGUUUGGAUUCCGAGAAAAUUUAGGGGAUGUCCAGUAAUAUUCACAUCCUGAAAACUCAGUGAAAAUAGAUACCAAUUUAUGUGCAGCUGAAAAUUUUGUUAUCUGAUUCUGUUCUAAAUAACAUGAUUUAUUUGUUUUUUAAACUUUUAAUUAUUUCGUAUUUAUUUUGUGAUUGCAGAUGUUUAAAUGAUGGAGAGUUUCGCAAAGCUGUUACUCGGAGGAGACAUGUCUAGAUGAGGGAAAGGUGUCUCCACUGCCCUUGCUAUCUCAAAUGCCAUCACCAAUCUCUCUGGUUAGUCACAUUCCUCUUGGAAUAUGCAUAUUCUUAUGUGAUGUUGGCUGAUACCUUGGUGAGUCAACUUAAUAAAAAAUGUGAGAUGGACAAAUUGAAAAGUCUAUUUUCUUCUCAUAUGCAUCCUUUAACAUAUGUCAGUUUUAAUUAUUGAUGAGCAAUUGAAAAUUUAGUUUUUCUUCUCAUGGUACACUUACAUUGGUAGUUCAACAUAUGUUUGUUUAACAUAUCUUAUUAAAUGCAUUUGAGAAUCGAUUGAAGAAACUCAGUUCUUUUAGCAAUUAAGAACAAGGUAAACAUAGUUGUAAAUAUGUGUAAAUAAGAUAGGAAUUUUGAUGAAUUUAUGUUUUUUCCUCCGUUUUUCAGUGUUUUCAGGCAUUGAAGCUAAAUAUGGAGAGGGUUUUGAGACUUUUAGACCUAUUGGACCUCUCAAGGUUUGCGUGGUAAGGAGUUUAUGGAGUUAUACGCAUAGUAGGCAUUAUAUUUUAUGUUCUGUUGAAUUUAAUUUAAUGGUUAUAUUUUAUGCUCCUAUGAGUUAUUACUGUUAUGUUUACUCUGAGUAGGAUUUGUUGAACGACAAACUGCAAGGAGGUUUUCUUAAACGAAUAUGAUAUGCUAUGAAACCGAAUGAAGCUUACUGUCUUCUAUUCUCUUUUGUUAAUUUCGUGGUAAGUUUCUAUAACACUGAUUAGUUAUGUCUUCGAGGUUCUAAUGGCUAGAUAUGCUAAUGUAAUGAACUAUGGAAUAUUGUAAUAGUUUAUGGUCAAUGUGAUCCCAUAUCUGUUUGAUUGAAAUAUUGUUCUAUAACAGGUUUAAACUUUGUUUUUCCAAUACCUUAUCACAAAAUAAUUCCACCUUGGACAAAUUACAAGGUAUGCUGCAACAUGUGCUUUGAUUAAUUGCAUUCAAAUUGAUACUGCUUAAGAAUGCAUUUGAACAUGUUGAAUUUCACGCCCGCAGCAUCGCGCGGGCAAUAUUGCUAGUAUAAUAUAUAAUUGGGUGAUAAAGAGAGUAGGUGAAAGAACACAAUUUGCUCUUAAAAAUGUUGUUUUUAAGAACGAGUGAUUUUUCUUUUCUGACUCUUUCUGUCUAACCCAAAAGCAUACUGGUAAUAGGGUCCAGUAAGAAAAUUAUUUUUAGAAAUUAAACAUGAAAAAAUACAAAAUUUACAAUUUCGAAUUAUACAAAAAAGACAAAAAAAGCGCAAAAUAAAAAGAGCAGGACAGAAAAACAGAAACAAAAGAAAGGAGACACUAAGAAUACAAAUAGCGUGAUUUGAGCCCUCAAUUUUGGCAGGCAACAUGAUUGUUAACGCAUGAUUGUGAACCCAUCCAUUGAAGAAAGAAGCAUCAUAAUACACAAGAGUCAAGACUGGGCUUGGUUUAUAUAAUGAAUAAUGUUAGGGAGAUCAAAUUUUUUAAACUAAAUUUGUAAAUUAAAUGAUGUAGUUAUAGAUGAUUGGGUUAUUACUAAGUGUCGAUUAAUAUGUUUAUUUCUUAUUGGUGACAUAUCAUUUGGUUUAAAAAUUUGGUCUCCCUAGCAUUAUCCUUAUAUAAUUAAUCAAUAAUAUUCCAUAACAAGAGCUAGGUCCAUAUAUUACGAGGUUAUAAAAUAUGCUAGGUGCUAGUCGAGAGGCGGGCGGGGCCUAAGCAGAUUUAAGUAAAUUUAUUAUAUAUUGUAUAAAUAAAUGCCUUUUUAUACUUAAAAUGACACACAAUUGUAUCGAAAUAUAUAAAUUGCAAAAUAAAAUGACAUAUAGAUUAUAAAUUACUAGAACAUAAUGAACAAUCAUAUAAUGAGGGUUUAUCCAAAUAUUUAUUGGAAAACAAAAAACAAAAUGAGUGUUAUCGAUUUUCUGUCUAAAUGAAAGUUGCGGGCUAGGCAGGUUUAAGUGGGUUAGGCGGACGCCUAAGCAAGUCUAGAGCACUUUCUUAAUUUUUAAAUGAUUAGGGACUAAUUAGGGUGGUGGACAACUGCCUAGCGCUAGACAUGGGUUUUUAGAACAGUAAUUACUUGUUCUCAUAGAUCUCUGGGUUCAAGAAAAUUAUGAUCACCUAUUGUUCGAUCUUAAUACCGUCGGUAAGCGGUUAUUUAACCAUUUUUUAUAUUGAGUAAUUUUCCUGGAUCCUGAAAUCUAGAAGAACAAAACUCUUAUGUCACAUGGAUAAACAUAAUCAGGCAUAAGAAAAAGGUUGAAGAAUUCAUAAGUCAUAUAGGGGGCGUUUGUUUGCCCUCACUAAGUAUCACUGGACUAACUAUUAGUCCAGUCCCGUGUUUCUUCUGUAGAGGGAUUAUGUUUCAUGAGACUAAAGGGGAGUCACACGGACAAACUCCUUCACUAGGAGUUCUUAGCGAGAUCCCCCAAUGCCCAUGGGAUUGCUAAGACCUCGUAUACUCCAUCUUUGUAUGCUAUGUCUCAUCCUCUCUAUGCUCUCUAUUAUCUUGAGCACCAUCACACCACAACUCACCAACUCCAGUGAGAUCACACCACCAACCCACCACCACUUUCUCCCUCUCUCUUCACAUGAACCCAAAAUUUCGAACUGAGGAAGAUCCCGUUCUUACAGUAAUUCGUCCAGCUCUAGCUGUCUGCUUCGCUUCGCUGCACUUCAAACUCGACCUUGGACUCGUCUGAUUCGCUUUGAACUCGACCUCGUAUUUGUCGACUUUACGCAAUUGACGAGAUCUUGUGAACUUGAUGAUGGGUGAGCCACCCAGUGCACUUGAAGGAAUAUGGGAGGCCAAGAACGCCAAAGCCUACGACGGCAAUGAAGACGUUGGCUGGAUUGGGAUGACAGCGACGUGUUCCACAUCAAGGGCAGCGGCUUGGGAUUCUUGUUUUCAUUUGGUUUUGAUUUAAAUUAGGUUUUGAUUUCGAAUUGGGUUUGAUGUGAUCUGGUAUUGGCAUUUGAUUUGCUCUGUAAUUGUUUGAAUGUGUGGAAUAAAUUUUGGGGAAAGAGGAAGAAAAUUUAGAAAAAGAAAAAUAGACUAAAUAAUAAAAUAUUAAUAUAUAUUAGAUUAAAUAAUAUCAUAUUAGAAUUUAUUAUUAUCCUACUUCUUGGUCCGACACUGCACCAAACGCUUUACUAAGCUAAUCCAACUUAGUCUAGUCUAAGUCAAUCCAGCUUAGUUCCUGAAGUUAGUCUAGUCCAAGACAAUCCGGUGCAACAAACACAUUCAUAGAGUAAUUAUAGGGAUACUAAAUUUGUAAAUAAAAUUUUGUAAACUAAAUGACAUGGAAGUUGAUCGUUGAAUUAUUACUUAAACGUUAAUAAAUGUACUCAUUAUCACUAAAGACACGUUAUUUAAUUUGUAAAUUUUAUUUAUAAAUCUAAAGCAUUACCCAAACUCAUAAUACAAAUAGCUACUUUGAGAGAAGAAAAGAUGGAGAGUGAUAUGAUUGCAUUCUUUUUUAAAGCAACUUCUGAAGAUUCCAUAAUAAACUAUUAUUAUAUAUGAAGAUGUGCCGUGGUAAAAGAGAGGAAAAAAUGAAUGGAAAGUUUAUCCAAAAGAUUCUUGACCGUGAUUACAACUAUUUAACUUUUGUAAAUUUUCAUGGACCGAGAUCCAAGAAAAGAUGGAGAGUGAGAUUGGCAUUCUUUUUUGUAAAGGGAUUUUUUUUCCGAUCCCUUCCAUCUAAUUCACCUGAGUCAACCAUUUGAGUUCUUGAAAUUUAUUUAAACAACUAAAAUUAUUAUAACUUUUAAUGAAGCCCCUAUUUGUAGUCGUUAAAUCAAAUUUUAAAGAUUCGAAUUAGUGAAUUAGGUGGAUUAGGUGGAAGGGAUCCGAAGAAUAUCAAUUUCCUUCUUUUUCAACACAACUUUUGUUGAGUCCAUAAUAAACUAUUAUAUGAAGAAAGAAUACUAAAAAGACUCUCUCAAAAUCGAAACUUUUUGCGAACUUUUUAGCAUCUCAUGUUUUUGAGAUUAAUAACUAACAUUAUCUGAGAUUUAUUAAGUUUUCACAAAAUUCCCUUACGUAUGAGAUAUUACGCUAACAACACUUUAGUGUAAUGUCUCAAACGUAAUGGGACCUUGUAAAAUUUGAUUAACUUCGACAGUAUUAGUAUAUUUUUAUGUAAAUAUUAUAAAAUAUUAUGUUAAAUACAUUAAAUAACAGAUAGUCUUUAAGAGAGAUUUCUUACAUCUUUCUAAUGGAUACGGACGGUGGAAAAAGAUCAUUCCAUAAUUAAAUAUUGUGCUGUUGAUUACGCGUCUCUCCAUUUGACUAAGUUCCUUUUCACAUUCUUCCCUAAAUAAAAUGGUUCACUUUUCACAUUAUUACAAUAUUUAUAUUUAUAUUUUUACAAAAGGGAUUCGUCUAAAUUAAAUUUUUCGAAAAAUUUCGUAUAGUGAGUGAAAGUGAAACACUCCCUUUGUUAUGAUUAUGACAAUAUUUAUAUUUUUACAAAAGGGAUUUAUCUAAAUUAAAAUUUUCAAAAUUCCGAACAAGAUUUGAACUUUCGUGUAUAUGAAUAUAUGGAGUAAAUUGAUCAUGGCUGAAAAUAUGGCAGUGGUUGUGUUUGUGUUGCCUAACGGAUGAUAUUGAAAUACCUAAACACAAGUCAAGCUCCUUCAGUUAACAAAAACAGAAGUUUAUAAUAUGAUAAUGUUGGCGCACGGACUUGAGAAACAACAUAGGCCGGGAAUGUGCACAAAAAGUAAGAGAGAGGUAAAGAGGAAAGAAACGAACAUGAAAGAACAAAGACUAUCGAAUACAUUAUAAAACAAUGACUUCUUGGUAGUCAUUACAUCUCAACCAUCAAUAAUGCAUUAAUUUUGGUUGAAAUGUAGAAGUAUUUGAGAAGUAGCAUGACAACAACCACAUAAUAAACAAAAGUGGACGCAAAUGUGAAAGGAUAAUUAAAAACAAUUAUUCAAGAUGGGCGGUAGUUGAUUCAGCCAUUUAGAAGAUUCAAACCUAGAAUCAUUAUUGUAUUAACUAUUAACAGGUGCUAUAAUAUAGUUCUUAGGGAUUUCAAGGAGGCAUAUGGGGGACUACAUAAUGUGCAAUAGGAUUAAACUUUUUUUGUUACUAGGCAAAUGAACCAUAUUGAAAAAAGUUGAGGUUUAACCAUAAAAUUAAUUGACGAUAUAAAAAGUAGCUCAACCUCUUAUAAGCGUUUGCAAGAUUUCUCUUUUGACCUAUACAAGACUCUUUUACUUUCACAUCCUCGAACAUAUAAUACACCCAAAUGGAUGCCAAUAUAUAAACAUUGUUUUGAAAGGACAAGGGAGCUAACAGUGUCUUUUUAUAUGACUUGGACUUGGAGUACGGGCUGCAAAUUGCAUGCAAUUGCAACGAGAGCCAAAGAUAAUUGCCUUGUCCUUCAAAUUUGUUGGUAAAUUGGGGAUUGCACGAAGAUUUUCGCACUAAUCUGAAUACAGUGUUUCAAGCUUUUAAAGACCACUGAAGCUUUGAAAACUCUGUUGAUUUUACUUCCCAAGUAAGUGACAUAAAACUAAAUUGGGCAGUUGCAUGACAACAACCACUUAAUAAUCAAAAGUGAUUCGAAAAAGACCGAAAGUGAGAUGACCGCAUUCUUUUUCAGACAACUUUGGUAGAUUCCAGAAUAAACUAUUAUACAUGAAGAUGGGCGGUGGUAAUUGUCCUUUUGAUUAAAGUUUUUUGAGUCGAAAAUCAUUUUUCUAUAAUUAAUUCUUAACUAGAAAUUUGUACCAGUACACCGUUGUGGGACUGAAAAUCUUAUGAAAUAUUUUAUAACUUUAAUUUUCAUAAAUAAUGUGCGAGUGAAAAACAAAAAAUUACGAAUGGUAAUGCAAUUUAUAUGUAACCUUAUCAUGAACGGAACAAAUUUAGAUACUAAAAGAAAAAUUAAAAAUCUAUUUUUUCAAAGUGCGAAGAGAUAAUUGUUUAUUAAAAAAGUUGGACCAAUGAUAACUGCAUAAAUUACAAAUGCAAUAUUAAGAGUAUACCAGUCAAACUAAGCUUGCUACAGGCUAAACAAUGUUGAAAAACAUCAUUAGCUUUUUCAAGUGUUAUAUGCAAUGAAUGUAAUUAGCACGAAACUAGCACGAAACUGCAGAGGCUUUCGAUCCAUUAUAAUAUAAAAUAAAUAAUAAUAUUUACGUAUAAAAUAUGAUAUGAUUAUAUGAAAGUAACGACCCAAAUCUUAUUGGAGCUAAUUAACUAAUGUAUGCUCAUCAGGCAGCUGGAUUCCUUGGCAAGUGUUUAACCCCUACUUUCUUCACGCUCACAGAAUCACCAUUUGCAAAGUCAAUCGGCCUCACACCAAUAAAAACUUAAUCCCCGGCUAGUAAACUGAUCAGCUUAUCGUCCGAUAUAUGUCACUGCAAAGAUAAUCACCUUGUCUUUCAAAUUUGUUGGUAAAUUGGGGAUUGCGAGAAGAUUUUCGCACUAAUCCAAAUAUAUUGUUUCGAGCUUUGAAUGACCACUGAAGCUUUGAAAAGUCUGAUGGUUUUGUUAGGUCAUGUGUAUGACUAACGUUAAUGAUUUUCAACUUCCCAAGCAACUGUUACACAACUAAAUUUAAAAUCCAAGAGGAGGAUAUGAUCAGAGAAGAAAGAAAUGCAAUCCACUAAUAAUCAACAUCGAUAUUGUCUUCAACUUAAUCAUGAAUAAGUUUUAAGGCACAAAAGACCUCAUGCUUUUGUAGUUGAGCCAUUUAAUGUAAGGAGAAUCACAAUGUUAGUUAACCACAUCACAGUACAAAAGCACUAAAAGCGUCCAAGUGAAAGUGAAAGUGCUUUCUUCUCAUGUAGUUUCAUUUAACUUAAUUUUCCACAAUGGUAAUUAUGUUUCAAUGGUUCUGUUUUCACAUGCCAGUCGGUCAGUCACAUACUCAACUCCUUAAUGUUCGGGCUCAAUGGCUCGAAGAGAGCUUCCACUUCACUCUGAUUCACCUCCUCUAACUUUGACGGAUUCCACUUCGGAUUCUGCAUUGACAAGAAACAGAAGCCAGAGAUAAAGAUUCGUUGAUAUACGGAAAGUAAGAUGAUUAUACAACCGUAGGUCUAGUAGAGGCUGUAAUGGUUUAUGUUGCAGCAACUGCGUCAGCAAGUGAUUUUAUAGCAAGGAAUCUUGAGCAUAAUUAACGAACCUGAUCCUUGUCCACCAAAACUGCCGUACACCUUCAGCAAAAUCAUUCCGUAAAGACGAUCUUAUAGCAACGUGAUAUUCAGUUUCAUCACACCAGUUAACUGGUAUUGGUCAAGUAAAGCACAUGUUACUUUCUGAAAAUUUGAAAUACUACAACGCAAAACCUAUCAAAAGGAUGCAACCAUGUGAUGCAAGAAACGAAAAGGUACAAAGUCCAGACUCACUCUGGAUAAUUGAUUGUCAUUUUUCCCAAGCACGGAUGCAACUUUAGCGAAAUAAUUUUGUGUCAAAAAAGUGAAAACAGAGCACCCUUUCCAAGACCUUAAAGAGCUUCGUUAGCCCACUCACCACUGCAAUACAAACAAUUUAUACAAAAUACUUGACAGCGACAUACAAGCUGCUCAAUAGACAAAUGGCAUUAAAAAACUUACCAGUAGCAUCUGAACUCUGAUGCUGCUUUUUAAGUUCAUCAAUUGUCUCAAGAACCAACUUAUCUGCACCAAAUGCUGAAGUUAUUUGAGGUAAAAGAGUCUUGAGUUGCGCUUCAGAAUCUGGGUAGCUGGUGAAUUUCACCACAAUUGUUUCAAUGUCCUGAUGGGGAUCCUGGGAACUGAUUCAACAAUGGAGUUGCUUUUAUCUCAAGAAACGCAUUGGACAAUGUGAUGAUGGCAACUAAAGUUAAACCCACUGAAGCAUUGGAAAUUGCGUCUGAGGAUAGAAAAGGCAUACCUGCAGAUACUCCUCCCAGACUCUUUGCCUCUAUAUGUGAAAACCCAUCUGGGAACAAACCAAUUCCAUUCUCUGGCAUAGCAAGAACAGUCCUCAGAAAUGUAUCCAUACAAAGUUUGACACACAAAAUUAAAAAAGCCAUUGCAAUGUAAUUGACAACAUUGACAAUCUCUGUCUGACCGGGCAAUAAUGCCUCUGUAAUGAUCCGGUAGCGACUGUGACCUGAUAGGCCAAUACCAAAGCCCACUGUUAUGCCAUCCAUGAAGCUUAUAUGGGCUUCUUGUACUCGGAGAUAUUGCAUAUUAGAGAAUACUCAGCAGUGAAUACCUGAAAAACGUGCAGCACAAAUAUCAUAUCGGUAGCCUCUCAAAUCUUAAGAAAACUACAAAUGGUAGCUUAGAAAAGAAAUGAAUCCUCUCCAACCAAUACAAAUCAUAUUACCCAAGUUCAAGCAAAAUCAAGACUAAACAAAUGACCAGAUGUUGUAGGUUGCCAGAGAAUGUCAAACAUGAAAUUACAAAAGAAAAAAAUAAUCGUAUGUAUUGAACAUUAAUAAAUACAUGCUGAAAGCACAAUCUUAGCCGCAAUUUAUGACAUUUAUACAAGAUUAAAUCGCCAAAGAAAUUAAAGAAAUUGCAGAGCUCAUAUAAGUGAUGUUCACUAUGAACUUUUAGGCUUAUCAACAAAUACACCAUAACGAUUCUAAUGCAUGAAUUUUGUUAAAGGGGGCUUGCUUGCUUGUAUUAAGGCUUAAUCAUCAAUGAUUUUGCAAGGGUCAAUCGUAUUGCUAGUUGUAAAUCUAUUCACUAUGAAAAUUACCAAAAUUACAUCUAAUAUGGUAGUGAAGGAAGUCAUCUUACAUUAUCUGGAAUUUAGAAAACUGUGUAAGGUUAUAAUAUAUGGUUACAAGGACACAAUUAGACCUCAAUCAUAUUCGGUGGUUGGUUUUUGGCCGUGAUCUGCUUCACAUCACCGCCUGCAGGUAAACUAAAUCUGGGUUACUACAUAUCAAUGAAUCAACGUGCCAACUUAACGGACACCAUCUAUCUCUAUAUGGCAAAAAAAACAACACAAAAAGGAACAUGAAGUGAAACAAUAAACAACAUGACAUGAAACAGCACGAACAUCAAAGACCAACAAUCUAUCACGUAAGCACCUAAACAAGAAACAACUUUAGUUCAAAGCAAAGCGUAAUGUAGAAACCUUCGGCACAACAGGUGUGUUUUUGUCCUUUCGAGUUUCGGCAACAACCACUUUAAUAUCCUUUCCUGCAUUUACCAUGAUUGGUCACUCUUAAAACCUUAACUCCGCCGUGUAAGUUUAUCUUACAUUGCCGGUCCCAAGCCCGGAUAAAGGAGGAGGGGGAGGGCGUCAGGUAGUCGACAGCCGGCACUCCAUGAUUACGUCGAAUCCUUACGAAAAUGAAUCCAGAACGAAAUCGCGCUAAAGCUAGGGCGUCACCCGUAAGUGGCGCGCUGUGUGGCCCGAGCACAGUGAUAAGUGAGCAAGGGUCGCUAUAUCUCCAUCGGCACCCGGAUGCAGUGUUAAAUGAGCAAGGGGGCUAUAGAAACUUCUUUUCGAACGACUCCACUCAAAGUUGUUUGGGAGCAUAUGCUCCUAUCAACUUUACACGGGACACACAAAAGAAGUACUUUGAUCCUAUUAGACGGGGAAGGGUGAAGAAGCUAGGACAGAAGGGUAGAGUUCAAGAGAGCAAAAUGCGUUUAGGAACGUGGAAUAUAGGAACCUUGACGGGAAAAUCUAUGGAAGUAGUAGCAGUUAUGGUGAGGAGAAGGAUAAAUAUUAUGUGCCUACAAGAAACUAAGUGGGUUGGGCGUAAGGCAAAGGAUCUAGAAAACUCAGGGUUUAAACUAUGGUAUUCGGGCACAAAUAGAACGAGAAACGGUGUUGGCAUCAUCGUGGACAAGACCUUGACACAAGAUGUUGUAGAUGUUAAGAGGGUAGGAGAUAGAAUCAUGUCAAUCAAGAUUGUAAUAGGACAAGAACUUAUCAAUGUGAUUAGUGCGUACGCACCUCAAGUAGGGUUGGAUACGAGUUCGAAGGAGAAAUUUUGGGAAGACCUUGGAGACUUGGUGCAAGGAAUUGCUCAGACGGAGAAGUUAUUUAUAGGAGGAGAUUUAAAUGGACACGUGGGCAGGGAGACAGACAACUAUGGAGGUUUUUAUGGUGGCCAUGGUUUUGGGGAGAGAAAUGAGGAUGGGGAAGCUAUCUUGAAUUUUGCAAUGGCAUAUGAUCUCUUCUUAGCCAACACCUUCUUUAAGAAGAGAGAAGAACAUGUGAUCACCUACAAGAGUGGGUCGUCAAAAACACAAAUAGAUUUUCUCCUAAUGAGGAAAGGGGAUCGUAUAACUUGUAAGGAUUGCAAAGUUAUACCAGGAGAGAGCGUGGCUAAUCAACAUCGCUUGUUGGUGAUGGAUGUAAAUAUCAAAAGAGUGAGAAAAAAGAACAAGACUUGGAAGUGCCCAAGGACUAGAUGGUGGAAUCUAAAAGAAGAAAAACAAGCCAUUUUCAAAGAGAAAGUAAUCACCCAGUGUGUGUGGGAUAGAGAGGGGGAAGCUAACCAAAUGUGGGAUUCCAUGGCUAGUUGUAUCCGAAAAGUAGCAAAAGAGGUAUUAGGAGAGUCCAAGGGCUUUGCCCCACACCAAAAGGAAUCUUGGUGGUGGAAUGAGGAGGUACAAACAAAGGUGAAGGCUAAGAAGGAAUGUUGUAAAGCCUUAUACAAGGAUAGGACCGAUGAAAAUGGUGAAAGGUAUAGAAAAGCGAAGCAAGAGGCGAAGAAAGCUGUGAGAGAAGCUAAGUUAGCGGCUUAUGACGAUAUGUAUAAGCGACUAGAUACCAAAGAAGGAGAGUUGGAUAUCUAUAAACUAGCUAGAGCAAGGGAAAAGAAAGACAAGGGACCUAAACCAAGUGAGGUGCAUCAAGGAUGAGGAUGGAAAGGUUCUUGCUACAGAGAACGCGGUUAAAGACAGAUGGAAAGGUUAUUUUCAUAAUCUUUUCAAUGAAGGACAUGAAAGGAGUGCUUCUUUAGGGGAGUUGAGUAACUCAGAAGAGUGUAGAAACUACUCUUUUUUAUCGUAGAAUUCGGAAGGAAGAAGUGGUUGUAGCUUUGAAGAAGAUGAAGCAUAGAAAAGCAGUAGACCUAGACGAUAUACCAAUUGAAGUGUGGAAAGUUUUGGGAGAGACAGGUAUAACAUGGCUCACUGACCUUUUCAAUAGGAUUUUGAAAACGAAGAAGAUGCCAAAUGAGUGGCGAACGAGCACUUUGGUGCCUAUCUACAAGAAUAAGGGUGAUGUACAAAAUUGCAUGAACUAUAGGGGUAUUAAGCUAAUGAGUCAUACAAUGAAGCUCUGGGAGAGAGUCAUUGAGCAUAGAUUGAGGCAAGAGACACGGGUUUCGGACAACCAAUUCGGGUUCAUGCCAGGGCGCUCAACCAUGGAGGCAAUCUAUCUCUUACGAAGAUUGAUGGAAAGAUAUAGAGAUGGGAAAAAGGAUUUACACAUGGUCUUUAUAGAUUUGGAAAAAGCGUAUGAUAGGGUCCCAAGAGACAUUCUUUGGAGGAUUUUAGAGAAGAAAGGAGUACGAGUAGCAUAUAUCCAAGCUAUACAGGAUAUGUAUGAAGGAGCAAAGACUGCCGUAAGAACUCAUGAAGGACAAACCGAAAGCUUUCCCAUAACUGUAGGAUUACAUCAAGGCUCAUCCUUAAGUCCUUACCUUUUUGCGUUGGUAAUGGAUGAGUUAACAGGACAUAUUCAAGAUGAUAUUCCUUGGUGUAUGCUUUUCGCAGACGAUAUAGUGUUGAUAGAUGAAACUCAGGAAGGGGUAAAUGCAAAGCUUAACCUUUGGAGAGAAGUGUUGGAAUCUAAAGGUCUUCGCCUAAGCCGAUCAAAGACAGAAUAUAUGGAGUGCAAGUUCAGUGCAAAUGGAGGCCAAAACGAGUUAGGGGUGAGGAUCGGAGAUCAAGAAAUACCAAAGAGCGACCGUUUUCGUUACCUAGGAUCUAUCUUGCAAAAGAACGGAGAAUUAGAUGGAGAUCUCAACCAUAGAAUACAAGCUGGAUGGAUGAAGUGGAAGAGAGUGCAUCCGGCGUAUUGUGUGACCGCCGUAUGCCACUGAAGCUCAAGGGAAAAUUUUAUAGGAACGGCAAUAAGGCCGGCGAUGCUGUAUGGCACAGAAUGUUGGGCGGUGAAGCAUCAACACGUACACAAAAUGGGUGUAGCGGAGAUGAGGAUGCUUCGUUGGAUGUGUGGGCACACGAAGAAAGGAUAAGAUUAUGGAAUGAGGAUAUCCGGGGUAAAGUAGGAGUAGCCGAAAUUGAAGGAAAGAUGAGAGAAAAUCGGUUACGGUGGUUUGGACAUGUGCAAAGAAGGCCUACUGACGCUCCGAUUAGAAGAUGCGACUAUGGGACAGAGGUUCAGGGCCGAAGGGGUAGAGGAAGACCUAGGAAAACUUUGGAAGAGACCCUAAGAAAAGACUUAGAGUACUUGGAUCUAACGGAGGACAUGACACAGGACAGAACACAAUGGCGUUCUAAGAUUCAUAUAGCCGAUCCCACUCAGUGACUUGGAUUUUCCAAGUCUCCAACCGAGAAGUUUUCCUCACUCGGGAAAUUAAGGGAACACUACCUCAACCUACAUGCUCCACUCACAAAGCUUCAACAAAAGAAAAAUUCAAAGAACUUAGCGAAGAAGGCUUUUGGUGUAUUUAACACAAUACGUUGAAAUGAAGGAAAGCUUAUUUAUUGAUAUCCCCGAUAAGUUACAAAUAUGUACAUAUACUUGAGUCAAAAUAAACAAACAAGAGGGAGCCUUCACAAAGGUUGCUUAGGAGAAGUCUCAGCAGUCGGUAGAGCCCCAGAAAGAGAAGGCACCGGAGGGGGAUCAUUCGGAGCCUCAGUACUGGACAGAACCCUAGAAGGAGGAGGCAUCAGAGGUUGAUCAUUUGGAGCUUCAUUACGCGGUACAGCCCCAGAAGACGAAGGCAAUAAAUGCCUUUGGAACAAACCCACAAAUCUCUGAUGAUCAAGUAAAACCUGACCAUCAGAUUCCUUCAUCUGGUCAAGCUUCCUCUUCAUGUUUGUAGCAUAGUCAUGUGCGAGCCGGUGCAACUGUUUAUUCUCAUGCUUGAGCCCUCUAAUCUCCUGUUUGAGACUCAUCACUUCAGCCGCCAAUGAUUCAACUUGGCGGGUUCGAGCAAAUAGGCGUUGGGCCAUAUUAGACACAGAACCUGCACACUGAACACUGAAGAGCCAGAGAAUCCUUAACAGCCAACUCAUCAGACCGUUUGGAAAGUAGUCUGUUAUCUUUGGGAGUGAGAAGGUUCCUAGGCCACUACCGCAGCGGUCAUAUCAUUCUUCAUCACGGAAUCCCCAACGGUAAGAGGACCAGUAGGGGAGACGAAGGAUGGGCGCCAUAUGUUGUCUGAAGAAGGCGGGGCUGCCUCUUCAACAAGGUUCAAGUCAAAACGACGGUCGGAGGGGCCAGACAUUUUCAAAGGUGUUGAAGAGAGAAGAGGUCGGACAAAUCAAGAUCUUAGAAGUGCAAGAAUGGAGCUUCUACUGGUGGAUAUUCAAGUGUGCUUUGGAACUUAAUGUCAGCCCCUAUAAAAAAUCUGCACUCGACGAAGCUUCAGAAAUCGAAGAGGCGCCUGCUCAGAAAUCGAAGAGGCGUUUGCUUUCUCAAAAGCUGGGCUGCUCAGAGACCACGAGGGUUUGAUCUCAGAAAUCGAAGAGGCGUUUGCUUUCUCAAAAGCUGGGCUGCUCAAAGACCACGAAGGCCGAUCUCAGAAAUCGAAGAGGCUUGCUUUCUCAAAAGCUGGGCUGCUCAGAGACCACGAGGGCCGAUCUUAGAAAUCGAAGAGGCACCUACUUUUCCAGCCUUGUCAGCACCUGUCACACGCACACUCAGCUUUGCGGAAAUUAUGGGCAUUCUGUCGAAGAUUUCUGGUGAAGUAGAAAGCACAUGAAUCGUACUGUUCAAUCACCCACUUCCCACACGCAACAGUAGCUCAUGGGUACCACAGAUAACUUUGCCAAAGUUCUCUGACAAAGUUGAGACACGUGAAGCUUGCAGCUCCCACUACAUCGCUCUGACCAAGAAGGGUAAAAGAAUAGCAAAGAAACAACACUAACAAAGUUUAGACACAUAAAUUUUGAAGGUCUAGCUACCAUAUUAUUACCCACAAGGGUAAAGGAACAGUACCACUGCUGGAUAAUUGGAAAGUCCCGGUGUGUCAACCUCUGUGCUUCGUGGCAAGGUAGACUAGCAAACAUGCCCAACCUUUACUCACAUUCGAGAAAACACUCCCAACAAGAUUGCUUGCUCCAAAAUCGAAGAGGCACCCGCUCCUCCGAAUCUCGAGAGCCAGACUCCCAACAUGAUUACUUUCUCAAAAAUCGAAGAGACAUCCGCUCUCCGAAUCUCGAGAGCCAGACCUCCAGCAGGAUUGCUUUCUCAAAAAUCGAAAAGGCAUCGUUCUCCGAAUCUCAAGAGCUGGAUCCCUGACAGGAUUGCUUGUUCGAAAACCAAAGAGGCACCACUUUCCCAACUUCAAGAGCUGGAUCUCCUUGGAUAAAGCUUGUCUGUAAUCUUCACACACGCAACAUCAGCUUUUCCAGAUACCACAGACCCACUUUUUCAAAGUGCUCUGACAGAGUUAAAACUUGUGAAGCUGGCAGCUCCCACUACCGUGCUAUGACCAAGCAGGGUAAAGGAAUAGCAUUAUUACUUGAUGUUAGGGAGACUCCUAUAUAUGUCGACCUCCAUCCCCAACGGACAGGCAGACCUGCAAAAAUGCUCAACCCUUCCUCUUAUCUGAGAGGGCACUCCCAACGAAGCCUUUCGAAAUAUUCAGCUUUCUUUCCCCCCGAUAAUACCUCUGUAAACAAGCUAUACUAGAGCAAGAAUAUCUCAUAUCAUCAGGGUUAAAAGCAAGAGUAUCCCAUAUCAUGCUUUUUUCCCGUCUUUUCCUUUGGCCUUGUUCUUACCUGCAAGACAAGGAGAAAGAGAGCAAUCAGUCAGCACUUGGAAUCAAGCUUCCAGCCAGGAACUGACUGCCUGGAACCCCUUACCUGAUUACUUACCUGGCAUUGCUCUCGAGUACUCAUCUUCAACAUCUUAUGCUUCCAGGGAAGAUACCGCAAUCGCCUGAAGAACAGAUAGGGCAAGUGAGAAGGAUACAAGGAAGCAUGUGGAGACAAGCGUAACAGCACACGUGCCGAUACAUCCACUACUCUGUCAAAAGCAAAAGUAUCUCAUAUCAGCAGGGUCGAACGUACUCUAGAUUUGAUGGACUUGUUUUGACCCUCAAAUUCUUCAGUCGGCCUUAUACUCUGGAGGAAACCAGAAAACCCUCCAGCCCAGUUCAAGAAUAAGCCUGUGGAAAGUUACUUCUUCAAAAGCAAAAAGUAUCCCAUAUCAUCUCUUCUCAUUUUUCUUCUCUUUAUCCUUCAUGCUGCAUGCAAGAUAGGGAGAAUGUGAACAAUCAGCCGGAGCUCUGAUUGCUUACCUUGUCUGUCAUCUCUUUCAGCAGAUCCCCUAGCUCGGCGACUUAGGGGACUCCUACUACAUGGUUUGUAUCGCGCUUGACCAAGCCUGAAACUACAAGUAAGCUUCAAGUGACAAUUGAUACAUUACCUUGUGCAUCUCCACCAGUUACAGAUACCACCCCUGGAUGGAGGAAGAGUACUUCCAGAGAAGAUGCCACAUCUACCUAUGAGACAGAUAAGGAAAGUCAAGACGAUACCACACUCCGGUACUUAGAAGUUUCGUGGUUACGAGAUCAUUCUCCCACAAUAUUUCCUAAUGUCAUUUGUACUAAAUCAUUCACUUGUACUCACUAAAGGAGAGCUUGAACCUAUGUACUUGUGUAAACCCUUCACAAUUAAUGAGAACUCCUCUAUUCCGUGGACGUAGCCAAUCUGGGUGAACCACGUACAUCUUGUGUUUGCUUUCCUAUCUCUAUCCAUUUAUAUACUUAUCCACACUAAUGACCGGAGCAAUCUAGCGAAGAUCACAAAAAGUGACCGUUUUCGCUACCUAGGAUCUAUCCUUGCAAGAGAACGGAGAAUUAGAUGGAGAUCUCAACCAUAGAAUACAAGCUGGAUGGAUGAAGUGUAAGAGUGCAUCCGGCGUGUUGUGUGACCGUCGUAGGCCACUGAAGCUCAAGGGAAAAUUUUAUUUUAUAGGACGGCAAUAAGGCCAGCGAUGUUGUAUGGCACAGAAUGUUGGGCGGUGAAGCAUCAACACGUACACAAAAUGGGUGUAGCGGAGAUAAGGAUGCUUCGUGGGAUGUAUGGGCACACGAGAAAGGAUAAGAUUGGGAAUGAGGAUAUCCGAGGUAAAGUAGGAGUAGCCAAAAUUGAAGGAAAUAUGAGAGAAAAUCGGUUCCAGUGGUUUGGACAUGUGCAAAGAAGGCCUACUGACGCUCCGGUUCGAAAAUGUGACUACGGGACAGAGGUUCAGGGCCGAAGGGGUAGAGGAAGACCUAGGAAAACUUUGGAAGAGACCCUAAGAAAAGACUUGAGUACUUGGAUCUAACGGAGGACAUGACACAAAACCGAGCGCAAUGGCGUUCUAGGAUUCAUAUAGCCGACCCCACUUAGUGGGAAAAGGCUUUGUUGUUGUUGUUGUUGUUGUGGUCACUCUUAAAACCUUACCUAAGAGACCCAAAAACAAAAAUAACCGCCGAAAGAGCUAAACAUACAUAUAUAGAAAAACUUAAUUAACUGCAUGCUAAAAUGGAAGUGUAAAAUUGCCAAGAAAGAUAAGAAACUAUUUAAAUACGAAUUCUGGGCAUUACCGCCACAAAAGGCAUGAGCCGAACAGCUAUCAACAAGAACACACUUCCCAUUCAUCCAGAUAGCCCUUGUAUUUCACAUCCAUAUCUGCAUUUUCCAACAAUUCCCACUUAAACAGAAACACAAAAUUCAUCGAAAAAAUGCUAACUUCUUCGAAAUUUGAAUCCAACGUUUCGUCUUAUAACAAAUGCAAUAACAUAGAUUUGUAAUCAAUUCGAUGCCAUAAAGUUCAAGCUCAAAAUUUCAAAUCAGCUCCAAAUCAAAAGCAUUUACAGAUACAUACAUAUAUACAUAUGCGUGUGUGUGUUUAUCUACAUACCCAGGUUCAUGGCGUUGAGAGCUCGGCAGGCGACGGAGGGUGAUGACGGCGACGCCAAUUGGGUGGACGCUGCCCUUCGAAUUGGGUCGCUCCUCGCAAUAAGCUUCCCAUUACUUCCGUUUGAGAGUGACUGUCAGUGUAGAGAGAGGGAUUUUUUUUUUGUGCUUCUGGACCGGACUACACUUGAUGUUUCGGUUAUAUUACCGGGAAAAAGAACUGCCGCGGUGGCUACGCAGGGAAACUUGAAAUUUGAAAGAAGUAUGAAGUAUGGACUUGCCUUCAUUUAUUGAACUGAGAAAUCGAAAUCUGAAAGAGGCGUUUGACGAAGUGAUUGUGAUCUGACUCAAACAUGUGAUGAUGACGAUGCAUCACCACCUUGGUUGUGCCUCUGGAUCAAAAACAUACCAUCACCAUCAAAAUCGUGCAUAUUUUCCUUCAUAGGUUUGUCCCAUACUAGAUUAACCCCUAUUCCCUUAAUUAUUGCAUAAUAAGAAUUAUAGCAUGUCUCUGGCAUUCCAACGGCUAUAUCAACUUUAUCCCCGCUUUGCAAAUUGAACUUAUCGUUGGACAUUUGUCCCUGCCAAAGAAAACAUUUUUCAGGUAAACCAUCGUGCAUUUUUAUAACCCAAUCUUCCUUGCCUAUGCAGGUUUGCAACUCAGUACGCUUGGUAUUAUUUAUAUCAAUACUGCCACGAGGAUGACAAUAUUUAAAGCUCAUAGAAGGGCUUGAGGGACAAGUUAAGUGAUAAAAGCAUAACAGAGUCAACCCUUCAAAAUUACGACCAUCACUUGGGGGGUAUCAAAACUGACUUUAUCACCAUCGUUGACAAACUCGAACCAAUCAGGAACAUAAUUCGCAUCGAGAAAAAUGCCAGCAUAUCCGUAAGAAGUCCAUCCCUAUAUAUACAGUGCAAGUGUCAUAUACAUACAUACAUACAUACAUACAUACAUAUAUGUAAAUGUGCAUUGUGUGUGCAUGUGCGCAAUAGGAAGACAAUUAAAGAGAGAGAUACCUUUAGGACCUUCCUCCUAAAAUCAGCUGUGAGAUUGGUGCACUUUUGCAUUACAAUCCAUUUCAUGGAGUUUAAUGACUUAUCCAAGUCCGGAAUCUCUGUGAGUGCGUGUGAACCAGUUACAUUCAGUUCUCUCAUAUUUGACAUUUUCGAAAAAUUGGGCAUUUUUACCAAACAACAGCAACCAUAAGCAUCCAGAAAUUUCAAAUUUGUUGGUAAAUCAUAGAUUGUAUGAAGCUGGGAACAAUAACUUAACCACAUACCUUCAAGCUUUGAAAGACCAUUGAGGCUGGGUAGGGUGUGUAAGAUACUGCAGUGACUUAACUCCAGAGUUUUAAGAUUUGAAAGACCAUUGAGGCUGGGUAGGGUGUGUAAGUUACUGCUGUGACUUAAUUCCAGAGUUUCAAGAUUUGAAAGACCAUUGAGGCAGGGAAGGGUGUGUAAGUUACCACAGUGAUUUAACCACAUAGUUUUAAGAUUUGAAAGACCAUUGAGGCUGGGUAGGGUGUGUAAGUUACUGCAGUGACUUAACCACAGAGUUUUAAGAUUUGAAAGAUCAUUGAGGCUGGGUAGGAUGUGUAAGUUACUGCAGUGACUUAACCCUAGAGUUUUAAGAUUUGAAAGACCAUUGAGGCUGGGUAGGAUGUGUAAGUUACUGCAGUGACUUAACUCCAGGGUUUUAAGAUUUGAAAGACCAUUGAGGCUAGGUAGGGUGUGUAAGUUACUGCAGUGACUUAACCAUAGAGUUUUAAGAUUUGAAAGACAAUUAAGGCUGGGUAGGGUGUGUAAGUUACUGCAUUGACUUAACCCCAGAGUUUUAAGAUUUGAAAGACCAUUGAGGCUGGGUAGGGUGUGUAAGUUACUGCAGUGACUUAACUCCAUACCUUCAAGCUUUGAAAGACCAUUGAGGCUGGGUAGGGUGUGUAAGUUACUGCAGUGACUUAACUCCAGAGUUUCAAGAUUUGAAAGACCAUUAAGGCUGGGUAGGGUGUGUAAGUUACUGCAGUGACUUAACUCCAGGGUUUUAAGCUUUGAAAGACCAUUGAGGCUGGGUAAGGUGUGUAAGUUACUGCAGUGACUUAACCACAGAGUUUUAAGAUUUGAAAGACCAUUGAGGCUGGGUAGGGUGUGUAAGUUACUGCAUUGACUUAACCCCAGAAUUUUAAGAUUUGAAAGACCAUUGAGGCUGGGUAGGAUGUGUAAGUUACUGCAGUGACUUAACUCCAAAGUUUUAAGCUUUGAAAGACCAUUGAGGCUGGGUAGGGUGUGUAAGUUACUGCAGUGACUUAACUCCAGAGUUUUAAGCUUUGAAAGACCAUUGAGGCUGGGUAGGGAGUGUAAGUUACUGCAGCGACUUAACCCCAGAGUUUUAAGCUUUGAAAGACCAUUGAGGCUGGGUAGGGUGUGUAAGUUACUGCAAUGACUUAACCCCAGAGUUUUAAGAUUUGAAAGACCAUUGAGGCUGGGUAAGGUGUAUAAGUUACUGCAGUGAUUUAACUCCAGAGUUUUAAGUUGUGAAAGACCACUCAGGCCGGGUAGGGUAUGAAGGUUACAGCAGUUACUUAACUGCAAAUUUUCAAGUUUUGAAAGACCACAUAGGCUGGGUAGGGUAUGAAAAUAAUGUUUUGAGAGAUCUAAAUUUCCGUCUAACGAAUUGGGAAACUGCAAAGUAAACUUCGAUUCCACAGACGCUAGAGAUAAAUGAGUGAGAUUCUUCAAUCUUACUAUGGAACAGGGUACUUGUCUUAUGGCUGUGGAAGAUGCUAUAAGUACUCUCAAUGAUGUCAUCUUCCCUAAAUCCUCGGGCAGUUCACUGAAUUGCUGACAUCCAUUAAGAACAAGAGUCUGAACGGAUUUGGACUUGUAGAAAUCCCCAGGAAGAGAAAUAAGAUUCUGGCAGCCUGUGAGGUUCACCAAAGAAAGUUUUUUAAGAUGACAAAUGGAGGGGUGAAUCUCGGACAAACUGUUACACCAUUCCAAUAUCAACUCUUCAAGAUUUAGGAGAUUUGAAAAGUCUGGUGAUUUUUUUAAGUCAAGGCAAUAACUGAGAUUAAGGAUUUUCAAGUUUCCAAGCGACUGUUGCACAAAAUCAAAGGAAAAUUAAAAUUAAUAUCCAAAAACAAAUGGAAACAUAACAUCAUCAUGUGUAAUCGAUUGUACCUUGGAGCCCUCCCAAACUUGUACAAGUCUGCUAUACGCUAUCUCUAAAAUAACCAGUGCUCUUGGUUGAUCAAAGAAGUGAUCUGGUAUGGACUUUAAAGGGCAUCCAAACCAACGCAACCAUAUUAACUCUUUGGAAAGAUGUUUGUAUUCUCCAUUGAGCUGCACGUUGUAGAGCUGCAGCAGUCUCAGUUUCUUCAUAUUGGCAAAUGCUUCUGUACUGAAGCUUCGAAGCCUUUGCAGCCAAUGAUCUCCAGAAAAAUUAAGAGCAAGUCCUUUAACUUCUUCAGUUCCCUGUUAACAAAAGGUUAUAUUCAUGUGUAAGAAACGGAAUAUUUGCAUAUGUUUACAUGUAUGAAUACAUGCAAGUACUAUUGUUGGCUAAUUGAGAUGAUGUUACUUAAUGUAUAAUACACAUCCGUGAGUUAUAUGUGCUUUUCAUGUACGAUGCAUCAAUUCAGAAUUUUAUUGGGACUAUACUUACAAAUUUAUCUCUCAAUACAUCAAUGACCUCUUGCUGGUUCCACAACCUACUCCAUUCUCCAGGGUGACGAGGGGAUUUUUCAGAAAUGAUUAAUUUGGCCAUUUCUUGAAGCAAAUCAUGCAUAUUCAACUUCUUGUGUUCAAUAGUGAUAAGGCAUCGUUCACAGAGGACAUUGAUUCCUAUUGUUGCAAAAAACUUACAUCCAUCUAAUAUUUUUGCGACAUAGUCCUUAUCCCAUCCAAUAAAGAAACAAGAUAUGUCAAGGAAUAUAUCCUUUUGUGUAGGAUCUAGCCUUUCAAAGCUUACUCUUAGUGGUUUCAUUAUUCCUUCAUCAGGAAAUUUUUUCAAUUUCUCCAACUGACUUUUCUACUCUGUUGGUGUUCUUUCAAUCAUAAAAGAAGAACCUAAAACUGCAAGGGCUAGUGGCAAACCACCACAGUAAGAAACAACCUCUUUUGAGAGUUCAAGAUAUCCUUCAUUAGGCCAACUCUUUCCAAAGGCAUGCCAACUAAAGAGCUUCAGAGCUUCUUCUUCAUUCAUUUCCUUAAGUGAAUAUGUCUUGUCCACUUUCAUGUUCACUUGCUUUAGAAAACGUUCAUCUCGUGUCGUUAUGAUAAUUCUACUUCCUGGGCCAAACCAAUCACGAUUUCCAGCUAUUGCAUCUAGUUGUUCCACUUUGUCUACAUUGUCAAUAAUGACAAGCACGCUUCUACGUUGGAGAUGAUUUUUUAUCAGACUGAUACCUCUAUCAACACUGGUUAUCUUAGACUCGGUAUGUUUCAAGAUGUCAGAAACAAGUCUUCCUUGCAAAUCAACCAGAUCACAUUCACUAACGUUGGCAAGGAAACUUUUGAAUUGGAACUUAUGAUGAAGUUGGUUAUAAAUGGCUUUGGCAGCUGUUGUUUUACCCAAUCCACCAAUCCCCCAAAUUCCAACCAUGCGAACAACAUAUGAUCCACCAUUUGAAAGAUAAGUGAUGAUAUCUUGAAUGCGAGUAUAUAUUCCAACUGGGUGCUUGGCCAAAUGUAAAUUUUCUGCGCUCGGAAGCCAUUUUGGGAUAAUCUUGUCAACAAUUUCUCUAAUAAGCUUUGCUUCGCGCCUGAAAAAUUGAAUUGGUAAGCUUAGUAAGUAGGCUCAGUAGGAGCUAUUAGUACUAAUAUAAACAAUUUUCUUUCCUUCUUUCCUUCGUGUGUGUGUGUGUGUGUGUACAUAUAUGUACACAAACUAGCUACUAGCUAGUACGUGAUUUUGUGACCAACUUCAAUAAAAGAAACAAGUUCAUUCAUUGAUAUAUUAAAGUUUGGUGCAUCAAUUAAACUCCAAUUAUGGUUUAGAUUUUAGAGGAAAUUAGAGAAAUGGUCCUUGAACUAUGAUCAAAUUGUGGCCUUGGUUCUUAAAACUAAAAAUUCAAUAAAUCUCCUCCCUGAACUUAACAAAAUAUGAAGCAUUGGUCCCUAAAUGUUAACACCGUAUGAUUUUCUGUUAAUUUGAUUAUGUCGUCUUUGUGGGCUCCAUAUUAUUGUUUACUAGAUGGCACGUGGCUUGAAAAGUCAAAAUAAAAGAAAAUAAAUACAAACAUAGAGAAAGAAAGAGAGAGAAAAAAAAACUUUAAAUUAUAAAAGUUAACUCUCUCUCCCAUCCUCCCUUCCGCCUCACCUCCUCCAAACCCCAACCACACCAUUGUAGCACUUUCCCAACAGCCAAAACAAAAGAAAGUUUCUAAUCCAAUUUUGGAACACGUCUCCGUUUGCAAACGAAUUCACAAUGACAUCCAUUCACGCUGUCUCGACAGGUAAGAUUCAAGAAAUUUGUGGGAUGCGGGUUCGGGGUUCGGGUGAAGGCUGUGGUCCGUGGGCUACAGUUUGGAGUCGGCUGGAGAGUGGGAUUAGGGAUUGGGGGUUGGAAGUGGGAGGUUGACGGGGUGUGAAUCAAAGAUUGAAGGUGAAGGGGUGGCUGCGAGUGUUGGUGGGAUGAGGUAGGUGAAACUAACAUGUAAAGUUGUAAACCCUUUUAACUAAAAUUUAAAGGAAUUGGUUACGAAGGACUAACGCUCCAUAUUUUAUCAAGUUCAAGGGCAAAAUGUAAUGAAUUUUUAGUUUAGGAACCACAGCUACAAUUUUCCUCUAGAUUUUAUAUGAGAGAUUAAGGCGUAUUAAUUAAGCAUGAUAAUUAGAGUAAUACAACUUAAAUACUGAAAGCACAUGAAUGAUUACCUAUUAUCAGUGAUUUGAAGAUGGUAGCCAGACAAAUUUGCAGCUUUUGUAAGAACCUCUCCCCACUGCUUUACCUCUUCUUGUUUAGCUUCACGUUUCUUGUCAUCCUUUUCUUCACCGACGCCUUCUUCGUGCUUUUGAAAUUCUUCGGCUGACUUUGCAGCUUCUGUAAGAGCCUUUAUCCACUGCUCUACCCUUUCUCGUUUUUCUUCACGUUUCUUGUCAUCUUUUUCUUCACUGAUGUCAUUUUUGUGCUUCUGAAAUGCUUGGGCUAAAACUCCGUUCUGCUUCCUGACAUGUGAAGGAUCAAUGUGAUAGAAUAUUGGCAAAACAUGUCGCCCCAGUUUGUCUCUGCACUCCAUGAUCUUCACCAGCUCGUUAAGACACCAACUCGAAUCCGCAUACCUCUCUGAGAAGACAAUGAUAGAGGUCUUCGAUUCUUCGAUUGCCUGGAGCAGUUCUUUUGGUAUUUCUUCCCCUCUUUUGAGAUCGUCCUCAUCAAUAUAAGCCUGGUAUCCCCUGUCUGUUAAUGCCGCGUGGAGGUGGCCCGUGAAGCCAUUGCGUGUGUCUACACCGCUAAAGCUCAAGAACACGUCGUAAUUCCAAAGUUUUGACUUGGAGGAGGAUGAAGAGGAGGCUUCGUGGGUUGUCAUGGCGGUAUCCACCGUUAUGGCACUGCAGUGGUUCAGAUCACGACUGAAGAAUGGUAGUAGUUGUGUUCGUGCAUUCAAACGGAUGAUCCUGAAAUACCUAAACGCAAGUCAAGCUCCUUCAGUCAACAAGAACAAAGUUUAUAAUAUAAUAAUUUUGGCGUAUGGACUUGAGAAACGACAUAGUGUUGGCCGGAAGGUGCAGAAAAAGAGAGAGGAAAAAAGAAAAGAAAGGAACGAAAGGACAAAGACCAUCCAAAAGAUUCUUGGCUGUGAUUACAGCUAUUCAUAGGAGAAACAACGGACAUAUUUUCAUAGGAGAAACAACCUUCCCAUCUUCAUAUAUAAUGCAUUUCAACGGACAUAUUUUAAUAGGAGAAACAACUUUAGUUUGUACUAGAAAUUUUUACCCGCACGUUGAUGCGGCAUUUGAAAUUGUAUGAAAGAUUAUCUUUGAAAUAUAUAAUAGAUUGUGUGAUUGAAGAUUAAUACUAUUUACAUUGAAAACGUUGGAAAAAGUUUUACAUAUAAAAGAUUUUAUGAUACAAUCCACGUAUAAAAGAUGGUAAAUUUUGUUCUAUCUACAUGCAUUAUGUUAUGGAAUGAUAUAUAUAUAUAUAUAACUAAGUUCCAGAAUAUGUAAACUUCAUAACUUGGAAAUUUUUUGACAAAUUAAUCAGAUUCAACUGUGGGUUAGCAAGGUCGCCUAUAAAGUUUGAAGUCGUAGAAGCAUAAAGGACAAAUAACAAAUGAGUUUUGAGAAAUUAUUCCACAAAUGUCAUUCUGCAAAAUGUAUUAAAGACGAUUGGUAUAAGAUUAGCAAUCAUGAGUAGUGUAACAACAUCAACAAAAUAACCAUAAACCAUAACAUAAUUCAAAUUUUGUUUGCAAAAACAAAAGAAAAAGAAAAGAGACUUACAAUAAUUCAACCUUCAAUCUUGAAGUCCAGCUCAAAGAGCCAAACCUAAAUGCAAGCUUUCUGAAAUUUCCCAAACAAUACAGAUAAAACGGUAACACCCUAGUCAGAAAUGAACCAAGGUGCGAGCUUUCUAAGAAACCCAGAUGACAAAAUCAACAAAAUAGAAUGGAAAAAUGACUUACACUUUGAAGGCAUGCUCGAACCUUGAUCUAAAAUUGGUGGUGGGUCGAUUGUUGGUCACCAACUCUAAAUGAAGAAUUCAUCAGAACCUAGAAAUUUAAAACAAAGAAUUUUCCAAAAUCAACAUUUACUAAAAACCAGUUGCUUGGUUAUCAUGCAUGAUGGCUUGACAAAGACUGAAUUAAGGAAUGCAAACUUUACUUUCAUGAUUAUUUUUAAUGACAGCUAAAAGGUCAGAUCCAAAUGAAAAUAAAAGUUAGGACUUCACAAAACCAAUUAAAAAUCUAAUUCUAAAGUUAUAAGCACCCACAAAAUGAUUCCAGAUAAAGUUUUACACUCAAGGUCAAACCCAAAUGAAAUUAAAAGUUAGGACUUCACAAAACCAAUUGAAAAUCUGAUUCCAAAGUUCCAAACACCCACCAAAUGAUUCCAGAUAAAGUUUAAACUCAAAAACCCAAUAGAAACAAAAGCACUGGUAUAAAUUAACUGUAUCUAAUUGAAGAAACUAAAACAAAAGUAAAGCAAAGUAUAUACCUCAAAAUGUCAAGCAACUAAGUUCUUCCUCCGACGACCCAAAACUCUGAAAAUUCCACACAAAAAAAAAGGCAAAUCCAUUAGCAAUUCAUAGCUUUCAAAAUUAGCAAAAACUUGGGCAACAAUAAAGAUGUGUCUAGAACCAUCAAUCUUUCUCCUUAUGCAUUUGAAAAGAUAUGUUAUAAGCAGUUUAUGUAGUCAUUCUGAACAUGUUGCAUAUAAAUUCCUUUUCUACAGGGUUCAAAAAAAUAUGGCAGUUUAUGGAAUCUGUUGAAUGACAUAGUUGAAAGAUUUAAAAUUGAUACAUUCAAUUUUUAUGUGUAAAACUAUAACAUAUAGCUAAAGCUAUUGGGUCCAUAUCAGUCAUGUCGUAAUUGAAUGUUUAUCGAUGUAAAUAGAUGAUUUCAGUCAUGGGAUAACAUGUUUCUUGAUAGUAUACGCUGAAGUUUGGUCUAAGUUGGAUAUAAAUCGACCAAAAUCUUAAUAAGAGACUUUUUUAACUUUUAACCAAAAAAUGAGCACCACAAUACUACACUUAUAAGUUUUAUCAUGCACAAAAUACACAGCACUGAUUGCCACUUUUAGAGCAAGAACAAUACUUUACCAAAAGAAAACAACAAAACACCCAAAACCCAGAAACAUAAACACACUUAGGACUCAAACUCCUCAAAAACAUGAGAAAGAGAGAGAGUGUGUGAGGAGAAAGAAUAAAAAAAAAAAUUAUUUUUCACACAAACUCAAAAUUGCUUAUAAAAUUACAAAUGAAUGCAAAUCCAAAAUUGCCCUAAAUUAAAUCUGAUUAGUUAAAUGUUUGUUGCCCCAGAAAUUUCGUUACACCUCACAAAACUUGCUUUGAAGUUGAUAUUUUGGUCAAUCCAGGGGAAAAGGAGUUAUUGGUUUUGGAGCAGUUGUCAUGGAGAAUACCAUCUCCCUGUAGAAUGAUCUAAAAAAGGACUUACAGCUUAUGGUGGCCAUAAUAAUUUAGGAGGCCCUUCUCUCCAAAUUUUCUCAAUAACUUUCCUUUUCGUAGCUGGUAAGAUUGCAACUCCGAGAAUUGCUUUGAAGAGAUAUACACAAACAAAAUACCAAAACUAAGCUAUUGGAAGAAAUUUAGAAAACACAAGCACCAUUACAACUCAGAGUUAAAAGUCAACAGAAACCAAAUGGUACAAGUUGAAAAAAUAUAUGGUCAUGAAUCGAGAACUUCAUCAAACUAACAGCAAUAAAAUCUCAUAUAAUCCGUCAAAAACCAAAAAAGAGAUUCAAGACCUUGUAACGUCGAGGCCUCGUACAGUUGUAGUAAUAAUUUAUGGUUGAUGCACCUGUUGCUCAAUCAAAUCCUUCGUCUGGCUAAAAAAAUAAAAAUCUAUAAAUACAUUCACGUCCAAUUUAUGAGAAAUCAUGGGAAAGAAAAUGUGAAUAUGAAGAACUUAACAAAAAGAAAAAGAAAACUUCUUAUAGUGUGCUAAGAACAUCCUCCUACUCCUAGCAAAUUUUUUAUGGCAUUAUCCACUUCUCAAUUCAUAAUUCAACCAGUAACUCAAAGUCUAUAGUGUAUGAAAAAGUGAUAUCUUAGUUGAUCACGAUGAUAAUCAAAAAGGAAGAAACAACCAAACAAAAUUAUUAGGUCUGGGAUAUACCUUUAUCUGAAACACCACAAUCAUCAAAGUGAAACACAAACAAUCCAAAAAUUUGUGGAAAAUACCAAUAAAUGCUCAACUAAAAACGAAAGAAAAAGUAGAAUAAGUUUACCUGUUCCUCCCCUAAUUAAACUGCAAUACAAUUCACCACUGAUAUUCUCGUCAUCCUCUUCAGCCUGAAAAAUUUAGUAGAAAAUAAUGGUAAGAAUCUAGCAGUAUUUCCAUUGUUCAAAACCCAAAUUCCAGAAAUCAUGAAAAAUGGAAACUUUAUAUGGAAAUUGAACCCCCAAAAUCACAAAAAGGAAAAUUGAACAGAAAAUAAAUUUGCAAAUCCAAAAUCACAAAAACGAAAUUGAAACACCCACACUGAGAAAGCUGUAAAACUCACAAGGAAACGCUAGCUUUUCUGGGUAAAAAAAAUUGUUCGAAUCGAAUUGAAGAACCGAGGAAAAUUCUACAGGUUCAGUGGUUUUUCCAGCAAGAAAGCACCUUGUUUGUAAGUCGUGAGAGGUUGGAGAGCGAGAGAAGCCGAUUUGGGAACCAAAGAAAGCGAGGUUGGAGACCGAAAGAGGCUGCGAAUUGCGAGAGAGAAAAACGAAAAGGAAAGGAAAAGCGGAGAAGAAGUCACGAUUAUCGACGCGUGGGUAGGAUUCCACUGUGAGAGGAUUGCAUUCUUUUAAGAGUGUUUCCUUAUUACAAUUUUAUGCUACUAGAUCCAUCCUAUUGUUCCAUUUCUAAACUUUAUAUUAUAAUAUCACCCAUCGUAAAAAAUUAAAAUCCUAUUAAUCCACCCCAAUUAUUUCUAAAAUAACCUCAAAUAUCUAAAUCCAUUUUUAUUUCACCCCAAUUGCAUGAUCAGGCCUCGAUUUGAAGCUAGUUGACGUUGGCCCAAAUGCCAAAUUGUUUGAAUUUCCAAUAAACAUAUUAUAAUUAUAAAAGGAUGGUGAAGAUAUGAAUCAAAUUUGAAAGAGAGAACAUUACUUGGUGAAGGAGGUGAUAGGUGAUGUUGGUAUGGGUUAUGCAGUCACCAUUGGACAUGAGAGGCUUUCUCCUCAAAAUUCCUUCUACAUCUACAGCAUGCAAAUCGAAUGAUGAUAGGUUUAUCGAAGCCCUAAUACCAACUUUAUGACAAAUCUGAACGGACCAAUAAACAACCAUGGAACGAUCUUGAGACGCGACCACUGCGCGUGAGACUCAACCAGGAAUAACUAGACCAUCAGCCGCCGUCGUCAAUAUUGUAGAGGUAGAUGGUGGGUCCGAGAACUCGAUUUUCUUGGAGCAGUUUGAGAUUGACGAAGGGACCUGACGAGGGGUUGGGGUUGUUGGUGACCGAGAGUAUAUGGGUUUGACGAUGGUGGUGGUGGUGGUGGUGGUUUGCAAUCUCUCUCUUUCCUUUUCUUGGGGUUGGACAUUCGGGUGACAGCCGCCUUGGGAUCGGAUGUCAAUGGGGACGUGCUUGAGAGCCAUGAUGACGACGCGAGCGUGGGUGGGGAGAAUUUUCCAGGUCCUUUGAUGUAAUUUUACAAAAGGGUAAAAAUGGAAGUAAAAAAAUUAUAAACUAGUGGGGUGGGAAGAUAAGACAACGGGGUUGUUGUGGUCUAUUUUUAUCUGAUAAAGCAAUAGGGCCGGCGGCAGGGGGAGAGAGAAAAGAGAGAUGUGUGUUUGUAGAAUUGUAGGGGAAUGUGUGUUGUUAUCUCUCAUACAUUGUGCCUUUAUUUAUAGUAGUAAAAGGAGAGAAGAUAUUCCUUCUUCUCCAAGUAAUAUAAGUUGUAAUAGGAAAGAAUAACUAGAAUCAAAUCUAAUAUAGGAUUUACACAAUUUACAAGUUGUUAUCCCUCCUACAUUGUGCCUUCUUCUUCAUAAGAGUUUGAAAGAAGUAUGAAAUAUUGACUUGUUGAUGAUGAAGUUGAUAGUGAAAUGUAGUAACGGUUAAUUUAACAGAAUUUUUAACGGAUGUAUGAAAUUAAAAAAUAAUAUAAGUAAAUGUAUGAAAUUAAAAUGUUUUAAAGAAAUUGUAUGAAGUUGCAAUUGACCCCAAAUACGAGAGAUAAAACAUAAUUUACACAAAAAACAAAGAUCAGAUUUGUAAAAAUGCACCACAUAGUAGUUAAAACAUCCGGACGUAAAUGAAUGGUUUGAGAUACCAUCAUAGUAGCAUCUUUCAGUGUAAGUUUUUCUCAUAUCGGAUCACUUACCAGUAGAAAAGUGUAAUACCGUGUCGGGAAAGGAAGUCAAUGAUGAAAAGAGAGCAAUUUAGCUUUAAAAAUAAGGAAAACUAAUGAAAAGAGUUUGAAAACUUUGCGUUUAAUGAUAAGGACAAAAUAAAAGGAUAAAGUGAAUAGUACUAUGAUUGAUUUUUUAGUGUAAAAAUAUGGUUUUUCGUUAAAGUUUCCUUAAAAAUAUUGCGUCCUCCGUAUGAUGUUUGCAACAUGUGUCGCCAGAGUAUCAACUUGAAGCUCUCCACAUCUCCGUCGUCAAAUGUUUUGUAAGCAGCAUUGUUUAAGUUCUCUCUGUCAGGGAAACUGCAGAUGGGUUUGAUGAAGAAGAAUGGAAAAUAUAAUUUUUAGAAAAUGAGAAAGAAAAUUAUAAAACUUCAUUAAUGAAAUUUCUUUAUCAACAAAAAAAGAUGAAAAUAUAUCUUUGUCUUCUAUCACAACAAAAAAGUUAAGGACAGUAACGUAAUUUUACAAGAUAAAAUUUUACUUUUUUUUUAAAUCUCACAUAUAUGUAAGUUUAUCAUCUUUAAUUUAAAAAAUAUAAAAAAACCUCUCUUCCACGUUCUCUCUCACUCUCUUCCUCUCCUUCAAAUUUAACAACCAAAGUAAAAAAAUUCAUACGCUUUGUGUGUGGACAUAUACUAGUUGAAAUUUAAAAAAGGAGACUUAAAAAGAGAGAUUUAAUAUUUUCUAGGUUGUCUUGGGAGUUGGCAAUGACAGUAAGAGAGGAGAAUCUCGGGUUCCACUGGAAAGGAGGAAAUUUUUCAAAGCGAGAAGGUAGGGGUUUUUUCACUUGCUCUCUUGGUCUUUGGGCUUUUGGAUUGGAUUGGGACAAUUCCAAUUACCCCAUCCCAACUUACGACUUUUUAUCGGUCUAUAUUGGCUAAAGUGAACGUACUAAAAUAGAAAUUUGAGAACUUGAAUUAAGGUCUUGAAUUAGCGAAUGAAUGUCCAGUAAGAAUGUCAUGUAGUCGGACUUGUAAGGCUACCCUUAAUAAGUAGUCACGUUUGUCAAAACUGGUCUAUCUGAUUAUAAUUGUAACCAUAUUAUGUGUGACACAUGAUCAAACUUGAAGGGUUGUCCAAUAAGAAGUUGUCAUGUUGUCAAGCGUAGGGCCAAAGGUGAGCACUUUCCUACCAAAGUGUUUUCUUUUUCCCCUUUUCAAGGGAUUUGUGUCACCAUUAGAUAGGAGAUUCAAACACAAGACCUUGAAUUUAGAGGCAAACGCUUUAAAAAAGCUUCUCUGAUUCAUCUCCUCUGACUUUGACGGGUUCCACUUCGGAUUCUGCAUUGACAGGAAACCGAAGCCAAAGAUAAAGAUCCGUUCUGAUAUACAGAAAGUAAGAUGAUUAUCAACUGUAGGUCUAGUAGAGGCUGUAAUUGUUCUGUCACUUUAUAGUAAGGAAUCUUGAGCAUAAUUAACGAACCUGAUCCUUGUCCACCAAAACUGCCGUACACCUUCAGCAAAAUCAUUCCGCAAAUACAAUCUUAUAGCAAUGCGAUAUUCAGUUUCAUCACACCAGUUAGUAUUGGUCAAGUAAAGCACAUGUUACUUUCUGAAAAUUUGAAAUACUACAACGCAAAACCUAUCAAAAAGAUGCAACCAUGUGAUGCAAGAAACGAAAAGGUAGAAAGUCCAGACUCACUGUGGAUAAUUGAUUGUCAUUUUUCCCAAGCGCAGAUGCAAUUUUAGCGAAUUAAUUUUGUCCCAAAGAAAGUGAGAACGGAGCUCCCUUUCCAAGACAUUAAAGAGCUUCAUUAGCCCACUCACCACUGCAAUAGAAACAAUUUGAUACAAAAUACUUGACAGCAACCAUACAAGCCGCUCAAUAGACAAAUGACAUUGACAAACAUACCAGUAGCAUCUGAACCUGCUGCUGCUUUUUAAGUUCAUCAAUUGUCUCAAGAACCGACUUAUUUGCACCAAACGCUGAAGUUAUUUGAUGUAAAAGACUUGAGUUGCGCUUCAGAAUCUGGGUUGCUGGUGAAUUUCGCCGCAGUUGUUUCAAUGUCCCCAUGGGGAUCCUAAGAACCGUAUCAACAAUGGAGUAUCUUUUAUCUCAAGAACGCAUUGGACAAUGGAGCAUCAGAAAUUGCGUCUGAGGAUAGAAAAGGCAUACCUGCAGAUCCUCCUCCCGUACUCCUUGCCGCUACAUGUGAAAACCCAUCUGGCAUAGCAAGAACAGUCCUCUGAAAUGUAUCCAUACAAAGUUAGACGCACAAAAUUUGAAAAGCCAUUGCAAUGUAAUUGACAACAUUGACAAUCUCUGUCUGACAGGGCAAAAUACCUUUGUAAUGAUCCGGUAGUGACCGUGACCUGAUAGGUCAACACCAAAGACCAUUGUUAUGCGAUCAAUGAAGCUUAUAAAGGGCUUCUUGUACUCAGAGAUUUUGCAUAUUAGAGAAUACUCAGCAGUGGAUACCUGAACGCAGCACAAAUAUCAUAUCGUUAGCCUCUCAAUAUUAAGAAAACUACAAAUGGUAGCUUAGAAAAGAAAUGAAUCCUCUCCAACCAAAUACAAAUCAUAUUACCCCAAGUUCAAGCAAAAUCAAGACUAAACAAAUGAUUAGAUGUUGUAGGUUGCCCGAGAAUGUCAACCAUGAAAUUACAAAAGAAAAAAAUAACUGUAUGUAUUGAACAUUAAUAAAUACAUGCUGAAAGCACAAUCUCAGCCGCAAUUUAUGACAUUUAUACGAGAUUGAAUCGCUAAAGCAAUUGAAGAAAUUGCAGAGCUCAUAUAAGUGAUUUUCACUUUGAAUUUUUAGGCUUAUCAACAAAUACAUCAUUACGAUUCUAAUGCAUGAAUUUUGUUAAAAGGGGCUUGCUUGCUUGUAUUAAGGCUUAAUCAUCAAUGAAUUUGCAAGAAGCAAUCGAUUUGCUAGUUGUAAAUCUAUUCACUAAUUACCAAAAUUACAUCUAAACGGUAGUGAAGGAAGUCAUCUUAUAUUAUCUGGAUUUUAGAAAACUGUGUAAGGUUAUAAGUCUGUUAUUAUAUAUAGUUAAAAGGGACACAAUUAGACCUCAAUCAUAUUUGGUGGUUGGUUUUUGGCCAUGAUCUGCUUCACAUCACCCCCUGCAAACAAAAAUGAACACUAAGAGAAACAAUAAACAAAUGACAUGAAACAACACGAACAUCAAAGACCAACAAUCUAUCACGUAAGUACCUAAACAAGAAACAACUUUAGUUCAAAGCAAAGCGUAAUGUAGAAACCUUCGGCACAAGAGGUGUGUUUUUGUCCUUUUGAAUUUCGGCAACAACCAUUUUAAUGUCCUUUCCUGCAAUUACCAUGAUUGGUCACUCUCAAAACCUUACCUAAGAGACCCAAAAACAAAAAUAACCGCCGAAAAAUUUAUUUAACUACAUGCUAAAAUGGAAGUGUAAUAUUGCCAAGAAAGAUAAGAAACUAUUCAAAUACAGAUUCUGGGCUUACCGCACAAAAGGCACGAGCCUAGCGGCUACCAAAAAGAACACACUUCACAUUUGGGUGAGAUUCCCAUUCAUCCAGAUAGCUCUUGUAUUUCACAUCCAUAUCUGCAUUUUCCAACAAUUCCCACUUAAACAGAAAUACAAAAUUCUUUGAAAAAAAGCUAACUUCUUCGAAAUGCGAAUCCAACGUUUCGUCUUAUAACAAAUGCAAUAACAUAGAUUUGUAAUCAAUACGAUGCCAUAAAGUUCAAGCUCCAAAAUUCAAAUCAGCUCCAAAUCAAAAGCAUUUACAGAUAUAUACAUAUAUACAUGUGUGUGUGUGUGUGUGUGUGUGUUUAUCUACAUACCUAGGUUCAUGGCGUUGAGAGCUUGGGGGCCGACCGAGGGUGAUGACGGCGACGCCAUUUGGGUGGACGCUGCCCUUGACGAACGCGUCGGCGGAGGCCAUGAUCCCGAAGGGGCGGAGGAGGCGAGGGGAUUUGGAUGGUUGGAAAAGAGAAAGCUUCGAAUUUGGAUUGAGGAAGAAGAAAGCGGACGACGAUUUGCUCAGAAUUUAGGUCGCUCCUCCCAAUAAGCUUCCCAUUACUUCCGGUCGGGAGUGACUGCAUCAGUGUAGAGAGAUAAAGAUAUUUUUGGUGCUUCUGGGCCGGACUACCCUUGAUGUUUCGGUUAAAUAACCGGGAAAAACAACUGCCGCAGGGAAAUUUGAAAGAGGCGUUUGACGAACUGAUUGUGAUCUGACUCAAACAUGUGAUGAUGACGAUGCAUCACCACCUUGAUUGUGUCUCUGGAUGAAAAACCUACCAUCAAGAUCAAAAUCGUGCAUAUUUUCCUUCAUAGGUUUGUCCCAUACUAGAUUAACCCCUAUUCCCUUAGCUUUCGCAUAAUUAAAUGCAUUAGUUUUCGCAUAAUUAAAUGCACCGCCUUUCAUUGGUAUUUCAAAAGUUAUAUCAACUUUAUCCCCGCUUUGCAAAUUGAGCUUAUCGUUUGAUAUUUGACCUUGCCAAAGAUAACAGCUUUCAAAUACAAUAUCGCGCAUUUUUGUAACCCAAUCUUCCUUGCCUAUGCAAGUCUGUAACUCAGUACGCUUGGUAUUAUUUAUAUCAAUACUAGCACGAGGAUGACCAUCUUUACCUCUCAUAUAAGGUCUUGGCCGAUCAAGAUAAGAGCGGUAAAAGCAUAACAGAGUUAGCCCUUCAAAACUACGACCAUCACCCGGGGGAAUAUCAAAGCUAACUUCAUUACCAUCAUUGACAAACUCGAACCAAUCAGGAACAUAAUUCCCAUUGAGAAAAAUGCCACCAUAUCCGCAAGAAGUCCAUCCCUAUAUAUAUAUUGCAAGUGUCAUAACUAUAUACAUACAUGUACAUGUGUGUUGUGUGUGUGCAUGUGCGCAAUAGGAAGACAAUUAAAGAGAGAGAGAUACCUUUAGGACGUUCCUCCUUAAAUCAGCCGUGAGUUUGGUGCACUUACUCAUAUCAAUCCAUGUCAUGGAGUUUAAUGACUUAUCCAAGUCUGGAACCUCAGUGAGUUCGUGUGAAUCACAUACAUUCAGUUCCCUCAUAUUUGACAUUUUCGAAAAAUUGGGCAUUGUUACCAAACGAUAGCAACUAGAUGCAUCCAGAAAUUUCAAAUUUGUUGGUAAAUCAUAGAUUGUAUGAAGCUGGGAGCAAUAACUUAACCACAAACUUUCAAGUUUUGAAAGACCACUGAGGCUGGGUAGGGUAUGAAAAUAAUUGACUGAGAGAUCUAAAUUUCUUAAAGAGUCUAAGCCGUGUAACGAAUCGGGAAAUUGCAAAGGAAACUUCGAUCCCACAAAAUUAUUGAGAGAUAAAUGAGUGAGAUUCUUCAAUCUUACUGUGGAACGCGGUACUUGUCUUAUGGCUGUAGUAGAUGCUUUAAGUACUCUCAAUGAUAUCAUCUUCCCUAAACCCUCGGGCAAUUCACUGAAUUGCCAACAAAAAUCAAGAACAAGAGUCUGAACGGAUUUGGACCUGUAGAAAUCCCCAGGAAGAGAAAUAAGAUUCUUGCAGCGUGUGAGGUUCACCAAAGAAAGUUUUUUAAGAUGACCAAUGGAGGGGUGAAUAUCGGACAAACUCCUACACCUUUCCAAUAUCAACUCUUCAAGAUUUGGGAGAUUUGAAAAGUCUGGUGAUUUUUUUAAGUCAGAGCAACUUCCAAGAUUAAGGACCUUCAAGUUUUCAAGUGACUGUUGCACAAAAUCAAAGAAAAAUUAAAAUUAAUAUCCAAAAGGACUAUCUCAGAAAAAAAGAAGGAAAUCCAAAAAACAAAUACAAACAUAACAUCAUCAUGUGUAAUCGAUUGUACCUUGGAGCCCUCCCAAACUUGUACCAGGUCGCUAGAUGUUAUCUCUAAAAUAACUAGUCUUGGUUGAUCAAAGAAGUCAUCUGGUAUGGACUUUAAAGGGCAUCUUUCCCAACACAACCAUAUUAACUCCUUGGGGAGAUGUUUGUAUUCUCCAUUGAGCUGCACGUUGUAGAGCUUGAGCAGUCUCAGUUUCUUCAUAUUGGCAAAUGCUUCUGUACUGAACCCAGGCAUGUUAGACCUUGGAGGCCAAGGAGGAGGGAUACCUAGAGCAAGUCCUUCAACUUCUUCAGUUCCCUGUUAACAAAAGGUUAUAUUCAUGUGUAAGAAACGGAUUAUUUGCAUACGUUUACAUGUAUGAAUACAAGCAAGUACUAUUGUUGGCUAAUUGAGAUGAAUGUUAAUGUAUAAUACACAUCCGUGAGUUAUAUGUGCUUUUCAUGUACAAUGCAUUAAUUCAGAAUUUUAUUGGGAAUGUACUUACAGAUUUAUCUCUCAAUACUUUAAUGACCUCUUGCCGGUUCCACAACCUACUCCACUCUCCAGGCUGACGAGGGGAUUUUUCAGAAAUGAUUAAUUUGGCCAUUUCUCGAAGCAAAUCAUGCAUAUUCAACACGUUGUCUUCAACAGUUAUAAGGCAUCGUUCACGGAGGUCACUGAUUCCUAUUGUUGCAAAAAAGUUACAUCCAUCUAAUAUUUUUGCGACAUAGUCCUUAUCCCAUCCAAUAAAGAAACAAGAAAUGUCAAGGAAUAUAUCCUUUUGUGUAGGAUCUAGCCUUUCAAAGCUUACUCUUAGCGGUUUCAUUAUUCCUUUAUCAGGAAAUUUUUUCAAUUUCUCCAACUGACUUUUCCACUCUAUUGGGGUUCUUUCAAUCAUAGAAGAACCUAAAACUUCAAGGGCUAUUGGCAAACCACCACAGUAAGAAACAACCUCUUUUGAGAGUUCAAGAUAUCCUUCAUUAGGCCAACUCUUUCCAAAGGCAUGCCAACUAAAGAGCUUCAGAGCUUCUUCUUCAUUCAUUUCCUUAAGCGGAUAUGUCUUGUCCACUUUCAUGUUCACUUGCUUUAGUAAACAUUCAUCUCGUGUCGUUAUGAUAAUUCUACUUCCUGGACCAAACCAAUCACGAUUUCCAGCUAUGGCAUUUAGUUGUUCCACUUUGUCUACAUUGUCAAUAAUGACAAGUACGCUUCUACGUUGGAGAUGAUUUUUUAGCAAACUGAUACCUCCAUCAACACUGGUUAUCUUAGACUCAGUCUGUUUCAAGAUGUCAGAAACAAGCUUUCCUUGCAAAUCAACCAAAUCAUAUUCACUAACGUUGGCAAGGAAACUUUUGAAUUGGAACUUAUGAUGAAUUUGGUUAUAAAUGGCUUUGGCAGCUGUUGUUUUACCUAAUCCACCCAUCCCCCAAAUUCCAACCAUGACAACGUCAUUUGAUCCACCACCUGAAAGAUGAUUGAUAAUAUCUUGAACGCGAGAAUUGAUUCCAACCGGGUGCUUGGCCACAUUUAAUUCGUUUGCACCCGGAAGCCAUUCCGUAAUGAUCUUGCCAACAAUUUCUCUAAUAAGCUUUGCUUCGCGCCUAGAUGUUGAAUUUGUAAGCAUUAGCGGGACUCAAUGAACAGUAGGAGCUAUUAGUACAUAGACAAUUUUCUUUCCUUCAUACAUAUUCUAACUAGCUACUAGCUAGCAUGUGAUUUUUUUACCAACUUGAUAAAAGAAAGAAAUUCAUUCAUUAAUUAAACUCCAAUUACGGUUUAGGUUUUAUAUGAGAGGUUAAGGUGUAUUAAUUAAGCAUGUUAAUUAUAUGAGAGAUUAAGUCAUUCACUAAAAUGUGUCAAAUCUUUAAAAGCAGGUGAAUGAUUACCCAUUGUCAAUGAUUUGAAGAUGUUGGCCAGACAAAUUUGCAGCUUCUGUAAGAGCCUUUCUCCAUUGCUUUACCCUUUCUUGUUUAGCUUCACGUUCCUUGUCAUCUUUUUCUUCACGAAUGCCCUCUUCGUGCUUCUGAAAUGCUUGAGCUAAAUCUCCGUUCUGCUUCCUAACAUGUGAAGGAUCAACAUGAUAGAAUAUUGGCAAAACACGUCGCCCCAGUUUGUAUCUGCACUUCAUGAUCUUCACCAGCUCGUCAAGACACCAACUCGAGUUCGCAUAACUCUUUGAGAAGACAAUGAUAGAGAUCCUCGCCUCUUCAAUUGCCCGGAACAGUUCCUCUUUUAUUUCUUCCCCUCUUUCUAGAUCGUCCUCAUCGAUAUAAGCCUGGUAUCCCCUCUCUGUUAAUGCCGCAUGGAGGUGGCCCGUGAAGCCAUUGCGUGUGUCCACACCGCUGAAGCUCAAGAACACGUCGUAAUUCCAAAGUUUUGACUUGGAGGAGGAUGACGAGGAGGCUUCGUGGGUUGUCAUGGGGGUAUCCACCGUUAUGGCACUGCAGUGGUUCAGAUCACGACUGAAUUAAGGAAUGCACAACUUUACUUUUAUGAUUAUUUUCAAUGACAGCUAAAGGUCAGAUCCAAAUGAAAAUAAAAGUUAGGACUUCACAAAACCAAUAAAAAAAUAUAAUUCCCAAGUUACAAAUACCCACCAAAUGAUUCCAGAUAAAGUUUUAAACUCAAGGUCCGGCCCAAAUGAAAUUAAAAGUUAGGACUUCACAAAACCAAUUGAAACAGAAACCAAAUGGUAGAAGUUGAAAAAAAUAUAUGGUCAUGAAUCGAGAACUUCAUCAAACUAAUAGCAAUAAAAUCUCAUAUAAUAUGUCAAAAACCAAAAAAGAGAAAGAGGUAAUUUCAAGACCUUGUAACGCCGAGGCCUCGUACAGUUGUAGUAAUAAUAUAUGGUUGAUGCACCUGUUGCUCAAUCAAAUCCUUUGUCUGGCUAAAAAAAUAAAAUCUAUAAAUACAUUCACGUCCAAUUUAUGAGAAAUCAUGGGAAAGCAAAUGCACUGAGAACGGAAUCAUGAAUAUGUAGAACUUGCCAAAAAGAAAAAGAAAACUUUUUAUAGUGUGCCAAGAACAUCCUCCUACUCCUAGCAAUUUUUUAUGGCAUUAUCCACUUUUCAAUUCAUAAUUCAACCAGCAACUCAAAGUCUAUAGUGUAUGAAAAGGUGAUAUCUUAGUUGAUCACGAUGAUAAUUAAGUAGAUUAAAUGACGACCCAUAAAGCAUACAAAUUCAGAAAAGAAAAGGUACGAAACUGCCAUAAGAAAACGCAGAAUAUAUAAACCGGAAAUCAAAAGAAGAGAAGCGAAAAAGGAAGAAAAAAAAAACCAAACAAAAUUAUUAGGUUUGGGAUAUACCUUUAUCUGAAACGCCACAAUCAUCAAAGUCAAACAUAAACAAUCCAAAAAUUUGUGGAAAAUACCAGUAAAUGCUCAACUAAAAACGAAAGAAAAUGUAGAAUAAGUUUACCUGUUCUCCCCCUAAUUAAACUGGAAUAACAUUCACCACUAAUAUUCUCGUCGUCAUCCUCUUCAGCCUGAAAAAUUUAGUAGAAAUACUCAAUGAAGACGCUUAAUGUAGACAGUAAUAUUAGCAAUGGAGGAAUUGAAUUGAUAACCAAAACUGCAAGACCAAAUGACUAUUUAGGUUCAAAACAGAAACUCGUCUGCUAGAUGUCUCAUCUUUAGGCAGUGCCUUGUUCUUGUUUUUUUUUCUUUUUUUUUUGUUGUUGCAUGUCUUGUGAAGUUCAUGUAAAUCAACAAAAUUGAUACUUUUGACACAACCAACAAUGGAGAGGUAAAAAGUUAAAAACAUUAGGAAUGUCUUCAUUUUUGUAAUGGAUUUUGCAAGUCAGAAAUUCUGUUCGAGAAUUUGCAACCCAGAAAGUCCGCCAGAAAUUAUUAACAAUCACAGAUAAGCACCGAAUGAAGGCCAAUCUAAUAAGCCAAAAUAUGUAGGGCACUAAAGAAAUUACCCAGUAACAAUAAUAGAUAAGCACAUAUGAAACUAAAGAAAUUUUUCAUUACUAUCAACUCCCAAAAAAAAAAAAAAAAAAAACUGUGCAAUCCAAAAAAUGUUGAUACAUAGUUGGAGUAUCAAUGCCUGAAAUUGGUAUUUGAACCACGAAUAUGUUUGUUAGCUUAAAGGUUUGGGUUGAAGUUGUGAAAGGAAAUGUAAUUUCUUAAAAGAAGGAGAGAAUGCAAAGAUGAAUACAGAAUGGUUCAUGUGGCCACCUUGUUAAGGCACAGAAAAAGACAUCAAAUUUUAUACUUGUUGCAUCCAAGGUAUGCAACAGCCUCCCACAGAAAUUACAGAAAUCAAAUCAAGAAAAAAGAUAAUUACACAAUAAUUACACCUUCACUAAGAAAAUAAAUUAUAAAAACGAAGACCGUGAGAAUAAUUACCUUACCUUUGUACGGUGAUUGGCUGCCAAAAAAAAAAAUAAUGUCAUAUACAUUAAGCCUGCCAAUUACUAAAAACAAAACAUUUUGCCAUGAGGAGAAGUAAGAACAUACCGAAACUUGUUUGCAAAUAGAUGAGAAAAACUUAUUCCUGAAACAGAUGGAAAAUUUAUUAGGAAAGAUAAAUCAGCCCACAUGUGUGUAAUCUAUAUACAAAAAACCACUCUCUUCAAUAGCCAAAUCGUUUCACAAAUCCAAAAACACAUAAUUAUAUCUUGAACAAUGCCAAUUAAUGAUUUCCCAUUUACUUAAGCCAACAACAAAGCCAAUGAACUGAUGAAAGAGCAAAACAGAGAAACAAAAAACCUCAAUUAAGUAAUUAAAUGGAGUAUUACUUGAUAGAGCUGGAAAAUUACCCAGUUCCUCAGAGAGAGGAUCAAGAGUGACUGAUGAGAGUGCAGAGAAAAGAAUGAUUGAGAAAUUCAAGUUCUGAGCUCGAAGUUGGGGCUUCCACUUUCCAACUGGGGAAGAAAUAACAGAGAAAACACAGAGAGCCAAUCCACCAAAUAUUAAUCAAAUGGGUUUCUUCUAAUUCAAAAUUUGGACCACCCAAAUUCCAAUGAAGCAAUAACCAUUCAAAAUCCAACAGAUUGAAGCCCUCACAGACUACUAAUUAUCAAUACCCAGCAAUAAAAAAUUUGAAAACAGUAAUAAUGAAGGAAAAAGAAAUUAAAGCUGCAAGCCAUUCUCUAAAUCUCAGGCACCAAUCCAAAUCACCAGUAAUUUGCACAUAAUGAUAAGAAUCUAGCAGUAUUUCCAUUGUUUAAAAACCCAAAUUCAAGAAAUCAUGAAAAAUGGAAACUUUAUUUGGAAAUUGAAGCUUUACCUGCAGAUCAGCAGCAGCAAACGGAAUCCAACGGCAUGUACCUCAAAAGUGAGAGAGAGAGAGUUGAGAGAUGAGUGAGAGAAUCGAUAAACAAAACCCCCCAAAAUCACAAAAGGAAAAUUGAACAGAAAACAAAUUUGCAAAUCCAAAAUCACAAGAACGAAAUUGAAACACCCACACUGAGAAAGCUGCAAUACUCACCAGGAAGCUAGCUUUUCUGGGUAAAAAAAUUGUUCGAAUCGAAUUGAAGAACCGAGGAAAAUUCUACUGGUUCAGUGGUUUUUCCAGCAAGAAAGCACCUUGUUUGUAAUUCGUGAGAGGUUGGACAGCGAGAGAGAAAAACGUAAAGGAAAGGAAAAGCGGAGAAGAAGUCACGAUUAUCGACGCGUGGGUUGCAUUCCACUGUGCCAAGUUCGAAAAUGAACGGGGAAUGGGGAGCUUGGCCGAGGGAGACAGAAUUCGAGAAGCAGCGUUCUGAUUAAUUUUUUUUUUUUUUUUUUUAUGAGAGAGGGAAAGCGGAAUGAAGAGAAUCGAGAAGAGGAUGAACCAUUUCAAUUUUUAAGCGAUGAUCGACGCGUGGGACUUGAGGGCAAAUUUGCCAUUUUGCUGUGAACCCAUGAAGCAUCAGAAUACACAAAAGUCAAGACUUGGCUUGGUUUAUAUAAUUAAUCAAUAAUAUUCCUAACAAGAGCUAGGUCCAUAUAUUAUACGAACAAUACUUAGCUGCUGAAUUCCUACUUUCAACCAAUCAAAUUUUGACACGUGUCCAAAUAAUGAAAUUAUAAAUACAAAUUGAACACGUGUCCAAAUAUGAUUGGGUGAAAAUAGGAAUGGCUGUUGAAUUUUCAGCCGCCAAGUAUUGUUCUUAUACAAGGUUCUAAAUCUAAUAGAUGUUGUGGCUAGACGAGGCUUAUUGACUAGACGGAUUUAAGUAAAUUUAUUCUAUAUUAUAAAUAAAUGUUUUUUUAUACUUAAAAUGACACAUAAUUGUAUUGAGAUAUAUAAAUUGUAAAAUAAAAUAACAUAUAUAUUAUAAAGUAUUGGAACAUGAGAGAAAAGACCUAAAUGUGAAACGACAACUAUAAACAAUUAUUCAAGAUGAACGAUAAAUGAUUCAACCAUUUACAAGAUUCAAAACAUGAGAUCACGAUCUACUGAAUGAUUGCAUUAACUAUUAAGCGGUGCCCUAAUAUAAUACAUCCAAAUGGGGGUGGACCACAUAAUACACCCAAUGGAUCGUUUUUAAGCUACUCCACUGCUAAAACUAUUGCAAAAUGCGUUAGGAUUAUACUUCUAUUAGCUGCGCCUUUCCUUACUAGGCAAAUGGGGGUGGACCACAUAAUAAUGUUAAAACUGCUAUGUCUAUUGGGUUUCUCUGUUUAUUUCAUGUACUAGUUUAUGUUCCUUUUAUUGUAUAAAUAACUUGUACUUGGGAUGUUGCAGAACAAGUUUGAUUUGAAUGAAAUUACUACUAUUGAGUUAGCUGUCAAGCUUCUCUUUAUUCCAAGCUUGCAUUUUGUUCUACCUUUUCCAAUUCUCUACAUCCCUAAGAGGACUGUAUCAGAUGUUAUACACAUUGGAGUUUGAGCAGAAUUCUUUUUGUUAUCUUGUCUCACAUUGCUAGAAUUGAAAAGUUCAUAAUAUAAUAACAUUCGCGUAUGAACUUGAGAAACAACAUACUACUGGUUGGCCUGGAAGGUGCAGUGAAAGAGAGGAAAGGAAGAAAGAAACAAACACGAAAGGACAAGGACUAUCCAAUAGAUUAUAAACAAUGACUUAUUGGGGAUGAUUACGGCUAUUAAAUCAUCAAUAAUGCAUUAUUUUAGUUUGGAAUUUGGAAGCAUUUGAGAAGUAAAAUGACAACAACUACAUAAUAAACAAAGGUGAUUAGAAAAAAGACCCAAAUGUGAAAGAAUAAUUAAAAACAAUUACUCAAGAUUAGUGAUAAAUGAUUCAACCAUUUACAAGAUAUGAACUUAGAACAACAAUCUAUUAGAUUGUUGUAUUAAUGAUUAAGUGAUGCUCUAAGAUAAUAGAUCCAAAUGGGGACGGACCAUAUAAUACACCCAAAUGGAUGCAAUCAUGCCAUAUAUAAACAAUGUUUUGAAAGGACAAGGUAGCUAAAGCUGCCUUUUUAUAUAUGUAAGCAACAACCCUAAAUCUUACUGGAACUAAUUAACUAAUGUAUUUAUUAGACAGUUGGAUUCCUUAGCAAGUGGUUAACUAGUUUUGUUUAGUUUAGUAGUCAGGUCGUAAUUAAUUAGUCAAAUGAAAAUGCAUAUAACACACCCAAAUGGAUGCCAUAUAUGCAUACUAUUUUUGUUUAGUUUAGUAGUCAGGUCGUAAUUAAUUAGUCAAAUGAACCUGCAUAUAACACGCCCAAAUGGAUGCCAUAUAUGCAUAUAUAAACAAUGUUCUCAAAGGAUGAAAUGACUUUCUUGCCGGUAUGGGGGAAGAGGAAAGAAACUAGCACGAAACUGCAGACCCUAUCGAUCCAUUAUAAUAAAUUUCAAUGGUCCAAUUUGUAAGUUAAUUGUGCAACAUAAAAACUUAUUUACAGUUAUCAACUUAACCACGUACCUGUGAAAGACAUUAUCUCAGAAAACUAGGAUUAAGAACCAAAGUUCUCCUGGAACUCUACACAACUUAAGGCUCGCUCAAUGGGGCUUGAGUUUUUUGUAAACUUGCGUAUUUUUGGAAACGCAUCAAAUAGUAGUUAAAACAUCCGGCCGUAAAUAAAGGGUUUGAGAUACCACCAUAGUGAUAUCCCUCAGAUGUGAGUUUCUCACGUAUCAAAUCACUUAUUGUAAGAAUAUUAGUAGUGAAAGUUAAAUACCCGUGUUGGGAAAGGAAGUCGAUGAUGACAAGAGAGAAAUUUGGCUUGAAAAAUGUAUGAUACUUGCAACAUGCGUCACCGGAGUAUCAACUUGAAGCUUUCCAUCUCUCCGUCGUUAAAUGUUUCGUAAGCAGCGUUGUUGAAGUUCUCUAUGUCAAGGGGAAACUGAAGAUGGUUUUAAAUGAAGAAGAAUGGAAAAUAUAAUUUAGAAAAUGAGAAAGAAAAUUAUAAUUGAAACUAAAAAAAUAAGAAAUAAAAAGAGAGAUUUACUAUUUUCUAUGAGGUCUUGGAGUUGGCCGUGACAGUAAGAGAGGAUAAGCGAAUGAAUUGGGCCAAUUACUUGCUCUCUUGGACUUUGGGCUUUUGGAUUGGAUUGGGCCAAUUACUUACUUGGGCCCCAUCCCAACUUAUGACUUUUUGUCGGUCGGUAUUGACUGAGGUGAACGUGCUAAACUAGAAAUUUGAGAUUUUGAAUUAGCAAAUGAAUGUUAAGUAAGAGCGUCAUGAUCAGACUUGUAAGACUGUCUUUGUUGCGUUUUGUCAAAACCGGUCCAUCUAAUUACAAAUUGUAACCAUAUUAGUUGAGUAUAUAUAUGCUACAUCACAUUAGUGAAUAUUCAGUACGGGUGACACAUGGUCAGACUUGUAGGUUGUUCAUUAAGAAGUUACCACGUUCUCAAGAGUGGAGCUAGAGGGGAGCACUUCCCUACCAAAGUGUUUUCCUUCUCCCCUUUACAAGGGAUUUGUGUCACUAUUAGAUAGGAGAUUCGAAUACAAGACCUUGAAUUGAGAGGUCACACUUUUACAAAGCUUCUACGAGCACCUUCUUGUUUACCAAACUCAUUGAGACUAAAGGAGGUCUUAACGCCAUUUUGGCUAAUACUAUUCUAUAUAUUUACGAAUGGUUUUAAGUUUGGGUUUAAUUGGAUAAUCAGAGAGUAGUGCAUCAAACUAUGGAUAUUCAGAAACCGAAAGCAUAAUUCAUAUUCCUCCAACAAGUCCACGCAAAUAACCACAAUCAGAAUGUUAGUUCAUAACUGGCCAUAUAGAACGCAGUACAAAAGCACUAAAAGCGUCCAAGUGAAAGUGCUUUCUCCUCAUGCAGUUUCAUUUAACUUAGUUUCACAUGCCAGUCCGUCACACACUCAACUCCUCAACGUUCGGGUUCAAAGCAUUCUUUAUCCUUUCUGUACGAGAGACAAUAAAUUUAAAGUUCUUGUGAUGAAAUCAUGUAAAACAUUCAGAAAUCUUGAUUUAAUCCUUUCUCAAGAUCAUAGGUUGUGUCAUCUCAACUUAUAUCUUAGGUCUUAUGAGUGCUCGUAAUACACUAAUACGGCACUUGUUUUCUGGCCAGGACAGAAACAAAAUCAUGUAGGAAAUUGUCAUGACAAUAAAGGUCGUACCCAGUGCACAAGGCUCCCGCUUUAAGCAUGACAAUAAAGGAAAUUGUCAUGUAGGAAAUUGUCAUGACAAUGUAAGUGUAAAAUGAGACCGGAAAAACACUAAACAGGAUGACUAUGCUCUCUUAGCGUAAACCUUAACAACAAAGACUAUACCGUAUCUGUCACCAAGGGCGGAGCCACCAUAGGCCUAGGGGGGCGGAUGCCCCCACUGAGAUUUUUCUGAUGCUGGCAUGAUGACCUUCAGAUGCUUGAGAUUCGGCAAUGGUGGAGAGCAGAUCUUUCUAAAUUUCUUUGGAAAGAAGAGAUCCUAAACCAAGCACACAAACAAAAAUUUGAGAACAGCAAAUACAAAAAUUCGACAGUGAUCAAACCCAUCAAGCAUGCAUAUAUAGAUACAUGUUAUAUUUAUAUACCAUAGCAUCAUGAACUUUUAGUGUAAUUUUUCUGAAGCAGUCAAAACUUUCAAGAUAAUCUCGUGCUGCUCAAAUUGAUAUGGUUCUACAGCAGCAAAGCCCACACUGCGAUUUUUCUGGUUCUACUCUCCGAUCUGGUUCUGUAGAAGCAGAGCUGGGUCUUAUUUUAUUUUUUUUCAAAACCAAGCCAAAACGACAUCGUUUUGGUCCUGGUAAAAAAAAAUUUAAAAAAUGUAAACGAAACGGUGUCGUUUCGUAUAUGUUUGAAAAAAUAUGUUCGAGGAUGCCCCCAUUCACCCAAAUGUCUGGCUUCGUCCCUGUCUGUCACAGUGAUAUGCGACCAUAAGCCCAACUCCAAGGAUCAGCUUUCCAAGAACUUUGAAGGCUACAAAUCAAAAGUUACAUGCAGUGAUGACAUAAUCAUGAAAAAAUACAAUCAUAAAUUAAAGGAAAACAUACCGACUUCUAGUUCUGGCAAUUCACUAUUGGCCCAUAUAUUUGAACCACAAUAUGAUGGAUACCCAAUACAGAUCACAAAUAAAAUCUGAGCAGACACAAAGUAUUAUGUUUUGUUUACGCAAAAUCUGUAAGUUCUCAAGUAGGAUAAAUAAAGAUAAACAUAUCCCAGCAUAAAGACGACUUGUCCUGGCUAAUUCUAAGAAAGCUUGUAUCAAAUGUAUGAUAGUUAUUCAUAACUAACACAAACAACAGUUUGGCCAAACAUUACUGGUCUGAGCCAUAUACUGUGUGACCUCAGACAAAACAGAUCCCACAUGUACUCAGAUUAUGAUUGAUGUCCCAAUAGACUUUUAGGCGGUGCUCUGAUAUAAUACAUCCAAAUUGGGGUGGACCAUAUAAUACACCCCAAUGGAUCGUUUUAAGCUCCUACACUGCUAAAGCUAUUGCAAAAUGCGCAUUAGGAUUAUAUUUCUAUUAGAAGCGCCUUUCCUUACUAGGCAAAUGAACCAUAUAAUACACCAAGAUGGAUGUUAUACACGUUAGCGUUUGGGCAGAAUUUUUUUGGUUAUCUCAUUGUCUCACAUUACUAGAAUUGAAAAGUUUAUAAUAUAAUAACGUUCGAAUAUGAACUUGAGAAACGACAUACUGCCGGUUGGCCGUAAAGGUGCAGUGAAAGAGCGAAAAGGAAGAAAGAAACAAACAUGCAUGAAAGGACAAAGACUAUCCAAUAGAUUAUAAACAAUGACUUCUUGGGAUGAUUACAGCUAUUCAACCAUCAAUAAUGCACUAUUUUAGUUUGGAAUUUGGAAGCAUUUGAGAAGUAACAUGACAUCAAUCACAUAAUAAACAAAAGUGAUUACAAAAAAACCCAAAUGUGAAGGAAUAAUUAAAAAAAAUUAUUCAAGAUAAGCGAUAAAUGAUUCAACUAUUUAUAAGAUAUGAACUUAGAACAACAAUCUAUUGGAUCGUUGUAUUAACUAUUAAGUGGUGCUCUAAUAUAAUAUAUCCAAAUGGAGACGAACCAUAUAAUACACCCAAAUGGACCAUUUUUAGGCUCCACUGCUAAAAACUAAUGCAAAACGGGCAUUAGGAUUAAACUAUAAGAACUAGGAUUGCAGGGAAGACAAAACACGCAGGAAAGCUAUAAGACUACACAAGGUUUUCACUGUGAUUGCAUACCCUCAACGUUGUAGGGAGCAACCUUUUUAUAAUCACUUUUCAGAUUACAUCAGGGUUUCAAAAACCCUAUUAACAAGCUUACAUUUUGAAAUUCAAAUACUAUAACUAAUUCUGACAAAACAAAUAUUUAAAAAUUCAAAUGAUUUUAACAGAAGCUCUACUUGAUAAGUGUUGUUGACUGAGUAAACCAACUGAAGAGUUUCUGUUUGAACAGGAAACUUGACUCCGUCUAACAUAAACUUGUAUUAGCUAGCUUUCCUAGUCAAAUGAACCAUAUGAUACACCCAAAUGGAUGCCAUCAUGCCAUAUAUAACCAAUGUUUUGAAAGGACAAGGUACCUUAACACUGUCUUUUUAUAUAAUGUAAGCAACAACCAUAAAUCUUACACAAAUCCUGGUAAGUCUACCACAAGUGUCAAUCCUUAUCUCCUUAUCAUUCCACAUCACCAAGUGUUUGCUCUCGUAUAGAACUUACAAAAAUCUCAUUUAGUUUCAUCUAACUUAUUUUUCACAACGGUGAAUAUAUUUCAAUGGCUUGGUUUUCACAUGCCAGUCAGUCACAUGCUCAACUCCUCAAAGUUCGGGCUCAAUGGCUCGAAGAGAGCUUCCACUUCACUCUGAUUCACCUCCCUCUUACUUUGACGGGUUCCACUUCGGAUUCUGCAUUGACAAAAAACAGAAGCAAAAGAUUGUUGAGAGUUGUCCCACGUUGGUGAGGGACAAGGCUUGCUAUGUACUUAUAUGAAUUUGGGCUACUUUCAAUAUUGUCAAUUGGUUUUAUGGUGGAACCUCAAUUUCAUCAUGGUAUCAGAGCCAAGUUGUUGACGUGUGAAGCCCAAUGGCCACACGCACUUCACGUCACCUAGCUGUUGUCCACGUGUAGGCUUGAAAAUCCGUCACACGUGCGGGGACGUGUUGAGAGUUAUCCUACAUUGGUGAGGGACAAAGUUUAGCUAUGUGCUUAUAUGAUAUUGGGCAACUUCCCAUAUUACCAAUUGAUUUUAUGAUGAACCUCAAUUUCAUCAAAGAUAACGACCUGUUCUCAUACAAGGAAAGUAAGAUGAUUAUAUAACUGUAGGUCUAGUACAGGCUGUAAUGGUUUAUGUUGCAGCAACUCCGUCAGCAAGUGAUUUUCAAGUAAGGAAUCUUGAGCAUAAUUAACGAACCUGAUCCUUGUCCACCAAAACUGCCCGCACACCUUCAGCAAAAUCAUUCCGCAAAGACGAUCUUCUAGCAACGCGAUAUUCAGUUUUCAUCACACCAGUUAGCUGGUAUGGAUCAAGUAAAGCACAUGUUACUCACUCAGAAAAUGUGAAAUACUACAACACAAAAUCUAUCAAAAGGAUGCAACCUUGAAGAGCUUCAUUUGCCCACUCCACCACUACAACAGAAACAAUUUGAUAGAAAAUACUUGACAGCCACGUACAAGCCUCUCAAUAGAAGAGUAAGACAGAUUUCAUUUCAUCAUCGAUAAACAAAUGGCAUUGACAAACUUACCAGUAGCAUCUGAACUCUGCUGCUGCUUUUUAAGUUCAUCAAUUGUCACAAGAACCGACUUAUUUGCACCAAAUGCUGAAGUUAUUUGAGGUAAAAGACUCCUGAGCUGCGCUUCGAAUCUGGGUUGCUGCUGAAUUUUGCCACAGUUGUAAUUGACAACAUUGACAAUUGUCUCUCUCGCAAUAGUACCUUCGUAAUGAUCCGCUACUGACCUUGGCCCGAUAGGCCAAUACCAAAGGCCAUUGUUAUGGCCACGAAGCUUAUACGUGGCUGUCAAGCCCGACACGUGAAUAGCAUACUCUACUACUGUGUUACAUUGUGAGAAUUUUAUCCAAAAUUAAUUGACAAUAAGUGAAUAAGUUGAAAGAUUAUGUAUGACUUUAAUUAUGCAAAGAGUGAAGAGGCAAUUUUCACCAAACCCCAGUAAAAAAUUUGGGCCUCACAAAUCACUAAACCCAAUAUGCUUUUCUCUUAUGCCUUUCGUUCAUGGUUUGAUAUUCUGGCGUCCGAGGACCCUGACAUGACAAGUUCCAACCUUUUUGUUCAAUUUCUUGACGAAACAAUCACAUUUACCCUUACGGCACGGCACGGUUCCGGGCAUAGAAUAUGGGUUGGGUUCCGCCACAGAUCCAACACUAAUUAGCACUGUAGAGAAGGAAGUAAAGACAACUAUUGAUUUCUUACAACGUAGCGAGUCUCUUGACAUGACUCCUGCUGUUUUGUUCUUAUUUCACGUCCUGUUUCUCGAGCUUGGUGUUUCCGGCAGGGCCGGUCUAAAGAUUUUUGAGGCCCGGAGCGACGUAAAAAAAUAUGCCCUCACUUAUAUAAGAAAAUUAUUUGUUUUCACAUGUAAGACAUCGAUAAAAUUAUACUUACAAAAACACUUAAAACUUAAUAAUUUAGAAACAAGGAAAAACUAAUUUAUUUUGUAUCGUGAGAAUGAUCCAAAAAAACUCUGGGUUUACAAGUAGAUAGAUAUGGGUUUACAAGUUGCGGAUUGCUUUGCUAACUAUGAUGUUGAUCUGGCUGGGGUUCAUUGGUGAGAUUCUUGAUUUCCUUGUGCUACUUUGACAUAUCACCAUAAGUUGUCUUUUUUGCCUUGUUAUAGUUUCGUGUGGGGUUUUUUUUCUUCUUCUAAUGCUGAUUGGGUUCUUUUCUUCCAACUCCUGCCCACUCAUUAUUGUCUGAACCACACCUAGUAUUACCCUCAUAUCCACUAAAACUUCAAGCUUUACCAAUUUGUCACAAGCGAAGAUGGUAGCUCCCAACACCAAUGAGGUUCCAAACAAUUACGAUCGAAAACGCGAAGUGAAAGCUUUUGAUGAGACAAGGGAAGGCGUUAAGGGUCUUGUUGAUGCCGGGGUAGCCGAGGUUCCUAGAAUUUUUCAUCAACCACCACAAUUGGACGAUCAGUACUCCAUCAACAAUACAAGCACUGACUCAGAAGCCACCCAGUUUAGCAUUCCGCUAAUAGACCUUGAAGACCAUGGUAAUCCAACUAAGCGCAAUGAGAUUGUUGCAAAGUUGGAGAGGCAUCAGAGACUUGGGGCUUCUUUCAAAUAGUGAAUCAUGGGAUACCUGUAGGUGUUCUGGAGGCGAUAAAGGAUGGGGUACGUGGGUUUUAUGAGCAGGACACUCGAGUCAAGAAAGAGUUUUUACACUCGUGAUCACUCUAAACCUUUGUUUUACAAUAGCAACUUUGAUCUUUAUAGUUCACUGGCAACGAAUUGGAGGGAUACUUUUAAGUGUUACAUGGCUCCAUAUCCUCCUAAGCCAGAAGACUUGCCAGAAGUAUGCAGGUAUUUGACAACCCAAUUCUCUGGUUUAAUUGGUGACAGUAACCUGGUGCAGAUUCCUUCCUUGAUGGAUUAGAUCAUUAAACUCCAUACUUUUGACAAGUUUAAUGUGCUUUCCUGGUUUUCAACUUGCAGAGACGUACUGAUCGAGUAUUCAAAGCGAGUAAUGGAGUUGGGGAAAUUGUUGUUUGAGUUGUUGUCGGAGGCCCUUGGGCUAAAGCCAAGCCACUUGAAUAGCAUAGAUUGUAGUAAGGGGCUACAGGUUUUAGGCCAUUACUAUCCUGCUUGUCCACAGCCAGAGUUAACUUUGGGCACAAGCAAGCACGCUGAUGAUUCCUUCCUUACGGUCCUUUCUGCAAGAUCAUAUUGGUGGUCUGCAAGUUGUUGAUCGUCAAAAUAAGUGGAUUGAUGUACCCCCUGUGCCUGGGGCUUUAGUGGUGAACAUUGGAGAUCUUUUACAAGUAAGCACACGUAUACAAUUGCCCUUUUUUUUUCUCCCUAAAAACUACUAUUAAAUUAAGAGAAUAGUAUCGUAAACUAAGCUAGUUUGUUAAUGACUAAUACUCGAGACAAGCUUUGGUCGCAUGUUAGCGUUCUCUUAGAAUAUGUCUUAGAAUUCUUCGAUUAUCAUAAUUAGGUCUUUUAUGUUCAAUUCUUUUUGGGAUUUUCAGCUCAUAUCAAAUGAUAGAUUCAAAAGCGUAGAACACAGGGUAUUGGCGAACCGUGAAGGUCCAAGGAUAUCCAUUGCCAGCUUCUUAGCACAGGUUUGCUACCAUUUACAAAUCUCUAUGGACCUAUUAAGGAGUUGGUAUCAGAAGACAACCCUCCAAAGUACAGGGAGACUACUGUGAGGGACUACGACACCCAUUUCUAUGACAAAGGCCUAGAUGGAACCUCUGCCUUAUCUCAUUUUAAGAUCCCAACUUAGACAUGGAGGAGCACAGAAGCAGAGACCGCAACGAACAAAUCCUGUCUACUAAAUAAUUUGGCAUGAAAAUAUAUAUUGGUUUGUUUAAUCUGAAAGCACUUUCGCACCACAAAAUUCUGGAUAUGCAUAUUAUUUUGUUUUCUGUUUGCAUAUGGUCUAAUAUACUUGUAGAAAGGGUUGGGUUUCUACCCUUGCGUCUCAGGUACGAAACUUCCCCUCCUAUAAAUUAUUGUAAUAGCUUCGAACUCUCUAUCUUCCGCAAAAAAAAAAAAAAAAAAGGGGGGUUUUCUAACACUUCUAUUCAUCAUGUUUACAGUUUUUGUGGCAUGCGCUUAACGAAUUCAACUGUGGUUGUGGUUGCGGUUGCGGUUGCAUAUCAAUACUAUUAUACCAUAAGUGUGGGCUUGUUUGAGAAUGUUUUUGUUUGUAAGAAGCGGUUUUACACAGUAGUUAAAAUAUAUAUAUGUAGAAAGAAAACAUACAAGUUGGUUGACAAAAGGGGAAGAAAAAUUGAGAGAUACAGAGAAUAAGAAAAGAAGAAAAUCGAUGCAAAUUUUAAUAUAUAUGUAGUAGAUCCAGGUAUCCAAAGGAUUCGGGGCUAAUGUACCUGCAUUGAUGAAAAAACAAAGAUGAGAUUUUUUGAAACGCAUCACAUAGUAGUUAAAAUACCUGGCGGUAAAUGAACGGUUUGAGAUAACGCCAUAGUGGCAUCCCUCAGGUGUGAGUUUCUCUCGUAUCGGAUCACUUAUUGUAAGAAUAUCAAUAGUGAAAGUUAAAUACCCGUGUCGGGAAAGGAAGUCGAUGAUGACAACUGACAAGAGAGAAAUUUGGCUUGAAAAAUGUAUGAUGUUUGCAACAUGCGUCAUGAAAACUUAAGUGUCAUGAAAACUUAAGUGUAAAAUGCGACCGGAAAAACACUAAACAGGAUAGCUAUGCUCUCUUAGUGUAAACCUUAACAACAAAGACCAUACCGUAUCUGUCACAGUGAUAUGCGACCAUAAGCCCAACUCCAAGGAACACCUUUCCAAGAGCUUUGAAGGCUACAGAUCAAAAGUUACAUGCAGUGAUGACAUAAUCAUGAAAAAAUACAAUCAUAAAUUAAAGGAAAACAUACUGACUUCUAGUUCUGGCAAUUCACUAUCGGGCCAUAUAUUUGAACCACAGUAUGAUGGAUACCUACAAUACAUAUCAUAUCACAAAUAAAAUCUGAGCAGACACAAAGUAUUAUGUUCUGUUUACGCAAAAUCUGUAAGUUCUCAAAUAGGAUAAAUAAAGAUAAACAUAUCCCAGCAUAAAGACGAUUUGUCCUGGUUAAUUCUAGGAAACCUUUAUCAAAUGUAUGAUAGUUAUUCAUAACUAACACAAACAACUGUUUGGCCAGACAUUACUGGUAUGAGCCAUAUACUGUGUGACCUCAGACAAAAUAGAUCCCACAUGUACUCAGAUUAUGAUUGAUGUCCCUAUUGACUUUUACCUUUGAAUUAGAGAUUCAUCUGUUGUAGGGCUAUCCAAUAUUGGAUUUGCAUAAAACGAGCCUUUUAACGUAUCUGCAAAACCAGAACACAAACGGAAAAUGAAUGAUCCUAAGUUCUUAGAGUUUCCAAAGAAACAAAAUUUAAAACAAAGAACAUAAAGUGAUACCAGGCUUUCCAGAUUCCAGCUUCUCUUUUUCCAUGACUCCAUCCAAAAUUGUACCUAAACAUGGAUGGCAGGUAAAAAGAAGAUAAGCAAUAAAACUUUGUAAAGAUUCCCAAGAAAAGCAAUAAAACUACGUAAAUUAUUAGUUAAUAAUGUCAAGACCAUAGUCUCUGAAAAUCCAAGAGUUGAGAUGCGGCAGGGAUUUUUGGAAUUUUUCUCUAUUGUAAGUAAAACAUAGAUUGAUGUUUGUGUUUACACGAAAAUUAUGCCAACGGCUUAAGAGAAAUCAAAGUAUAACAAUGGGACUAAAAUGACUUACCUACUAUGAGGAUCUUCAAGUUCCUUCUUCACCUCUUCGGGCAGAUUGGCUAAUCUAAUAAACAAAAAGAAAACUCCCAUGAGCAGUGCUAUAACAAACUAUCUUCCUAAAUUCAUUAUGAAUUGCAGUUAAAACUUAAAAUGAACAUGAAAAUCCUACGUAGAAGGGAUAUACCUAGGUGACAAGCCUAGAAGAUUCCCGCGCAAGGAAGAAUAUCCCGGAACCUGCAAUUGAAAACUCAAAGAAACAAUUACAAAGAUGCUAGAAAGAAAAUACGUAUCAGUUUACAACAAAACGCUAGCUCUCACAAGAAUCGAUUAGGUAUGAAGCAUCAAAACAACAGCAUGAGACAUCAUAAUUUAUGAGCUAUGAAUGGAAUAAUGGAGCAAAAUAUCGUUGCCCAAACAGCACAAUCUACAAUCUACAUGACGGAGAAAGUACCCCGACAUUACAUAUGCAAGUUCAUGUGGUUUAUGUGGUUUAUCUUUUUAACCGAUUCGUUAACAAAUUCUUUCUGCACAUAUAGUUUUAACUUACCAAAACUGGUAAUGGAAGAGAUAAUCAGUAAUUAACAACGGUAAUCGCAUAACGAAAUCAUACUUGAGUGAUUGAUAGGAUUCCCAACCCAUUUGGUCCAAAUCCUUCUUCAAUCUUCACUGACAAAUCUUUGUCCCUGUCCUGUAUCAAUCCAAAAUCAAAAAACGAUAAUUAGAAAAAUCGAAUUCUCGACAUGAUCGACGAGUUAAAACAUAGCAAUUAAACAAAACUAUGAAUAAAACAAUUAGAUUCUGUUUGGUUGCUGAGAAUGAAGAGAAUAACAACCACAAAGUCAACUGAAAUAAAAUUUUGCUCUAACUUCAACGAAUUCUCUUGAGUUUCUGAGCACCCAAACAGAAAAAAAAAAAUUAUAGGCAAUCAAACCAAACUCUCAUGCUCAAUUUUCUCGGCAACCACAAAAAGAACUUAGAGGAGGGGGAGAGAGAGAGUUACUUGGAGCUCGGAGUAGGAUAUGGUGACUGGUGUGACGGUGGGGACGACGGGGUCGGAGGACGGAGGCAUAGUUCGACAAUAAAUUUGGCGGGAAAGACGGCGGUUGGAGUGUGACGAUGGGGAAGAAUCCGUGGGAACGAAGAGGAAUUUUGGUGCGGAAGGAGGGUCUUUAUAUCGGAGGGAGGGAGGGAGGGAGAGAGGUUGAGAGCGAAAGGCGUGAUUGUCAAUUUCAAAUUUUUUUUUUUUAGGAAUAAAGAAAGAAAGAGAGGUUGAGUAUCAAUUCCCUUUCCCUCCAAACCAAAGAAUACAUUCACGAUCAUGAUGUGUGUGGCAAAAAUUAAAGGUGGAGACAAAUAAAUUAAAGAGAAUUUUCACGAAAAGUUCAUGGUACGAUUUAUUUUAAUGAAAAAUUAUAUUUUUAUACUAAAAAGUCAAUUUUGAUACUAUUUACUUUACAUUUUAUUUUUGUCAUUAUCGUUAAAACUAAAAACAAUUGAAGCAUUUUUUUACUAUUUUUCCUUAUAUUAAAUAGGUAUAAGUAUUAGUUAAAUUUAAAAUUAAUUGUGUACUAUUAAAAAUUUGUUUGAAAAUGUUUUUAAAAUGACUGAAAGCAUUUUUGAUUAAAAUGUUUUUUAAAUCAAUCCUUAGUAAAACCAAGUGGAUUCUAAAAAGUCAUUUGGAUUACUUUCUACAAAAACCACAUAUCUUGAGCACUUGAAGCACUUUUGGAAUCCAAAAUUAAUUUAACAAAGGUGUGUCUAGUCUUUUUAAUUUUUGAACAAACAAUAUUAUUUAUUUUAAGGGAGGAGAUGAGCUUAACCUCACAAUGGACUAUCAUAUUAAUAAUGUUGUUCAAAUCCACCUUUAUCCAAAAUCAAAUCUAAAACAUCUUACUCACAACUGAAGAGGAAUACCUUUACAUCGUAAUACUAAGCGACAUGUUUUUUUAUUUUUAAGAGACGUGUUUAUUCAUUUUUAAAAGACUUAAAAACCAGCACUAAUUUGUAUUAAAUUCUAAAACCUUUGAAUUGGGAUGUAAUAUGCAUUGGGUCUUUAAUAAUAUUUAAGUUGUUUUCGGCAAAAAAUAAGGGAUUCAAUUGGGAAAAAUAACAAAAUAUGAAAUAAGGAUAUUCUAAUUAAGGUUUUUAUUAAUUAUUUAAGGCGGAUGGUUCAUGUGAAGAUUAUGAAACGCUUUAAUUCUCUAAUGUGCGAUUCCAUUUCGAUCCAAAGUUAAACAGUGACAAAUACAAUUAAGGUUGUUAAUUUUUUUUGGUAAAAACAAUUAAGGUUGUUAUUAAUAUCAAUUCAUGUAUAUUUCCGCAUGUGCCACAUUAUUAAGUUAGGCAGUGAAAAAUAUAUAUCGGAUGUUAUGAGAACAUGUGUGGCUGUCAAGCCCUACACGUGAAUAACAUGCUCUCUACUGCUUUAUUACACCGUGAAGAUUUUAUCCAAAAUUAAUUGACGAUGAGCGAAUAAACUGAAAGAUUAUGCGCAACUUUGAUUAUGCAACGAGUGAAGAGGCAAUUUACACCAACCUCCAGUCAAGAAUUUGGGCUCACAAUCACUAGCCAAUAUGCUUUUUUCUCACAUUUACCCUGACACGGCAAGUUCAUAGUUCAAUAUUCUGGUUCUGGUGUCCUAUGACCCUGACACGGCAAGUUCCACUUUUUGUUCAUUUUCUUGACGAAACCAUCACAUUUACCCUUACGGCACGGCACGGUUCCGGGCAUGGAGUAUGGAUUGGGUUCCGUUGCAGUCCCGACACUACAUAGCACUGUAGAGAAGGAAAUACAAAGACAACUUUGGAUUUCUUACAACGUAUUGAGUCUCUCGUCAUGGCUCUUGCUGUGUUGUUCUUAUUUCACGUCCUGUUUCUCGAGUUUGGUGUUUCCGGUUGCAAAUUUUGGUUCGGCAGUGUAGUGCUCAGGAGAGGGGACUGUCUCACGUUGUUCCAAGCAGACAGAGGCGGUUGACAACGAUUGCGACAAUGUGUUUUUCUACUGGGAGAACAUACAGCAGUCAACAGUUAUCUUUUCACAACCGUCUUCAGUAUUUGGAGGCACCUCAAGAAAUUAUCAAGGACAAACGAAUGUAGAAAAGAAGAAAUAUCAAAGUUAGUUGACAAAAGGGGACGAAAAAUUGUGAGAUACAGAUAAGAAGAUAAGACGAUACUCGAUGCAAAUUUUAACGAGCGAUACAGAGAAGAAACAGCUGCAUUUGGAGACAGCUGCUUUAGUUGCCUUGUUUGUAACAUUAGCUUUCUGCAAUUCCGGGGAAGAAACAGGAGUAAAAAAAACAGAGUCAGGCAGUACCAAAAAAGAAAAAUAUACAAUUAGGAACAAUCGUCACUUCUCAAACUUUGUAGUAGAUCCAGGUUUCCGAAGGACUCGGGGCUAAUGUACCUGCAUUAACAAGAAACAAAGAUCAGAUUUGUGGAAGGGAGUCGCAUAGUAGUUAAAAUACUUGGCCGUGCAUGAAUGGUUUGAGAUACCAUCAUAGAGGCAUCCUCCAGGUGUGAGUUUCUCUCGUAUCUGAUCACUUAUUGUAAGAAUAUCAGUAGUGAAAGUGAAAUACCCGUGUCGGGAAAGGAAGUCAAUGAUGACAAAAGAGCAAUUUGGUUUGAAAUAUUGUGUCCUCGGUAUGAUGCUUGCAACAUGCAUCACCGAAUCCACUUGAAGCUCUCCACCUCUCCAUCUGUUAAAUGUUUCAUAAGCAGCAUUGUUAAAGUUCUCUUUAUUUGGGGGGAUAUUGCAGAUGGUUUUGAAUGAAGAAAGGCAAAAAUUCAUGCUGAAGGCAUAGUUUACAACUAGUAUUUGUAAAAGCUAAGCUCUAAAGUGAGCCUUGAUUCUUUGGCACAAAUAGCUAAAGUUUUGAGAUGGGACAAAAUGGGUCCACAUACAGCGCAUCCGAUGGUGUUGAAAUCCUUUUCCCAGUAAGUCAAAGAUAAGCACCAAGAAAGACAUGACAGUGUUAAACUUAAAACAAAUACAGAACUAAGAAUUGAUGCAUGAAUCAAACAGAGAAAUGGUACAGGCCAUUCUCUUUAUAUUCUUAUAAUCUAAACAUUUCUCCUUAUCAACACUGGAAAAACAGCUUGCUUCAGUCAUAGGAAAUAAAUUGCGCCUAGAGUAUAGAAAAGACAUACCUACAGAUCCUCCUCCUGGACUCUUUGCCGCUAUACGUGAAAACCCAACAUCUGGGAACAACCAAAUUACAUUCUCUGGCAUGGCAAGAACAGUCCUCUGAAAUGUAUCCAUACAAAGUUAAGACACAAAAAACUCAAAAAGGCAAUGUAAUUCACAACAUUGACAAUCUCUGUCUGACAAGGCAAUAAUACCUCUGUAAUGAUCCGGUAGCGACCGUGACCUGAUAGGCCAACACCAAAGCCCAUUGUUAUGCCAUCCAUGAAGAUAGGGCUUCUUGUACUCAGAGAUUUUGCAUAUUAGAGAAUACUCAGCAGUGAAUACCUGAAAAACAUGCAGCACAAGUAUCAUACCGGUAGCCUCUCAAUCUUAAGAAAUGGUAGCUUAGAAAAGAUAUGAAUCCUAUCCAACCACUACAAAUCAUAUUACCCAAGUUCAAGCAAAAUCACGACUAAACAAAUGAUCAGAUGUUGUAGGUUGCCCGAGAAUGUCAAACAUGAAAUUACAAGAAAAAAAACAAUCGUAUGUAUUGAACAUUAAUAAAUACUUGCUGAAAGCACAAUCUUAGCUGCCAUUUAUGACAUUUAUACGAGAUUGAAUAGCCAAAGCAAUUAAAGAAGUAGCAGAACUCAUAUAAGUGAUUUUCACUUUGAACUUUUAGGCUUAUCAGCAAAUACAUCAUUACGAUUCUAACGCAUGAAUUUUGUUAAAAGGGGCUUGCUUGCUUGUAUUAAGGCUUAAUCAUCAAUGAUUUUGCAAGGGUCAAUCGUCUUGAUAGUUGUAAUCUAUGCACUAUGAAAAUUACCAAAAUUACAUCUUAUAUGGUAGAGAAGGAAGUCAUCUUAUAUUAUCUGGAUUUUAGAAAACGGUGUAAGGUUAUAAGUCUGUUAUUCUAUAUAGUUUAAAGGACACAAUUAGACAACAAUCAUAUUUGGUGGUUGGUUUUUGGCCGUGAUCUGCUUCACAUCACCGCCCGCAGGUAAUCUAAAUCUGGGUUAUUACUUAUCAAUGAAUCAAAGUGCCAACUUAUCGGACACCAUCUAUCUCUAUAUGGCAAAAAAAAUAACACAAAAAGGAACAAUGAAGUGAAACAAUAAACAACAUGACAUGAAACAGCACGAACAUCAAAGACCAACAAUCUAUCACAUAAGCACCUAAACAAGAAACAACUUUAGUUCAAAGCAAAGCGUAAUGUAGAAACCUUCGGCACAAGAGGCGUGUUUUUGUCCUUUUGAAUUUCGGCAACAACAACUUUAAUAUCCUUACCUGCACUUACCAUGAUUGCUCACUCUCAAAACCUUACCUAAGAGACCCCAAAACCAAAAUAACUGCCAAAAGAGCUGAACAUACAUAUCUAGAAAAAACUUAUUCAACUACAUGCUAAAAUGGAAGUGUAAAAUUGCCAGGAAAGAUAAGAAACUAUUCAAAUACGAGUUCUGGGCGUUACCGCCACAAAAGGCACGAGCCGAGCGGCUAUCAACAAGAACACACUUCACAUUUGGGUGAGAUUCCCAUUCAUCCAGAUAGCUCUUGUAUUUCACAUCCAAAUCUGCAUUUUCCAACAAUUCCCACUUAAACAGAAACACAAAAUUCUUCCAAAAAAAGCUAACUUCUUCGAAAUUUGAAUCCAACGUUUCGUCUUAUAACAAAUGCAAUAACAUAGAUUUGUAAUCAAUACGAUGCCAUAAAGUUCAAGCUCAAAAAUUCAAAUCAUCUCCAAAUCAAAUGCAAUUACAGAUAUAUACAUAUAUACAUAUACGUUUGUGUGUUUAUCUACAUACCUAGGUUUAUGGCGUUGAGAGCUCGGGGGGUGACCGAGGGUGAUGACGGCGACGCCAAAGGUGCGGAGAAGGCGAGGGGAUUUGGAGGGUUUUGUAAAGAGGGGAUUUGCUCAGAAUUUGGGUCGCUCGUCCCUCUUAUGGGAGUGACUCAAAAAUCGAAAAAGUUGAAAUUUAUUGAUUGUGAUCUGACUCAAACAUGUGAUGAUGACGAUGCAUCACCACCUUGGUUGUGCCUCUGGAUCAAAAACCUACCAUCACCAUCAAAAUCGUGCACAUUUUCCUUCAUAGGCUUGUCCCAUACUAGAUUAACCCCUGUUCCCUUAAUUGUCACAUUAUCAGAUGUACUGUUUCAAAAGUUAUAUCAACUUUAUCCCCGCUUUGCAAAUUGAGCUUAUCGUUCGAUAUUUGUCCCUGCCAAAGAAAACAUUUUCCAGAUACAUUGUGCAUUUUUAUAACCCAAUCUUCCUUGCCUAUGCAGGUCUGCAACUCAGUACGCUUGGUAUUAUUUAUAUCAAUACUGGCACGAGGAUGACCAUCUUUGCAUGUGAAAUAAGGUUUGCUAUGAAUUGAAUAUUUAGGAAUAAAGCAGUAAAAGCA